rnacentral:lncRNA from 1 species
CUAACUGCAUUCCGGGGCAUCCUCUACGACCGGUUCCGAACGGAAUGAGUUCGAAAUCAUGCCCUCGAAGGUCUAUCUUCCUAUCCUCGAAUCUUUCUGGAAAGAACUCUUCGGCAUUGCUCGACCAUAUCUUGGGGUUUCGCCCCAUGGACCAAGUGUUCACCAAAAGCCGCGACUUCUUAGGUAUGAAAUACCCAUUAACGGUGACAUCUUCGGUCGACUCGUGCGGGACUAACAACGGCCCCACUGGAUGUAACCUGAAACUCUCUUUGAUGACCGUAUCCAAAUAGGCUAGUUUCGGUAGGUCCGACUCUUCUACCAUUCUAUUCCUUCCGACAACACUUUCUAGCUCUUUCUGGAGAGCAACCAUGACUCGAGGAUGCCUUACAAGUUCUGUAAAUGUCCACUCAAUGGCCGUGGUUGUAGUGUCGAAGGAAGCUGCCACCAUGUCCACCAUUAUAGCCUUGAUGUUUUCUCUACCAACGAUGUAGGGUUGAUCUUCAUCGUUAGGGUUCAUGGGUGUAUCCAACAACGAAACCAUGACUUGAAAGAAACUUCUAUAAGGUUUUUGGUCAUCCAUGUUAAUCCCUUGUUGGUAUUCAUCUAUCAUUUUGUCAAAAAAUUCGUGAAGGCCACUGCUCACCUUCUUAAGCCUUCUUGUAUAUCCCUGCAGCGUAAAGAUGGAUAUGAUAGAAUCAGUUUUAUAUUAAUUGUAUUCUUCAUUAUAAUUAUUCUUUGUGAAAAAACCAAAUAGUCAUUCAAUCAAAUAUUAAGACUUUCGAGUUCCACUCUGCAUCUAAUAAGAUUACUAUAACACAAUUUAUUAUACUUUAAAUUUUGUAUUAUUAUUAGUACGAAAAAAUAAAUAAAUUAUGAAAAAGAAAAAUAGUACAUAAAAAAAACAGGAUAUAAGGAGAAAAAAAAAAGCGUUACCUGAAGAUCAAGUGGAGCAAGGAAAGGCACAUAAUCCGAGAGAUUGAAAACCCCAGAUAAGUGCAUUGCCUCAUCAACCAGCGGCUUAAAAUCGAUUUUAUCAUACAUGGACCGCCCGAAUAACACUUUCGACAUCAUUUCUUCAAGAACCUUAGCCACCGCCUGGCUAAGGUUUAUUGUUUCACCCGCCGCCGCUACCUUCCUCACUGAUUCAACCAAUAACCCCACCUCCGCCUUCCUUAUCGGGGCAAAACAUUCAACUUUGGAAGCACUGAGGAAAUGCAAAAUACACCAUUUCCGUACAGUUCGCCAGUAAGAACCGUACUGGGUAAAAGCCACGGCCUUGCCACCAUAUGCGAAGUAUUUCGCGGAUUGGACUUUAGGCCUGGAAGCAAAAACGACGUCAUGGACCUUGAGGAACAGUUCAGCGGCUUCGGGUGAUGAUACCACGAUGGUUGGUACUUUGCCUAGCAUUAUCGACAUGAUGGGUCCAUAUUUUUUGGCGAGAUAGUGAAGACUUUGGUGUGGGAGGUUCCCUAGCAUGUGGAUGUUACCUAUGAUGGGAAGAGGGGCAGGACCGGGUGGAAGUUUCCGGCCAUUUUUGUUGCGGUUUGGUGAGCUGAAGAAGUAGAUAAAGGAACAGAGAGUUCCAAGGAGGACAAAGAGUAAGGUUAAUGUUGAAGAAGACAUUUGGGAGGGAAGCCAAUCACAAUAGCUGAUAGCCAUUGGGGAUUGAUUGAUUGAUUGAGUACUUGUAGAUGGAAGCAACCGAUGGCAGCUGCAAGUCGGGAGAAUUCGCCAAAUAUGUCGAUUUUAACAAAAACUACGGAGUUCGACUUUUUUUUUUUUUUUAAAUGUAAGGAAAUAAGUUGAUUUUGGCUCAUACAUGGGUAAAAGCUUUGCGGGCUUAAUUUGCCAGUUGAAUUACUUAGCGUGGUAAGAAAAUAUUAUUAUAAUUUUGAUUUUAAUUAAUAUUAUUUUUAAGUUUUUAAUGUUAUUAUAUUUUUUUUAUUUUUUAUGUUUAUAUAAUCAAGAAGAUCAAAUUAUUGAAAUUUAUAUACACACAAUUUAAGUGCAAGAGCACCACGUGUUAUUGAACAAUGCUUGAAAGAGGUGAGAUUCUUACACGUGUCUCAUAUGCUCAACGAGACUAAAUUGGAGUCUGCACUUGUCAGUGCUUUGCUGGAGAGAUGGAGAUCCGAAACACAUACAUUCCAUCUAUCAUGCAGUGAGUGUACGAUUACAUUUAAGGAUGUAUCAUUACAACUCGGUCUGCCAAUUGAUGAGGCUGUCAUUACAGGAGUGGUGCACAUUGGGGAUUGGAGGCCAAUUUGCCACCAGCUAUUAGGCAAGGUGUCAAACAAGUUUAGUGGUAAUCAAAUAUAUAUGAAAUGGUUAGAAGAUAAUUUCUCACAUCACAAAACUCUUCUAGUGCAGUUGAAAGACAACAAUUAACUCGGGCAUUAAUUUAUACCUUCUAAUGCCAUAUAAAUCUCAAAAUUUGAUACAUUUAAGGGGACUCUUAUAACUAAUCGACCUAAAAGAAACUGGGCAACUCAGUUGGAGAUCAAUUGUCUUGGUUACAUUGUAUCGAAAGUUGUGUUGGACAAUAGAAGCACAAAAAUUAAAAUCGUUGGUUGUAUAUUCCUUCAAUCAUGGGUAUAGUAUCGUUUACCAUUUUUACAUCCCGAGGAAACUCCCAUUAUCAAUUAUUACUCGUAAUAAGGUAACAUUCAUUUAAUAAUAUAGUUAUCAUAUUAUCUUUUUUCAUUAUUAUAUUUUUGGAAUAACAUAUUAUUUGAACAGAUAGAAAAAUAACGCGAGUCCUGUGGGUAUACCAAAUAAACUUGAAGAUAUUUGGUUAUUGUUAAAUCAAUGGUUAAUAGUCGAGGUCAGUUUUUGAAUUUUUUUUAAUUACAUAAUAAUUAUUUAAGGAUUUGAAAUUUAAUAUUAGGUGUGUAUGAAAUUUAUAAUUUCAUAUUAUAAUUUAAAUGGAUGUCAUACUCUGAUCCGAGAAUUGAAGAAUGCAUCCCGUCUAAAUUUUUGACGAAUCAUAAUAUCUUACAUGUCAAAGUGUCAUUAAUAGUUUUUGCAUUGUCUAUUUUUAAUAAAUAUAUUUGAGGUAAAGUUUUUUUUUUUAUAUAUUCUAUUUGAACUUUUUUAUAUUUAAAAAAAAUAUACAUACUUUUCAUAUAUAUUUUUUAAGAACUAGGACCAAAUUAAUAGAAUAUAUAAACAUUGAUGGUUUAAUUUGUUACUAUAUCAAUUAAAAUUAUGUACAAUUGAUGGAAAAUAUUAUUUUUGAUGAUUAAUUGUCCUUAGUUGCUCACUUUUAAAAUGAACAAUGAUUAAAUAGCUUUGUUGUUUUCAGUAGGACCAAUUUGCUUAAUAUCAAAAUUGAGAGAAACUAAAAAAAAUUUACCUAAAUCUGCUCGUCUAUAUGGGAAGGCUUUCCUUCUUUUAGCUACAAUUGUAUUUAUUAAUUCAUAGAUUUGUCCGGAUAACAAAAAAGUGAUAAUCAAUUAUAAUGAGACAAUGGCUAUUAUUUGCAGAGACCACUGGAUCAAUCACAAAUGCCGACACCUAAAAUCAUAUAGUUAUUUUGGAUAAAUCUAACGUGAUGUAAAGUAUAUAUAUUUAUAAAAAAUUAUAAAUUAUAAUAUCGUAUAAUAAAAUAAUAUAUGAAUUUUAAUUGUAUUGGGUAACAUGUAUUUGUUUUCAACAUACCAUAAUUCUGGGAAGGAAAAUGUGGAUACAGGUAUAAGUUGGACAAGAAGUUAUAAGUGGUUGAACACGGUAUGAUUGCAUGAUGUGAGGGUGACAACUAACUAGUGGACAUGUCCAAGUAGAGGAUGGAUUAAACUUAAUACAGAUAGAGUUGUAUCCAGAAAUAACUCAUUUGCGGGCAUUGGGGGAGUGUUUAGAGGUGCCAACAGCAAGUGGUUAGGUGGUUUGUCGAUGAAGUUAGGAAAGGAUUCAAUUUUCAAGAUUGAGGCGAGAGCCUUACUUAAAGGCCUACUUAUAUCAUGGAGGAAAGGUUAUCGACAAUUGGAAGUGGCCAGACACGCAAAUAGACCCUUCCACAAAAACACGCGGAUCCUGAGGUUGGAGUGGGUCAGGUCGCGGGUUGGCCCCCCAAAACGACGCCGUUUUGGGCGUCUAGGGGCCUAAUGAAACGACGCCGUUUUGAUAACUCCAUUUAAGCCCAAAUUUUUUUAAAACUUCAUUCCAGUCUUUGUUUUUUAAUAAACUCAAAAAAAAAACCUCUCAACUCUCUCUCAACUCCCCAAAAUUCGGUCAGCUUAGGUUGCCGGACCACCGUGGCGGCCGCCGGUCACCGGCGACGGCGCCGCCGCCCACAAUGGCCAAAAAACCAAAAAAGCCUAUUUUUUGGGGUUUUUUUGACUCCCCGACUUCGAAUAACGCCGAUUUUCAUCGGAAUUGGCACCUCUCUCACCAAAGGUACGUUUUCAAUCCUUUUCUUUUUAUUUAUUUUUUGUUUUUUCCUUCUAAAAAAUAAUAAGAACGAAAGAAAAAGAAGAAAAAAUAAGGAAAAAAAAUCCCACUACCUUCGAAAAUCUAUUGAUUUUUUCUAUUCUCUUUCAUUCAUUCGUUCUUAUUAUUUUUUUUAGAAGGAAAAAACAAAAAAUAAAUAAAAAGAAAAUGAUAGAAAACGUACCUUUGGUGAGAGAGGUGCCGAUUCCGAUUAAAAUCGGCGUUAUUCAAAGUCGGGAAGUCGAAAAACCCAAAAAAUGGGUUUUUUCAGUUUUUCGGCCACCGUGGGCUGCAGCGACGGCGCUGGGGACCGGCGGCCGCCACGGUAGUCCGGCGACCUAAGCUGACCGAAUUAUGGGGAGUUGAGAGGAUUUUUUUUGAGUUUUUUUAAAAAACAAAGGCUGAAAUGAAGUUUUUUUAAAAAAUUGGGCUUAAAUGGAGUUAUCAAAACGACAUCAUUUCAUUAGGCCCCCAAACGCCCAAAACGGCAUCGUUUUGGGGGGCCAACCCAUCACCAAACCCGCUCCAACCUCAGGAUCCGCGUGUUUUUGUGGAAGGGUCUAUUUGCGCGUCUGGCCCUUCCGCCUUUUUUAUUUACAAUUAAGUUUUUUUUUAUUUUUAUAAUUUUUCCCUAUAAUUUAUCUCGGCUUCCAUUUUAGUCCCUAAUUGAACUUGUUGGGCGGGGAUUAUUGCUCAUUUGGUCCAUCCUUGUUAUUCGCGCAUUCAACUUGGUCCUUUUCCUCUUUAUUUAUUUCUAAUUUUCCCCAAAUUUAUGUUUUAAGUUCGAUUUGGCCCUUUUUUGUUAUUUUGCUAUUUUACUAUUAAAUUAAUUAAUUUAAUAUUAUUAUCACUAUUAUUAUUUUUCUUUUUCUUUUUUACCUAAAUAUUUCAAAUACAUUUAUUUUAUUUUUAUCCCCUAUUUAUUUAUAUUCUGUUUUAUAAUUUUAAAACUUUAGAUCAUUAUUAUUAUUACUAUUAAUCAUCAUUAAUUUUAAUAUUUUUUUUUAAAAAAAUUGUUUAUACAAUAUUUAUUUAUUUAUUUAAUAUUAGGUCUUUAACUUCAAAUUUAGUUUAUUAUUUCAUCAUUUGUCUUUUUAUUUUUAUUUAUUAUUAUCAUUUUGGCUUGUUUAUCGUAUUUUAUUUUCAUUCUUUAUAUUGGCGUUCACAUUCUACUAUGCAUAUCAACACUGUAAUUCAUUUCAUAUUUCACUACCAAUUCGUGAUAUUUCAAUCCUUCUCCGAUAUACAAACUUCAUUUUUAAUAAUACGCAAUAUUUCGUAUUUUGGAAUUCGAAAAGGUUGUUCCCUAACUUACGGGAUUUUGGUUUUUUCCGAUGAAUCCGAAUAUACGAAUCAUUUUUCAAAAACACAUUUUUUUAAAUUAUCUCAGGAAUUAAUAAGACUGUGUUCUAACUUAUGGAAUAUGGUCUUUUCUAAAACCUAAAUAAUAAAAUAUCUUUCAAAUAAGUAAAUUUUUUCGACAUUUAUUCUCGUAUCGGGAAUUUAAGACAUUGUGUCCUAACUUACUGGACAUAAUUCUCUUUCUCGAUUAAAAGUGAAAUGUGCCCCCUUUUUUUGAAAUUUUUUAAUAUUUUAACAAAAGAUCGUAUUUUAAAUUCUUUUUGAGUUUUCAACUUUCGACAUUAAGACACUAAUUAAUCAACUAGGUACUAAUUUUUGGGCGUUACAAGGGUGCUAAUCAUUCAUCGUACGUAACCAACUCCCGAACCCAUCUUUCUGAAUUCCGUGGACCAAAAUUGUUGUUUUAAUAAAUCAAAUUUGUAAGAGCCCAUUUUUGCCCGGGCCCAAAAUAGAGACCCAAAAUCCAAAAUAAAACAGUCCAUUACAGUAGUGGCCCAAACCCAAAAUAAAAAUAAAACCCAAAAUAUAUAUAUAAUAGUCCAAAAUUAUAGUCUAAUGGGCCCGAACAGCCCAAACCAAAAAUCUAGGCCCGAUUGACCCACCCCUCAAACAUUUCAAAAAAAAACCCUAGCAGCCCCUACUGCCCAUGUGCGCUGCUCAGCCUCCUCGCACGCCCCCUGGCCAUCGUUGUUGCUUGCCUAUCGCCUCAUCCGCAUGCUCUGACACCUCUCUGCCAUCACCUGCAAAAGCAGACAACAAGCAAACAAACAAAUCACAAGCAAACAAAAUAGAGGAAAAUAGUUUUGUAUUUCGGCUAUAAAGCCAAAAUCAGAUGCCUGUAUUUUUUUUCCUUUUUUUACACACAUCAGUUAAUCAAAAACAGAACAAAGAUUUGAAAAGGUUGCAAAAUCUUAUCGUUUUUUAUUUCGUUUCUCUGUUUCCUUUUUUUAUUUUAUUUAUCCAUUUGUUCAUUUCUUUUACAAACCAGUUUCAACAAAUAAUAGGGAAUAGAAAAAGGAAAAAGGAAGGAAAACUUGCCUGAAAAGCCCAUCGGUCGCGUCGUCGGAGGUCUCACCGUCGCCGAAAUCAGCCUUAAAAGGUGGGUUUGGGGGGUCUUUUCUCUCGGCCUUCGGGCUAAAGAAGUUUGGCCUUCGAAGGGAUUUGAAACAGAGGCAUGAAAAUCGCCCUUUGCGCAACGCCGGCCACGGCGGCGCGGCGGCGGUGGCCAUGGCCGAAACUCUAUGGCCGGAUGUGGGGGGAGAGUAUUUGAGAGAGUGCUGCAUUUUUUUUCCUUUGGAAAUGAAAGAGAAUGAAUUUUUUAAAAAAAAUUUGGAUUAUAUAAGUGCACGAAACGAUGCCGUUUUGCGCCAACGCACAUCGUCGUUGAAACGACGCCGUUUGGCCUAGGGACCCGAAGACCCGACCCGCAUUCAUGGGAUCCACGUGUUUUCUGAUGUGAGGGGAUAUUUGUGCAAUAGGCCCCUCCUGCUUUGCGGCGUGUUCAAUGCGAUCCUUUUUAUUUUUAUUUUUGAUUUUGGCCACAAAGUUUACUUCCGAUUCAAUCUGGUCCUUCAACCAUGUGCAGAUGCUACCCCUUAGAGCGACACCGUUUAAAGGACGAGGAAUAUUUCCGUUUUGGUCCUCAGCCUUCGCGCACCUUUGAUUUUGGUCCUAUUCGUUUAUUUUAUUACAGUUUUUACUUUAAAUUCCAUUUUUGUCCCAAUUUAAUCCCUAAUAUGUUUUAUUUUAACCUUAAUCUUUUUUCUUCAUAUUAUCAUUUUUAACAAUUUUCAUUUUUAUAUAUCUUUUUUAUUUAUUCAUUUUUUAAUUUUAUAAACAUUAUUUAUAAUAAACCGUACUAUAUCAUUUUAGAUAUUAUGUGUUUUAAAUUAUUCCAUAUAUUAUUUAUGUUGAAUUGCUAUAUAUGUUAUGUUAUCUUAAACGUUUCAUAGAUGUGUAUUAUUUCGUUUACUCAUAUUUCCAUGCUAUGGUAAUCCAUUCGUAUAUCAUGUUGUUCGAAAAUCAUUUCACCAUAUUAUAAAUUGUCACCCCCAUCAACGCAACCCUUUUGUUCACGCAUUAUUUCAAACAUUACAUUUUUACCCAAACAUGCAAAAAUGAAAAUUUCAAAUAAGGCAAUAUUUUGUGUAUUGGCGAUUCUAGAAAAUUGUACCCUAACUUACGGGGUUUCGAUUUUCCUCGAUAAAUCUAAAUACAUGAAUAUUUUCAAACAAAAGUUUUUAAAUGUUCUCGACAAUUAAAGAUCGUGUUUUAACUUACGGAAUAUGAUCUUUUCUAAAAUCGAGAUAAUCGAAUGUCUUUCAAAUAAGUAAAUUUUUCGGCAUGUAUUCUUGUAUCAGGAAUUCGAUACGUUGUGUCCUAACGCAUUGGAUAUGACAUGUUGUUUUCUCGAUAUGAGGAUUUUUCUAAAAAUAAUAAAGGCAAUAUUUUGCCUUUGGAAAUUCGAGAAAGCGUGCCCUAACGUGCUGGGUUUCGAUUUCUCGUUUGACCAAAUAGCCAAAUAUCCUCUUAAAACUUCAAAGUAUAGGUUUUUGAAACCAUAUGGUGAUCUUGGUUUCGAUGGUUUAAAGUAUUGUGUCCUAACGUGCUGGAUGUGAUAUUCCUUCAGAACAAGAGAAUCUUAAAUUUCAAUCCAUGUUAUUCGAGUUUUUUUUAAGGAUCGUAUUUUUAAAACUCUUCAAAGUUUUCAACCUUUGGCACUAAGACACUAAUUAAUCAACUAGGUACCAAUUUUGGGGGCAUCAAUAGUGCUAAUCCUUUCUCGUGCGUAACCGACUCCCGAACCCGUUUUCUGAUUUUCGUAGACCAAAAUCGAUGUUUUGAUAAAACCAAAUUGUUUAUUAAAACAACCAUUUUUUGAGGUGGUCCGAUCACACUACAUCAAAAAAUAUUGGUGGCGACUCUCAUUUUCGUCGACCUCGUUUUAUCAAAAAAUGGUGUCAACAGCUUGGCGACUCCACUGGGAAACUUAAAAAGAGAGUCAAGCCACGUGUUGAUUACUUUUUGUCUUUUUGUCAAAAAUUAAAAACUUGGUUUAAGUGUACGAUCCUUUCAUUGCAUUACAUUCGUCUUUAUUUCGGUAUUUAUCAUUGUGGUUUAUAACUACUGUGUUAAUUCAAGUUUGGAUAUAUUUCUGCGCAUUACAUUGCAUGAUCGGUAGAUCUUACCCUUCUAAGUGGGAGUGAGAAACUACGCCUUCGUGAGGUUUUCACCUCCGCAUGGGAUAGUGAAUCGCUUUCGGGAUACAUCCGUACCUAUGUCUUCGUGAGGUUUUCAUCUCCGCAUGGCCAUAGGGAAAUGUAUUCUCCUGAACUAAACUCUAUCCAUAUGAGCCUAUAAUGGGUGAGGAUCGAGGAAUCUGCCUGUUCGGGUACCUUUACUUUAGAACCAAACCGUAUAUAGUGAGCCCUAAGAACCUAUCCUAGGUAGAACCAUGCCAAAACCUUAGUGGUCACCCGAUUAGGUGCUCUAUUUGUUUCUUUCUUACUUACUUUUGCUUUGUAAUAACCCGUUUUGUUUUGUUUCGGUUAUGAUUACAUUGCAUUUUUCAUUAAAUAGAAAAGAGGUGUUGAUUCACGUUCAAGUAUCUAAAUAGAGAGCUUGUCAUAAGAAAAUGAGUUUCUUGAUAAAAUGAAAGACAAUGCGGUCGUCCGAAUAUGGUCCGAGAAAAUGUAACGAGGGAAGGGUGAUAGUCUGGUGAAUGAGUACACGACUUGCCUCGUUUCCCGAAGACUCAAGCUGACGAAGACUAUUUAAGAGCCGUUAGCGUCAACUUUCUUAAAGAAGCCAAUGAGCAUCACGAGAAUGAGUGAACAAUGAGUCGUAGCUCAGAUCAAGUAAAAAGGAGAUAGAGGAGGUACCAUUUUAAAGAGUUUUCGAGAUUCAAUCUUAACAUAUGGUUUGAAGAAAGGGGUCGAUGUCUUCGUCUAGAAAAUUAGGGCAAGGCCGUAUAUGUAAAUUUCCGUUUUAUGUAAAGAGAUUUAUUUUCUAGUAAAGUUGUUCUAAUAGAAUUGAAUUAGAAUCAACGUCUCUUUUUGCAUUCAUGCAUCAACAUUACAUUUCAUUGCAAUAAAUAAAUUUCCUAAAAUCCAAAAGUGCAUAGAGUUCAGAACUCUAGUAUAGAGCCAUAUGGAUGAUAAAGAAUUGGAUUUCUUUAAAUAUAUCGAUGGUUCGAAAGGUAAAGAUGUUUGUGCCUUUGAAGAAGAAACUAAAAAACUAUCAGGAAUUUGUUUCUACAUCCCUAGAGGUGUUCUAAACAACUGGACUGUGGAGUAAAUUCUUGUAGUUUUUAGGACCAUUUUAGAGUAAUAUUCAGAACACUCUUAUUGCUCUAAGCCUAGGAGCAAUAGAAAAUCUUUUUGUGAAAAAGGCACAUGUCCACUAUUUUUUAUUUCAACGAAAUGCAUCUUUGUGUCCUGUUUUGGCAAACAUUCUUUUGUUUUUUCCAUUUUAUUCAUACUCAUACCACACAAAUAAUUCCCCUUUGAUUCAUUUGUUCUUUGAGUCUUCUUUCGUUCCUUUAAUAGGUCUCUAGAUAUUAAUGAUAUGAGUGACACUGCUAUUGACUCAGAACCUUCUUUUGAGCAAGAUAUGUAUCCAGAGGAACCUCAGGACUUUGAAGAUGACCGAGACUAUAGCUUAUCUCCUGAUUGCUAAGGAUGGGAGAACAAGUCGAGAAACAAAUCCUGCUUUACAAAGAAUCAGUAAAAAUUGUGAGCUUAGAAGAAGAGAAAGAGGUGAAGAUCGGAGCAUGUAUCACCGCAGAGACAAAGCAAGACGUCAUGUAUUCGUUUGAUCGUAUCAAGAUAUGACUGAGCUACUAAGACUUGUAGACACUGUUGAGGCUAAAAAAAAAAGUGUUUGAGGAACACAUGCUAAUGGUUUUGCAAUGGCCAAGCAACUUAUGAGAUACUGUUGGUCCACCAUGGAAGGAGAUUGCAUCAGUUAUACCAAGCAAUGCAUAAGUGCCAAAUUUUUAGAGACAAGAUUCAUGUGCCUCAUUCAUCUCUUCUUGUUAUAACUUUUCGAUGGGCUUUCUCUAUGAGGGCCAUGAUGUCAUUGGGCUGACCUCGCCAAAAGCUUUUAGCAAUCAUCGAUUUAUCUUUGUGGUCGUCGAUUACUUCAUCAAGUGGGUAGAGGUUGUUUCAUAUGCCAAUAUCACAAAGUUAACAGUCAUCAAAUUUUUGAAAAAAGAAAUCAUAUGUCGGUAUGAAAUGCCAAAAAAGGAUCAUAUCUGACAAUGCACUGAAUUUGAACAACGGCAUAGUAUCAAAAGUUUGUAUUCUGUUCAAGAUUAAAUGAGUUAUCGACCCAAAGUAAACGAUGCAGUGGAGGCAAAAAAAGAAAAGAAAAAAUCCCUCUACUGGGGCAACUCAUUUCUCAUUGGUAUAUCAAACAGAGGUAGUUUUACCCAUUGAAGUUGAUAUUCCUUCCCUUCGAGUCUUGUUAGAGCUGAAGUUGGAUGAAGCUGAAUAGAUCCAAUCCCGAUAUAAUCAGAUAAAUUUGAUUGAUAAGAAAAGGUUGACAGCUAUCCGUCAUGGUAAAACGUACCAAAAGCGAAUGAUACGAGCUCACCAAAUAAGGUUCGCCCUAGAGAAUUCCAUGAGGGGGACCUGAUAUCGAAGAAGAUCCUUUCCAUACAAAAUAACUUCUAAAGAAAGUGGAUGCCAAACUGGAAAGGACCUUAUGUGGAAGGUCUUAUCUGAAAAAGCGUCGAUAUUGACCAAGAUGGACGGCAAGAACCUGCCUAGUCCUGUGAAUUCUGAUUCAAGCAAUAAAUACCUCACUUGAAAAAGAAACGAAAAAAAGAAAAGAAAAGAAAAAUAAAUAAAAAUAAAAAAUAGAGGCUAAGGCGAAAACCCGCAAAGGGCGCUUGAGAUCAAAGGGGUUUUGAAUUGAAAACCCAGAAAAGGGCAAUUCAAAAUUUUUAUCAAAGGUGGGGCAUGUGGUAAUCUUGUCCUCUCUGAAUUAGCAAGAAGGGGAGAUGCUACAUCUUGGGGCAUUAACAAAGUCUUCUAGGACCUCUAAACACAUAUCAAGUUCAAAAGGGUCCUCAAGAAGUUUGUGCAGAGAAGCUCGUGCUGCGAUAUCUGGGGCACCUGUUUGCAUCUCAAUUUGUCUAAAGCAAACACAACAGCUAAUAAUUUUUUCUCAGUGGUUGUGUAAUUGCUUUGGGCAUCAUCCAAAGUCUUCGAAGCAUAAUAGAUAACAUGAGGCUCUUUCCCUAUUCUUUGGCCAAGAAUAGCUCCCACACUUUGGUCACUUGCAUCACACAUGAUUUUGAAUGAGAAGUUCUAAUUUGGUGGUUACACUAUGGGAGCAGAAACCAAUUUCAGCAAGUCAAAUGCGUCUUUACAAGUUUGGUCAAAUUCAAAUUCUUUAUCCUUUUGUAUUAGAUUGCAAAUCGGUUGCACGAUCUUCGAAAAGUCUUUUAUGAAUCGUCUGUAAAAUCCUGCAUGGCCAAGAAACGAACGUACUCCCCUCACAGAUGUAGGGUAAGGUAAUGAGUCAAUAAUAUCCGUUUUUGCUUUAUCGACCUCAAUACCUUCUGAGGAAACUAUGUGACCCAAAAUUAAUCCUUUGUCAACCAUGAAGUGGCAUUUUUCAUAAUUUAAAACAAGAUUAAAUUCUAGGCAUCUUUGUAAUAUCUUAGCAAGAUUAUAGAGACAUUCGUUAAAAGAGUUACCGUACACCGUGAAGUCAUCCAUGAAGACUUCAAUGAUUUUCUUGACAUAAUCGAAGAAUAUACUUACCAUACAUCUCUGGAAAGUGGCCAGAGCAUUACAGAGUCCAAACGGCAUUCAUCUAUACGUAAACGUUCCAAAGGGGCACGUGAAAGUUGUUUUGUUUUGAUCCUCUAGAGCCACCAGAAUUUGGAAAAAUCUUGAGUACCCAUCGAGACAACAAUAGUGGGUCUUACCAACUAAUCGCUCGAGCAUUUGAUCGAUGAAGGGAAGUGGAAAAUAGUUUUUCUGAGUAGCUGCAUUCAACUUCCUGUAAUAGAUGCAAACCCUCCAUGCAUUCUGGACUCGGGUAGGGACUAGCUCUCCUGAUGACUUUUUCACCACUGCCACGCCAGUUUUCUUGGGCACGACAUGAACCGGGCUAACCCAAACACUAUCGGAGAUCGAGUAUAUCAUUCCAGUAUCCAACAAUUUCUGAAUCUCCUUAUUUACUACCUCUAUCAUGGGUGGAUUAAGGCACCUUUGAGCAUCUCUCUUUGGUUUCGUGUUAUCUUCGAUGGAAAUUUUGUGCAUACAAGUGGAUGGACUUAACCCUUUUAUGUCUGCUAUUGUCCAACCAAUAGCUUCCUUAUAAUUCCUAAGAACUCGAACUAGACUUUCCUCAUUGUCUUUGAUUAGUUUGUUUAACACUAUCACUGGUAAAGUGUCUUUCUCUCCCAAAAAGACGUUCUUGAGGUGGUCUGGUAAUGCUUUAAGCUCCAAGGUUGGUGGCUGCAAAACCGAAGGUAACAUUUUAGUUUGGUAAGGUAAUAGUUCAAAUUGGUUACCUCGAUUCAUCAACGAUGGUUGCGUCUCCAAGUGUUUGACAAUUUCUCACAACGGAUCUCCUAUAAUUGAUAAUUCCUUGAGACGACUUAAAACAUCCAUGUCAAUGCUUCUGUAAAUGACAGUUUCCAACUCAUCAUGGUCAUGAUAUUCAAAAUAAUAUUAAGUUAAAAAAUCUAUAAUAUCGAUACUAGAAAUACUUAAUAGUGAGUUAGGAUGACCCAUAGCUUUGUAGACAUUGAAUUUCACGAUUUCACCGUCAAACUCCAUUGUCAGUGUUCCGUACCGAACGUUAAUUUUUGUGCUUGCGGUACUUAGGAACGGUUUUCCAAGCAAAAUGUCAGAUGAAUUAGUUGAGUUAUCGUCCUCCAUAUUAAUAAUGUAGAAAUCUGAAGGGAAAACUAAUUCAUUAACUUUAACAAUGACGUCUUCAAGCAACCCUUUGGGAAAGACGACUGACCUGUUCUCUAACUGAAUUAUUACUCUUGUCUCUUUUAAAAGACCCGUGUUAAUCAACUUAUAAAUAGGAUAAGGCAUAAUAUUAAUGGAAGCCCCUAAAUCACACAUGGCUUUCUUAAUGCCUACAUUACCUAUCUCACAGAAAAUAAAAAACAUACAUUGGUCAUUGUAUUUGGGCGGAACUUUCUUUUGCAGUACGGCGGAGACAUUUUCUCCUACAUUUAGUCUUUCGUUACCUAUUAACCUCUUCUUUAUAGUACACAAAUUCCUUGAGGAAAUUUUCAAAACGAGGGAUUUGUUUGAUACCGUCAAGCAAAGUGAUAUUUACCUCCACCUUCCUGAAUGUUUCGAGGAUUUUUUUUCCUCCUUAUCUUUUUUAUCCCUUGCGAGCCUCUCUGGAAAAAGGAGGUGGCAUCACAACUAGUCUCUGAAUUUCUGAUUUCGGUCUGGCUUUUGGAUCAGAGAUCUAUUUUUCCCGUUCAUUGUCUUACCCAUGACUUUUGUCUGGAACUGUUUCCAGAACCUUUCCGCUACGAAGAGCUAUUGCACUUGUAUUCUGCCAGGGAUUCGGCUCUAUCUGGGAAGGUAAUUUACCUUGAGAUUCUAAAUAAUUAACCACCAUCGAGAUUUUACUAACUUGAUUAGUUAACUCUUGUAUUGAUGCAUCUGUCCUCUGUUAGUAUUUUACAGCAUCGAUGGUAAGUCUCUCCAUAAUAGCUUCUAGAGAUAUGCUCGGCUUGGGUUGUUGUUGUGGCGGUGGCGGAAGUCUUGGUUGGUAUGAUAGAUUGUACCGGUGAUUAGCUCCAUAAUUCAAGUUUGGAUGAUCAUUCCAUCCGGGAUUGUAGGUGUUAGAGAAAGGAUCAUAGCGUCUUUGCGAAGGUCUUGAAAAACCUCCGACAGCAUCAACAUGUGCCAUUGAAUUAUCGUUAAGGAUUGGGCAUAAAUUCGUUGGAUGUUCAUAUUCCACACAGUUGGGUCAGAUUCUUUUUUUUUGUAAGUAUAGAUUGAACAAUAUUAGUAAGCUUAUCCAAUUAUCUUCUAAGGAUGAAACGUUUACCUCAUUAACCCAUCUUGUGGGUUUUGGAUUUGGCCGAUACUGUUGAGAAUUUACCGUCAUGGUGGAUAUCAGUUCUCUUGCCCUUUGAGGAGUCAUAUUUACAAGUGCCCCUCCACUAGUAGUGUCAAUCAUCUUCAUUUCCAUAGGAAGCAAACCCUCGUAGAAAUACUGAAGAAAUGAUUGUUCGGUCAAACUAUGUUGAGGACAACUUGCACAUAGUUUUUUGUACUGCUCCCAAUAGUCGUAGAGCGAUUCACUCUCUAUUUGGCGAAUUCCUACUAUGUCUCUCCUAAGUUCAGCUGCUCACGAUUCUAGAAAGAAUCUGUCAAGAAAUACACGAGAUAAGUCAUCUCAUGUUGUAAUAGAACCGAGGGUAAAUAAAAUAACCAUUCUCUUGUUGUAUCAACUAAAGAAAAUCGAAAGGCCCGAAGUUUAAUUUCAUCUUCAGUUACUCCCUGAGGUUUCAUGCUUGAGCAGACCAUGUGGAAUUCUCUCAAGUGAGUGUGUGGAUUUUCGUUCUUCAAGCCUCGAAAAGUGGGCAAAAGGUGAAUUAGGCCUGAUUUCAACUCAAAUGGGGUUUCUCCGGUUGGAUAGUUGAUGCAUAACGGUGUUUGCUCGUUGGGAGCAGCGGCUAGUUGAUGAAUGGUUUGGUUUGCCAUCCUUUCUGGUUCACCGAGGUUAUCUUCUGCUUCUUUCAUUUCAGGAAGUGGUUUGGCCUCAGGUUUAACCACUUCGACUUAUUUCCCACGUCGAAUUGCCUCUACACGAAUUGCUUGACUCAACUUUUCGACUUCAGAUUCUAGGAUCCCUUGUCCUAGCUGAACUUCUACUUUACUUGCACGUUUAAGAGCUUCUGUCUCUUUUCAUCGUGCUCGUGCUAAUUUCUCGAUCUCUGGGUCGUAUUCGAGAUCUUCGGAUGAAGAUCAGGUCCUGAAAACGAUUUAAACAAUUGUAAGUGUUGCCAGUCCCCGACAACGGUGCCAAAACUAAUGGCUGUCGAUUCCACCAAUAUAAACCUACGCCUAAUUUACAAUUUAAGUAGUAUAGGGAGUAGGGUCGAUCAUUCAGAAACUGGGUUUACUGAAAAUUGUUUCUCUUUCUCGACUAGAUUUUUGUCUGGGCAGUUGUCGUGCCCAAGAAAUUUGGAGGAAGGAUAAAAUUGAAAACCCGGAACCUGAAAUAAACAAGAAAAAAAUGCGUGAAAAGUAAAAGCUGAAAAUAAAAUAAUAAAAAUAGUUAAAUAAAUCUGAAGAAAAAUUAAUUAAACUAAGCUUAGCUUUAGGCAUGGGUUUUUCCUCGUCUUUAAACCGAUCCUCGAAAUAAGAUGAACUCCUCUUUUCUAAUAAGCUAGUUAUAACUACCAAGGACACCUCGGACACCAACCCUUCAUUGUGUAAAUUAGUUAUGGAACGUCCAAUAACUAACCCUUACCAAUCGAACAACCAACGAAACGUUCGUGAUUUAGAACUCUGGCAGCUUUGCGUCCUAGAAGAGCCUAGCUCAAACCAAUGCCCUCAACCGCGUGGGACAUUUAAAUCCGAUUAAUACUUCCCUUGACGGAACCAAACAGCAUUCUCCACUUCACACGCCAAUGUGUUCACAGAAAACCGAUUAAACAAUCCAUCCUUUCGGAAUUCGAACUAUACGUCUAACCACACUAACUCAAAUGACGUCUUUUUUGACUUAGUGUUGAUUUGACAUUGUCAGUUGACGAAAUCAUACUCUUAAUCCGAAGAAACAAUAAGUACUAGAUUUUAGAAGUUAAUUUGUGUAGGUUCAUAACUCACGAAUCUUGACAAGGCUAACUCCGACCUAAAGCUGAAAAUGGAUUUAGUUGACUAAGGUUUGGGACAUGUUGGUAUUGGUCAUAAAUUAAAUAAGGUAAAAAUGGGUAAAAAGAAUGGGUGGCGUGAUUAAGUAUGAGGGCUGGAAUUUUGGUAAUGUAUUAGAGUGGGAUGGUUUGACUACUGGAAAUGAAAAGGAAGUUUGAAAAAGAAAUUGUAAAUGGUUUAAGUUGGUUACAAACUAGAAAUCAAUAAAUAAAAAGAAAAAAAAACAGAAACAACGAAUAGCUUCGUGAGAAUGAAGAAGAGAUUGCAUUCAAAGAGGAAAGCUUGAUUUAUGACUUGUUUUAUGACUUGAUGAAUAAAUGAACAAUGUAGCCCCCUAUUUAUACUAGUGGCUUUGCUAAAUUAAGAGCCACUAGCCAGAGAAAAUCAAGGAAAUAAAAUAUUCCAUGAUAUAAACAAUCCCUACAUAAUCUCCCACUAAGUCAACAAAAAUUUCAGCUAAUUAUAUUGAUUAAAUACUAAAGUUACAUAUUUUAUGUAAUUAAUUUGGUUAAUUUAUGAAAGUGCACCACUAAUUUUGCCAUAUUUAUUGAAUUUUGUGCAGGAAUGCAAUUUGGGGCUAAAUAGAAGAAAAAGGAAACAAUUAGGCUAGAUUGAAGAAAGAAGCAAAGAAUGAGGGCCAAAGAAGAAUUUUUCCAAAAUUAAUUAGCUGAAAUUUUUGAGUUAGUGGGAGAAUAUUUUGGGAUUUAUUUUAUUAUGGGAUAUUUUUCCUUAAUUUCCUAUGACUAGUUGGCUCCUAAUUUAGUAAAUCCUCUAGUAUAAAUAGAGCUUGUAUUGUUCAUCAUUUCAUCAAUCAAAAAAAUAUUAAGCUCUUGUCUUUCAAUACAUUCUCUCUUUUCUCACGUAGCAUUGUUGUUUCUUUAGUUUCCUUUCUUUCAAUUUUUUCCAGUAGCUAAUCACCAAAUCAAGCCAUUUGCAAUUUCUUUUUUUUUUCAAUUCUUUUCCAAAUAGUCAACCACCCCACUUUAAUAUAUUCCAACCCCCAUACUCAAUCACAUCACCCAUCUUUUCACCCAUUUACCUUAAUUAAUUUAUCAAAUACCAACAUGUCCCAAACCUUAGCCAACUAAACCCAUUUUCAGCUUUAGGCCGAAAUUAGCCUCGUCAAAACCAGUGAGUUACGAACCCGAGCCAUUUAACUCCUAAAAUUCCAGUACUUAUUACUUCUCCAGAUUAAGAGUGUGAUUUUGUCAGCUCAUAAAGUCAGAUAAACACUAAGUCAAAAAAGACGUCGUUUUAUUUAGUGUGGUUAGACGUACAGUUGGAAUUCUGAAAGGAACGUUUCCAAUCAGUUUUCUGUGAACACAUUGGUGUGCCAAGUGGAGAUUGCUGUUUGGUUCCGUCAAGGGAAGUAGUAGCCGGAUUUAAAUGUCCCACGCGGUUGAGCACAUUGGUUCGAGCUAGGCUCUUCUAGAACGCAAAGCUGCCGGAGUUCUAAAUCACGAACGUUUCGUGGUUGUUCGAUCGGUAAGGAUUAGUUAUUGGACGUUCUAUAACUAAUUUACACAAGGAAGAGUUGGUGUCCGAGGCGUCCUUGGUAGCUAUAACUAGCUUAUUAGAAAAGAGGAGUUCAUCAAAUUUCGAGGAUCGGUUCAAAGACGAGGAAAAUUCGUGUCUAAAGCUGAGCUCAUUCUAAUUAAUUUUUCUUAAUAUUUAUUUCACGGUUUUUAUUAUUCUGUUUUCAACCUUUACUUUUGACGUUAUUUUUCUGUUAAUUUCAGGUUUUCAAAUUUUUAUCCCCCCGAACGUCUUAGGCACGACAGCUACCCCGACAUAAAUCUGGUCAAGCGAGCAACAAUUUACAGUAAACCAGUCUCUGAGGGAUCGACCCUACUCCCUAUACUGCAUAAUUUGCAAAUUAAGGCGUAGGUUUAUAUUGGUGGAUUCGACACCCAUCAGUUUUGGCACCGUUGCCGGGGGACUGGCAAUACUUAUAAUUGUUUAAAUUAUCUUCAUGACCAGAUCUUCAUCCGGAGAUCUCGAAUACGACCCAGAGAUCGAAAAAUCAGCACGAGCACGACGAAAAGAGAUAGAGGCUCUUAAAGAUGCAAGUAAAGAAGAAGUUGAGCUAGGACAAGGGCUCUUAGAAACCGACAUUGAAAAGUUGAGACUAGCAAUUCGAGUAGAGGCAAUUCGACGUGGAAAACAAGUCGAAGUGGUUGAUCCUGAAACCGAACCACUUCCUGCAACAAAAGAAGUAGAAGACAACCUCGGUGAACCAGAAAGGAUGGCGAACCGAACCAUUCGUCAACUAGCCGCUGCUCCCAACGAGCAAACACCGUUAUGCAUCAACUAUCCAAUCGGAAAAACCCUAUUCGAGUUGACGUCAAGCCUGAUCCACCUUUUGCCCACUUUUCGAGGCUUGAAGAAUGAGAAUCCAUAUACCCACUUGAGAGAAUUCCAUAUGGUUUGCUCAAGCAUGAAACCACAGGAAGUAACCGAAGAUGAAAUUAAACUUCGGGCCUUUCCUUUUUCUUUUGUUGAUACAGAAAAAGAAUGGUUAUUUUACUUACCUCCAGGUUCUAUUACAACGUGGGAUGACUUAUCUCGUGUAUUUCUUGAUAGAUUCUUUCCAGCAUCGCGAGCAACUGAACUUAGGAGAGACAUAGUGGGAAUUCGCCAAAUGGAGAGUGAAUUGCUCUACGACUAUUGGGAGCGGUACAAAAAACUGUGUGCAAGUUGUCCUCAACACGGUUUGACCGAACAAUCACUUCUUCAAUAUUUUUACGAGAGUUUGCUCCCUAUGGAAAUAAAAAUGAUUGACGCAGCUAGUGGAGGGGUGCUCGUCAAUAUGACUCCUCAAAGGGCAAGAGAACUGAUAUCCACUAUGGCGGCAAAUUCUCAACAGUAUCGGCCAAAUUCAAAACCCACAAGACAGGUUAAUGGGGUAAACGUUUCAUCCUUAGAAGAUAAAUUGGAUAAGGUCACUAAUGUUGUUCAAUCUAUGCUUACAGAAAAGAAGAAUCGGACCCAACUGUGUGGGAUAUGUACUACGUCUGAACAUUCGACGGAUUUGUGCCCAAUCCUUAAUGAAUAUUUAACGGCACAUGUCGACGCUGUCGGAGGUUUUCCAGGACCUCCACAAAAACGCUAUGAUCCUUUCUCCAACACCUACAAUCCCGGGUGGAAAGAUCAUCCCAACUUGAAUUACGGAGCUAAUCCCUGAUAUAAUCCGUCAUACCAACCGAGACCUUUGCAACCACCGCAACUGCCACUCAAGCCGAGCACAUCUCUAGAAGCUAUUGUGGAAAGACUUACCGUCGAUGCUGUGAAAUAUCAACAGAGGAUAGAUGCAUCAAUUCAGGAGUUAACUAAUCAAGUUAGUAAACUCUCGAUGGCAGUUAAUCGUUUGGAAUCUCAAGGUAAAUUACCUUCCCAGACAGAGCCGAAUCCUCGGCAGAAUGCAAGUGCAAUAACUCUUCGUAGCGGAAAAGUUCUGGAAACAGUUCCAGACAAAAGUCAUGGGCAAGACAAUGAACGGGAAAAAUAUAUCUCUGAUCCAAAAGCCAGACCAAAAUCAGAAAUUCAGGAACCAGUUGUGGUGCCACCUCCUUUUCCAGGGAGACUCGCGAAGGAUAAGAAAGAAAAGGAGGAAAAAGAAAUCCUCGAAACGUUCAAGAAAGUGGAGGUGAAUAUCCCUUUGCUCGAUGCCAUCAAACAAAUCCCUCGUGAUGCAAAAUUUCUCAAGGAAUUGUGCACUAGCAAAAGGAGGUUAAUAAGUAACGAAAGAGUAAAUGUAGGAGAAAAUGUCUCCGCGGUACUACAAAAGAAAGUUCCGCCUAAAUACAAGGACCAAUGUAUGUUUGCUAUUUCCUGUGAGAUAGGUAAUGUAGGCAUUAAGAAAGCCAUGUGUGAGUGAGGGGCUUCCAUUAAUGUUAUGCCUUAUCCUAUAUAUAAGUUGAUUAACGCGGGUCCUUUGAAAAAGACAGGAGUAAUAAUCCAGUUGGCAGACAGGUCAGUCAUCUAUCCCGAAGGGUUGCUUGAAGACGUCCUUGUUAAAGUUAACGAAUUAGUUUUCCCUGCAGAUUUCUACAUUAUUAAUAUGGAGGACGAUAACUCAACUAAUUCGUCUGAUAUUUUGCUUGGAAGGCCAUUCUUAAGAACCGCAAGCGCAAAAAUUAAUGUUCAGAGUGGAACAUUAACAAUGGAGUUUGAUGGCGAAAUCAUGAAAUUCAAUGUCUACGAAGCCAUGAGUCAUCCUAACUCAUUGUCAAAUAUUUCCAGUAUCGAUAAUAUAGAUUGUUUAACUCAAAAUUAUUCUGAAUAUCAUGACUUUGAUGAGUUGGAAACUGUCCUUUACAGAAGCAUUGACAUGGAUGUAUUGAGUCGUCUUGAGGAGUUAGCAGUUAUAGAAGAUCCGUUGCGAGAAACUGUCAAACACUUGGAGACUCAACCAUCGUCGGCGAGUCGAGGUAACCAUUUUGAACUAUUACCUUCCCAAGUUAAAAUGUUGCCUUCGAUUUUGUAGCCACCAACCUUGGAGCUUAAAGCGUUACCAGACGACCUCAAGUAUGUCUUUUUGGGAGAGAAAGAUACCUUACCGGUAAUAGUGUCAAAUAGACUAACCAAAGACGAGGAGGAAAGUCUAGUUCGAGUUCUGAAGGAUUAUAAGGAAGCUAUUGGUUGGACAAUAGCUGACAUAAAAGGGCUAAGUCCGUCCACUUGUAUGCACAGAAUUUCCAUCGAAGAUAACACAAAACCAAAGAGAGAUGCUCAGAAGCGCCUUAAUCCACCCAUGACGGAGGUAGUAAAGAAGGAGAUCCAGAAAAUGUUGGAUGCUGGAAUGAUAUACCCGAUCUCUGACAGUGAUUGGGUUAGCCCAGUUCAUGUCGUGCCCAAGAAAACUGGCGUGACAGUGGUGCAAAAUUCAUCAGGAGAGCUAGUUCCUACUCGAGUCUAGAAUGGAUGGAGGGUUUGCAUCGAUUACAGAAAGUUGAAUGCAGCUACCCAGAAGGACCAUUUCCCACUUCCCUUCAUCGAUCAAAUGCUCGAGCGAUUAGCUGGUAAGACUCAUUAUUGUUGUCUCGAUGGAUAUUCAGGAUUUUUCCAAAUUCCGAUGGCGCCUGAAUAUCAAGACAACAACUUUCACGUGCCCCUUUUGAAUGUUUGCGUAUAGACGAAUGCCGUUUGGACUCUGUAAUGCUCCGGCCACCUUUCAGAGAUGCAUGGUAAGCAUAUUCUCCGAUUACGUCGAGAAAAUCAUUGAAGUCUUCAUGGAUGACUUCACGGUGUACGGUAACUCUUUUAAUGAAUGUCUCGAUAAUCCUGCUAAGAUAUUACAAAGAUGCCUAGAAUUUAAUCUUAUUUUAAAUUAUGAAAAAUGCCACUUCAUGGUUGACAAAAGAUUAAUUUUAGGCCAUAUAGUUUCCUCAGAAGGUAUUGAGGUUGAUAAAGUAAAAACGGAUAUUAUUAACUCAUUACCUUACCCCACAUCUGUGAGGGAAAUUCGUUCGUUUCUUGGGCGUGCAGGAUUUUACAGACGAUUCAUAAAAGACUUCUCAAAGAUCGCGCAACCGCUUUGUAGUCUGUUACAGAAGGAUAAAGAAUUUAAAUUUGACCAGACUUGUAAAGAUGCAUUUGACGUACUGAAGCAGAAAUUGGUCUCCGCCCCUAUAGUACAACCACCAAAUUGGAACUUCCCCUUCGAAAUUAUGUGUGAUGCAAGUGAUCGAAGUGUGGGAGCUGUUCUUGGCCAAAGAAUAGGGAAAGAGCCUCAUGUUAUCUACUACGCUUCGAAAACCUUGGAUGCUGCCCAAAGCAAUUACACAACCACCGAGAAAGAAUUAUUAGCUGUUGUGUUUGCUUUAGAUAAAUUUAGAUCUUACCUGUUGGGAACUAAAGUAAUUAUAUUUUCUGAUCAUGCAGCUUUGAAGUAUUUAAUAGGGAAGAAUGAGGCAAAACCUCGACUGAUCAGGUGGAUUCUACUUCUGCAAGAAUUUGAUUUUGAAAUUCGAGAUAGAAAAGGAUGCGAAAACUUAGUAGCUGACCAUCUGAGUCGAUUACCGAUUCCAGUAGACGACACACCAUUGAAAGACAACUUCCUAGAUGAAAACCUAUUUUCAGCAAAUGCGGUUCAUCCUUGGUACGCAGAUAUAGUAAACUAUCUUGUCACAGGUACUAUACCUUCAGAAUUACCAAUGUUUAAAAAAGAUAAGAUUAAAAAGGACGCUCGAUAUUACAUUUGGGACGAUCCUUACCUAUGGAAGCAUUGCUCCGAUCAGGUAAUCCGACGGUGUGUAACAGAAACAGAGGUACAGUCUAUCCUUGCCUAUGGAAGCAAUGCUCCGAUCAGGUAAUCCAACGGUGUGUAGCAGAAACAGAGGUACAGUCUAUCUUAACUUUUUGUCAUUCUUAUGCAUGUGGAGGACACUUUGGACCCAAACGCACCGCACACAAAAUUCUAAAGUGUGGACUAUUUUGGCCAAACAUAUUUCGUGAUGCCUUCUUAUUCUGUAAAACCUGUGAAAGAUGCCAAAAAGUCGGUAACCUUAGUCGACGAAAUGAGAUGCCCCUUACUCCUAUCCAUAUUUGUGAAAUUUUUGAUGUGUGGGGCAUCUAUUUUAUGGGUCCUUUUAUUUCUUCUUUCGGUAAUUUUUAUAUACUCUUAGCUCUUGAUUACGUUUCUAAGUGGAUAGAGGCAAAUGCUACUCGCAAUGAUAAUGCUAAGACUGUGGUUGACUUUCUUAAAAGUUCUAUCUUUUCCAGGUAUGGCACCCCACGAGCAUUAAUCAGCGACAGAGAAACUCAUUUCUGCAAUAAACUCGUAAGUGCACUUAUGGAAAAAUAUGGAGUGACUCAACGAAUUGCCACUGCCUACCAUCCACAAACAAACGGACAAGCUGAAGUGUCAAAUCGAGAAAUCAAGUCCAUACUGGAGAAGACUGUUAAACCUAACAGAAAGGAUUGGAGCUUGAGACUAAACGACGCACUUUGGGCUUAUAGGACAGCUUACAAGGGUCCAAUAGGCAUGUCACCUUAUCGACUUGUUUUUGGUAAACCGUGCCAUCUCCCGGUCGAAUUAGAGCAUAAAGCAUUUUGGGCAGUUAAGCAGUGUAAUAUGGAGAUGGAGAUCGCAGGAAGAGCUCGAAAGUUGGACAUUCAGGGACUUGAGGAAAUUAGAAACGAUGCAUAUGAAAAUGCUCGAGUUUAUAAAGAAAAGAUGAAGGCGUUCCACGAUAAGAUGAUCACUAGGAAGCGGUUUUCAAUAGGACAAAAAGUUCUCCUAUACGACUCCACCUUAAAAAUUUUUGCUGGUAAGCUUCGAUCCAAAUGGAUAGGUCCAUUUACUACCACUAAUUUAUUCUCAAAUGGUGCAGUGGAAAUUCAAAGCGAAGAAACCCGGAAGUGCUUUAAGGUGAAUGGACAACGAUUGAAACCCUUCUACGAGAAUUUUCAAACGCACACGAUUGAGGAGAUUGUUCUCGAGGAGCCCGAAAAUUGAAUAAUAGGUCGUCGAGCUAACGACGUUAAACAUAGCGCUGUUGGGAGGCAACCCAAAUUUUCUUUUCCUUUAUGCAAAUAAAAUUUUUGGUAAAAUGGAAAAUGAAAAUGCAUGUCGAGGAUUAGUUCUGUCUAAGGAAAGACUUGGUACUUAAGUAUGUCCAUUGUGACUCACCUCUCUUUCCUGGGAACUUACUUGGCACAUUCAUCACUACUGUUUUACCAAAUCUCGUAAUCUUGGUUUUUAAUAAUUUAUUUCUCGAGUUUAUAGCUUAGCUAAUAAAUUUGAAAAAAAAACAUUUUAAUUUUCCUAUUAUUAUUAUUAUUUAUUUUUACUAUUUUAUUUUAUUUUUAUUUUUAUUUUUACAGGAAACAUUCCAAGACAAAAUUAAAUUCCACAUGUCAACCUUCUUUUUAUUUCAGCCAAGGCCCACUCUAUCUACGAGACCACCCUCCAUGACAUUGAAAUACAUGAGGAGUUUCUUUUUUCUCUCUUUCUCCUACUUAUCUUUACUUUUAUUCUUUAAAUUACAUUGGGACAAUGUAAAAUAAGUAGGGGGAAGGAAACAUAAAUUGGUUCUAAUAUGAUUAUCUGUCAUCACUAUUUUUGCAUGUUUUUGGUAAAAGGUAAAAUUUUUCUUUUGAUAAAUUGGGAUGGUACACUUAUGGUUUGACCUAUUUAGCUAUUUAAUUCUUUACACAUGGAACUUUUCAAUAACCUAGACUUAGUGGGUAAGAAAUUUUUAGGAAUUAUAAGUUUGCUUGACUGCCUACUUUUUAUCAUAUGUCAAAUUUUUGAAUGUCAAAAAAAAAAAAUACUCCUUUGAUACGAAUGUUAAGAGUGAAAAAUUGAGGUUUUACAUCGGGCUGAGUAACCGGAACAUGGUGCUUGGGUUGUCAUCAUGUCUCGCGUAAAAAGGUUCAUGUGGCUGCCCAAUUUCUUUGCACUCACUCCGCUAACAAGUUAUCAUGAGUAGGGCGAAAUAACCCGCUUAGAGACGUCCGAAUUGAGUAACCGGAAUAUGGUGCUUGGGUUGUCAUCAUGUCUCGCGUCAAAAAAUUUGAAAAUGCCCUAAGUAAAAAAAUAAUAAAAUGAAAGGUAAGCCUAUCAAGCUCUCAUAAAUUCUGAAAUAUAUUUACUUACUUCUUAGGCUAGGCUAUUUGAGAUGUUAAUGUGCUAGGAUUAAAUUGUUGAAAUGUGCAAACCAUGGGGGUCAAGUCCUAUUUUGGAGAAAAUUUUUCCUUUUGCAGAUACAUACAAAAUGCUCGAGGACUAGCAUAAGCUAAGUGGGGGGAAUUGAUUAAAUACUAAAGUUACAUAUUUUAUGUAAUUAAUUUGGUUAAUUUAUGAAAGUGCACCACUAAUUUUGCCAUAUUUAUUGAAUUUUGUGCAGGAAUGCAAUUUGGGGCUAAAUAGAAGAAAAAGGAAACAAUUGGGCUAGAUUGAAGAAAGAAGCAAAGAAGGAGGGCCAAAGAAGAAUUUUUCCAAAAUUAAUUAGCUGAAAUUUUUGAGUUAGUGGGAGAAUAUUUUGGGAUUUAUUUUAUUAUGGGAUAUUUUUCCUUAAUUUCCUAUGACUAGUUGCCUCCUAAUUUAGUAAAUCCUCUAGUAUAAAUAGAGCUUGUAUUGUUCAUCAUUUCAUCAAUUAAAAAAAUAUUAAGCUCUUGUCUUUCAAUACAUUCUCUCUUUUCUCACGUAGCAUUGUUGUUUCUUUAGUUUCCUUUCCUUCAAUUUUUUCCAGUAGCUAAUCACCAAAUCAAGUCAUUUGCAAUUUCUUUUUUUUUUUCAAUUCUAUUCCAAAUAGUCAACCACCCCACUUUAAUAUAUUCCAACCCCCAUACUCAAUCACAUCACCCAUCUUUUCACCCAUUUACCUUAAUUAAUUUAUCAAAUACCAACAUGUCCCAAACCUUAGCCAACUAAACUCAUUUUCAGCUUUAGGCCGAAAUUAGCCUCGUCAAAACCUGUGAGUUACGAACCCGAGCCAUUUAACUCCUAAAAUUUCAGUACUUAUUACUUCUCCGGAUUAAGAGUGUGAUUUUGUCAGCUCAUAAAGUCAGAUAAACACUAAGUAAAAAAAGACGUCGUUUUAUUUAGUGUGGUUAGACGUAUAGUUGGAAUUCCGAAAGGAACGUUUCCAAUCGGUUUUUUGUGAACACAUUGGCGUGCCAAGUGGAGAUUGCUGUUUGGUUCUGUCAAGGGAAGUAGUAACCGGAUUUAAAUGUCUCACGCGGUUGAGCACAUUGGUUCGAGCUAGGCUCUUCUAGAAUGCAAAGCUGCCGGAGUUCUAAAUCACGAACGUUUCGUGGUUGUUCGAUUGGUAAGGGUUAGUUAUUGGACGUUCCAUAACUAAUUUACACAAGGAAGAGUUGGUGUCCGAGGCGUCCUUGGUAGCUAUAACUAGCUUAUUGGAAAAGAGGAGUUCAUCCAAUUUCGAGGAUCGGUUCAAAGACGAGGAAAAUUCGUGUCUAAAGCUGAGCUCAUUCUAAUUAAUUUUUCUUAAUAUUUAUUUCACGGUUUUUAUUAUUCUGUUUUCAACCUUUACUUUUGACGUCAUUUUUCUGUUAAUUUCAGGUUUUCAAAUUUUUAUCCCCCCGAACGUCUUGGGCACGACAGCUGCCCCGACAUAAAUUUGGUCAAGCGAGCAACAAUUUACAGUAAACCAGUCUCUGAGGGAUCGACCCUACUCCCUAUACUGCAUAAUUUGUAAAUUAAGGCGUAGGUUUAUAUUGGUGGAUUCGACACCUAUCAUAUAUCUUGGAAAUAUUCUGCUUUGGCCCUCCUACUUUGCUUCUUUCUUCAAUCUAGUCCAAUUGUUUCCUUUUCCUUCUAUUUAGCCCAAAAUUGCACCGCUGCACAAAAUUCAACAUAAACAUGGAAAAAAUCAGUGGUGCACUCUCAUAAAUUAACCAAUUUAAUUACAUAAAAUAUGUAAUUUUAGCAUUUAAUCAACCCAUUUUAUCCAUUCUAACUAGAAAUUCUAUCAAUCAAACCCUAAUUCAACAAUUUGUUCAACAUGAAUCAUAUUAAAAAAUCUAAUAACUUUCAAAAUUUUAACUUAAAUUCAACAAAACUUUGUUUUAAGACCUCUAAAACAUCAAAAUUAAAAGAAAAGGACUUGAUUAACUUACCAAAUUAAAGCUUAAAGCCUCAAACCCUAGUUUUUCCCUUUUCUUUUCUUUCCCCUUUCCUUUCUUUCUUUUUCAUCUAUUAUUUGUUUCUUCUUUCUAUUUUGUUUCCCUUUCAUUUCAUUUCAUUUUCUUUUAUUUGUUUUGUUUUAUUUUAAUUAUAAUAAUAUAAUAUAUAUUUACUUAAUUAAUAACCAAUACAUAUUUUAUUAUGAAAUACAUAUGUUUAUUAUUAUUACACAUGUAUUUACCAACACCACUCACUUGUCUAUUAUCAUCACGAUACACUUGUCUUAAUUUUAAUUUAUUCCAUAAUAUAAUAAUAUAAUUAAUAUAAAUUAUAAUUUUGUAACACCCCAAACCCGUCCUGGACGUUAUGGCCAAAUCUGGCGAUGUCACAUUGAAGUGCAUUUGAAAACCGUAUCAUUGCUAAAAUCAUUAUCCGUUUAGAACUUAUCAUUAUCUUUCAUUAAUUCUCAAAUCGUGAUUCAUUUCCAAAACGCUAUACUUUGCGGAAGCUUUUAAAAUAGCUUGCGUGUGCGUGGUAUUUUGAUAAAACAUUCAUCUCUUUUAAAAACCUGAGUUUUACCUACCUCUAGCAGAUAUAAACAGAAAAUAGUAGAAAAUCCAAAUUUUAGGUAAAAAAUCCAUAGAGGCCAUUAUUACAGAAAAAUACCCCAAAAUAAAACUUAAAAUUGUAAAUAAGUAUCAAAUAGAAAAAAUGAGUCAUGUGGCCACCGCUGAGUCCUCCACCACACCGAUCCACCUAUGUCUGGGGCUUACCUGUACAGAUUAAAUAGAAAGGGUAAGUUUACGUAAACUUAGUGUGUAAUCCCCAUACAAACAAAUAGACAAUAACAGAUAAUCUCAGUUUGGGCCUAAGCCCUUUUCAGUAUCAGUAAGCAUUAGGGCCUUAGCCCAUCACAGUACAGUAACAGUGACAGUUAUGCGGUUAUAAAUCCUACCCAACCAGCCUCUAUACUCCAUCUCCAUCCAACCCUACACUCUAUGUGGGGAUAUAAUCAACCCACCUAUCCCUACACUCCAAAUAGUACCGAAUGCGGCACUAAACAGUAGUUGCAGCUAAGCUGCCAGUAAGUUAGGCUUGAAGCCAUUCAGUACACUUCCUCCAAUCAAUAUAGUGUAUACAGCAUGCUCAACAUACAAACAUACAUAUCUAUCUUAUAUAGGCAUAUAACAGUCUUUCAAUCAUUUCAGUCAAUUAGGGGUCUAAGUAAACUUACCCACCCUACAGUAGGUUCACAGUCGACUUGGACAACCCGUGCAACCUUAGCAGUCAAUGAGUGAAAAUGGGCCCACAGGCCUAUGUUGCAUCCCAUGUAGGCCCACAUGCUCGUGUGGCCCACACGGCCCAAAAUGGCCUUGGCCGUAUGGAUCACACGGUCUAUCACAAUAUUCUUACAUGUCCGUGUGGUUUAUCUGUACGUGGCCCACACGCCCGUAUGGCCCAUACGGCGUAUUUCAGCUCAGCCCAUGAAUCGCAUAUAGCCGGCCUCGUUGAUCACACGCUUAUGUUCGAUCACACGACCUACCACAUAGGCAGCCGCACACCCGUGUGACGUCAACAAUUACAUUUUUUGGCUUUUCGCCUAUUUCUGUUUUCAGAGUUGUGUUUACACACCUGGUUCGUUUGUGACGUAAAAACACUUCCAAGAUCCCUAGCACUUAUGGUCAACAACCAAACCCCACAAUCAGUCCUAAUUCCUAGUUAACUUGAAACCAAAAUAUUGACAAUGAUUCGUUCAAUCCAUUCGUUACCUACCUUUAAAACCGAGCAACCCCCAACUAUGGAUCCGAACGAGAUAGGUCACCACUCCCACAAUUCACUGCUGACAAAUCUGAUAGACCCAAUAAGACAACAAUUCACAUCUUCAUAGCUUAAAAGAAUAGAAAAGCUUCCCCUAAUUCACCAAACACAAUCACCUUACUUACUAAACGAAUGACGGCAGAACCACACCGCUCCAAUGCUAAUCGAUUCGUUCUGGCCCUUAACCUUCAACAAUGAAGCAGUUGACCUAUCACCAAAAAUCCAUAAACCAAAUAACACCACAGUUACAAAACUUACCACCAAUGCACAAAAACAAAACGGAGAUGACAAAUUGCGGCAAUAAAGAUUUGAGAAGGAAAUGGACUACUAAAAAAACCAAAGCAGGGAGAGAAGGAAAUUUUCAGCGGUAGUCGACAACAAACAAAAAGAGGAGAAAAGAAAGGCCAAUGGCAUAAUUCGCAGAGAGAAUAAUAGCCAAGUAAAAAAAUAGAGGAGGAAAAACAGUCGGCUGCAAGGGAGAGAAAAGAAUCGGCAAAGAAAAUGAAGGGGAAGGAUGAAAAGAGGGAGAAGAUUCAACCAAGGGAGGAGGGGGACGUUUGCUCACCUUAAUUAACUCCCCCUAUCCCUAAAUUUGGGAAGCACAGAAUUCCACUCAAUUACCACUACCCCCUAAAUCCCUUAAUUAACUCCCCCUAUCCCUUAAUUUCACUCCCCAAUCGUCCACCACAAUCCCCUCAACCAUCGAAUUCAAACCCCACUCAAAACACCCUCACGACACAAGCAGUAAAAAUAAAUCUCAUGUUUGAGUAAGAACUUGAACUCCAAACCUCCUACUCAAUUGCAAUCCACUUAACCACCAAACCAACAAACUCAUUUUAAUGUAUUUUACCAAUAUUUAUUUAUAAGCCUACUGACUAGAGAUAGAGGUUUAUUCAUUUAAAAACAAAAAAUUUUCCCAAGCUAAUGCUUGAACUUGGGACCUCCCAAAUAUUCCCAAAAUACAUAGCUAUUAAAAUUGACAGAUAUUUUUGAUACAAAUAUACGAAAAUAAAUAUAUAAGAGAUUUUUGGGACGUUACAAAUUUUGAAUAAAUAAUAAUAUAUCUAAUUAAUUAACAUAAAUAUCUAAGAUUUUUAUACACAUUUGCCGCCUCAUUUAAUGGAAUAGGCUUAAUUGCCUAUUUAGUCCCUACUAUUUUCUUUUAAUCUAUAAUUAAACUUUUGCACCUUAUUCUAUUUAGUCCUUUUUCCUAAUUUCUCUUAUUUAAACUAAAUUCAUCCAAUUAAAACUUAAUCGGGCACAUCACUAGACUCAUAAUUACUCCUAAUAAUUAUUUACGGACUCGGUUUACUAAGACGAAGGCCCGAUAUUGCACUUUUUCGAUGCCCAUGAAUUUUGGGUCAUUACAUAUUGUAGAUAGACACUAAUCUUAGUUUAUGUAAUUCAAUCUAUACCGAAAGAUUUGGGUAUGCUUUUUAUGUCUACAAUUCUUUCGUGGGUAUGCUUAUAUUACUUUUUGUGUAGUGUCUUGUUUUACAUAGUUUAUAAUUGUCCCAACGAAUUUAAUUUAGAAUUUCUUUUUUUUUGUUUAUUCUGUGUGUUGUGUCAAUUUAUUUAUUUAUUUAUUUAAAAUGUUUUUUUUAUGUUCUAUUUUUUUUUCAUUUGUAAGCUUUUAUAAGAUUAUAUUUAUUUAUACAUUAAUACUUUUUCUUAUGUAAAAUUUUGUACGUUAACAUAUUUUUAUCGUAUUUACUUUAUUUUCCAUGACACGAUAUUUUUAAUUAUUUUUAAUACUUCUAUAUCAUGUUUUAAUUCGACAAUGUUCAUAGUUUUAUGAAAAUAAUUCUAUUUUAUUCUAAAUCAUGAUAAUGAUAUGGGCACCCAAACCGCAAACUUCACUACAAAACCCCAAAAACACAGAGAGCAAAGUCAAAACUCUUAACGAAAGACAUGAUGGAAUUGGCGAUGGAAACACAGAACAGAACAGCGACACCUUAAUUAAGUCCCCUACAUCAUUCUCUCAACAUAAACCAAAGGAUUAAGUCUCCAUUAGAAUAGGUUUUAUUUGUUUAUUCUCAUUUAUUUAUUUUGAUAAAUCAACAUAAACAACAACCCAAAUGUUGAUUUACAACCUUAACUUUAAGCAAUUAAACGAUAAGUCGGCUUUACAAGUAAAUGAUUAGCCCUCGGCAACGAAAGGCCGAACUUCUCGGUCAUGUCGAGUUCAAUAGGCAACAUCCCAUCAGGCAACUCCCAAUCAAAGCAAUGGGCUAAUUGAGCUAAAAUAAGACGCAUGCUGAUUAGAGCUAACUGCAUUCCGGGACAUCCUCUACGACCGGUUCCGAACGGAAUGAGUUCGAAAUCAUGCCCUCGAAGGUCUAUCUUCCUAUCCUUGAAUCUUUCUGGAAAGAACUCUUCGGCAUUGCUCGACCAUAUCUUGGGGUUUCGCCCCAUGGACCAAGUGUUCACCAAAAGCCGCGACUUCUUAGGUAUGAAAUACCCAUUAACGGUGACAUCUUCGGUCGACUCGUGCGGGACUAACAACGGUGCCGCCGGAUGCAACCUGAAACUCUCUUUGAUGACCAUAUCCAAAUAGGCAAGUUUCGGUAGGUCCGACUCUUCUACCAUUCUAUUCCUUCCGACAACACUUUCUAGCUCUUUCUGGAGAGCAACCAUGACUCGAGGAUGCUUUAGAAGUUCUGUAAAUGUCCACUCAAUGGCCGUGGAUGUAGUGUCGAAGGAAGCUGCCACCAUGUCCACCAUUAUAGCCUUGAUGUUUUCUCUACCAAUGAUGUAGGGUUGAUCUUUAUCGUUAGGGUUUAUGGGUGUAUCCAACAACGAAACCAUCACUUGAAAGAAACUUCUAUAAGGUUUUUGGUCAUCCAUGUUAAUCCCUUGUUGGUAUUCAUCUAUCAUUUUCUCAAAAAAUUCGUGAAGGCCACUACUCACCUUCUUAAGCCUUCUUGUAUAUCCCUGCAGCGUAAAGAUAGAUAUGAUAGAAUCAGUUUUAUAUUAAUUGUAUUUUUCAUUAUAAUUAUUCUUUGUGAAAAAACCAACGAGUCAUUCAACCAAAUAUUAAGACUUCCGAGUUUCACUCUGCAUCUUAUAAGAUUACUAUAACACAAUUUAUUAUGCUUUAAAAUUGGUAUUACUAUUAGUACGAAAAAAUAAAUAAAUUAUGAAAAAGAAAAAUAGUACAUAAAAAAACAGGAUAUAAGGAGGAAAAAAAAAACGUUACCUGAAGAUCAAGUGGAGCAAGGAAAGGCACAUAAUCCGAGAGAUUGAAAACCCCAGAUAAGUGCAGGGCCUCAUCAACCAGCGGCUUAAAAUCGAUUUUAUCAUACAUGGACCGCCCGAAUAACACUUUCGACAUCAUUUCUUCAAGAACCUUAGCCACCGCCUGGCUAAGGUUUAUUGUUUCACCCGCCGCCGCUACCUUCCUCACUGAUUCAACCAAUAACCCCACCUCCGCCUUCCUUAUCGGGGCAAAACAUUCAACUUUGGAAGCACUGAGGAAAUGCAAAAUACACCAUUUCCGUACAGUUCGCCAGUAAGAACCGUACUGGGUAAAAGCCACGGCCUUGCCACCAUAUGCGAAGUAUUUCGCGGAUUGGACUUUAGGCCUGGAAGCAAAAACGACGUCAUGGACCUUGAGGAACAGUUCAGCGGCUUCGGGUGAUGAUACCACGAUGGUUGGUACUUUGCCUAGCAUUAUCGACAUGAUGGGUCCAUAUUUUUUGGCGAGAUAGUGAAGACUUUGGUGUGGGAGGUUCCCUAGCAUGUGGAUGUUACCUAUGAUGGGAAGAGGGGCAGGACCGGGUGGAAGUUUCCGGCCAUUUUUGUUGCGGUUUGGUGAGCUGAAGAAGUAGAUAAAGGAACAGAGAGUUCCAAGGAGGACAAAGAGUAAGGUUAAUGUUGAAGAAGACAUUUGGGAGGGAAGCCAAUCACAAUAGCUGAUAGCCAUUGGGGAUUGAUUGAUUGAUUGAGUACUUGUAGAUGGAAGCAACCGAUGGCAGCUGCAAGUCGGGAGAAUUCGCCAAAUAUGUCGAUUUUAACAAAAACUACGGAGUUCGACUUUUUUUUUUUUUUUAAAUGUAAGGAAAUAAGUUGAUUUUGGCUCAUACAUGGGUAAAAGCUUUGCGGGCUUAAUUUGCCAGUUGAAUUACUUAGCGUGGUAAGAAAAUAUUAUUAUAAUUUUGAUUUUAAUUAAUAUUAUUUUUAAGUUUUUAAUGUUAUUAUAUUUUUUUUAUUUUUUAUGUUUAUAUAAUCAAGAAGAUCAAAUUAUUGAAAUUUAUAUACACACAAUUUAAGUGCAAGAGCACCACGUGUUAUUGAACAAUGCUUGAAAGAGGUGAGAUUCUUACACGUGUCUCAUAUGCUCAACGAGACUAAAUUGGAGUCUGCACUUGUCAGUGCUUUGCUGGAGAGAUGGAGAUCCGAAACACAUACAUUCCAUCUAUCAUGCAGUGAGUGUACGAUUACAUUUAAGGAUGUAUCAUUACAACUCGGUCUGCCAAUUGAUGAGGCUGUCAUUACAGGAGUGGUGCACAUUGGGGAUUGGAGGCCAAUUUGCCACCAGCUAUUAGGCAAGGUGUCAAACAAGUUUAGUGGUAAUCAAAUAUAUAUGAAAUGGUUAGAAGAUAAUUUCUCACAUCACAAAACUCUUCUAGUGCAGUUGAAAGACAACAAUUAACUCGGGCAUUAAUUUAUACCUUCUAAUGCCAUAUAAAUCUCAAAAUUUGAUACAUUUAAGGGGACUCUUAUAACUAAUCGACCUAAAAGAAACUGGGCAACUCAGUUGGAGAUCAAUUGUCUUGGUUACAUUGUAUCGAAAGUUGUGUUGGACAAUAGAAGCACAAAAAUUAAAAUCGUUGGUUGUAUAUUCCUUCAAUCAUGGGUAUAGUAUCGUUUACCAUUUUUACAUCCCGAGGAAACUCCCAUUAUCAAUUAUUACUCGUAAUAAGGUAACAUUCAUUUAAUAAUAUAGUUAUCAUAUUAUCUUUUUUCAUUAUUAUAUUUUUGGAAUAACAUAUUAUUUGAACAGAUAGAAAAAUAACGCGAGUCCUGUGGGUAUACCAAAUAAACUUGAAGAUAUUUGGUUAUUGUUAAAUCAAUGGUUAAUAGUCGAGGUCAGUUUUUGAAUUUUUUUUAAUUACAUAAUAAUUAUUUAAGGAUUUGAAAUUUAAUAUUAGGUGUGUAUGAAAUUUAUAAUUUCAUAUUAUAAUUUAAAUGGAUGUCAUACUCUGAUCCGAGAAUUGAAGAAUGCAUCCCGUCUAAAUUUUUGACGAAUCAUAAUAUCUUACAUGUCAAAGUGUCAUUAAUAGUUUUUGCAUUGUCUAUUUUUAAUAAAUAUAUUUGAGGUAAAGUUUUUUUUUUAUAUAUUCUAUUUGAACUUUUUUAUAUUUAAAAAAAAUAUACAUACUUUUCAUAUAUAUUUUUUAAGAACUAGGACCAAAUUAAUAGAAUAUAUAAACAUUGAUGGUUUAAUUUGUUACUAUAUCAAUUAAAAUUAUGUACAAUUGAUGGAAAAUAUUAUUUUUGAUGAUUAAUUGUCCUUAGUUGCUCACUUUUAAAAUGAACAAUGAUUAAAUAGCUUUGUUGUUUUCAGUAGGACCAAUUUGCUUAAUAUCAAAAUUGAGAGAAACUAAAAAAAAUUUACCUAAAUCUGCUCGUCUAUAUGGGAAGGCUUUCCUUCUUUUAGCUACAAUUGUAUUUAUUAAUUCAUAGAUUUGUCCGGAUAACAAAAAAGUGAUAAUCAAUUAUAAUGAGACAAUGGCUAUUAUUUGCAGAGACCACUGGAUCAAUCACAAAUGCCGACACCUAAAAUCAUAUAGUUAUUUUGGAUAAAUCUAACGUGAUGUAAAGUAUAUAUAUUUAUAAAAAAUUAUAAAUUAUAAUAUCGUAUAAUAAAAUAAUAUAUGAAUUUUAAUUGUAUUGGGUAACAUGUAUUUGUUUUCAACAUACCAUAAUUCUGGGAAGGAAAAUGUGGAUACAGGUAUAAGUUGGACAAGAAGUUAUAAGUGGUUGAACACGGUAUGAUUGCAUGAUGUGAGGGUGACAACUAACUAGUGGACAUGUCCAAGUAGAGGAUGGAUUAAACUUAAUACAGAUAGAGUUGUAUCCAGAAAUAACUCAUUUGCGGGCAUUGGGGGAGUGUUUAGAGGUGCCAACAGCAAGUGGUUAGGUGGUUUGUCGAUGAAGUUAGGAAAGGAUUCAAUUUUCAAGAUUGAGGCGAGAGCCUUACUUAAAGGCCUACUUAUAUCAUGGAGGAAAGGUUAUCGACAAUUGGAAGUGGCCAGACACGCAAAUAGACCCUUCCACAAAAACACGCGGAUCCUGAGGUUGGAGUGGGUCAGGUCGCGGGUUGGCCCCCCAAAACGACGCCGUUUUGGGCGUCUAGGGGCCUAAUGAAACGACGCCGUUUUGAUAACUCCAUUUAAGCCCAAAUUUUUUUUAAAACUUCAUUCCAGUCUUUGUUUUUUAAUAAACUCAAAAAAAAAACCUCUCAACUCUCUCUCAACUCCCCAAAAUUCGGUCAGCUUAGGUUGCCGGACCACCGUGGCGGCCGCCGGUCACCGGCGACGGCGCCGCCGCCCACAAUGGCCAAAAAACCAAAAAAGCCUAUUUUUUGGGGUUUUUUUGACUCCCCGACUUCGAAUAACGCCGAUUUUCAUCGGAAUUGGCACCUCUCUCACCAAAGGUACGUUUUCAAUCCUUUUCUUUUUAUUUAUUUUUUGUUUUUUCCUUCUAAAAAAUAAUAAGAACGAAAGAAAAAGAAGAAAAAAUAAGGAAAAAAAUCCCACUACCUUCGAAAAUCUAUUGAUUUUUUCUAUUCUCUUUCAUUCAUUCGUUCUUAUUAUUUUUUUUAGAAGGAAAAAACAAAAAAUAAAUAAAAAGAAAAUGAUAGAAAACGUACCUUUGGUGAGAGAGGUGCCGAUUCCGAUGAAAAUCGGCGUUAUUCAAAGUCGGGAAGUCGAAAAACCCAAAAAAUGGGUUUUUUCAAUUUUUCGGCCACCGUGGGCUGCAGCGACGGCGCUGGGGACCGGCGGCCGCCACGGUAGUCCGGCGACCUAAGCUGACCGAAUUAUGGGGAGUUGAGAGGAUUUUUUUUGAGUUUUUUUAAAAAACAAAGGCUGAAAUGAAGUUUUUUUUAAAAAUUGGGCUUAAAUGGAGUUAUCAAAACGACAUCAUUUCAUUAGGCCCCCAAACGCCCAAAACGGCGUCGUUUUGGGGGGCCAACCCAUCACCAAACCCGCUCCAACCUCAGGAUCCGCGUGUUUUUGUGGAAGGGUCUAUUUGCGCGUCUGGCCCUUCCGCCUUUUUUUAUUUACAAUUAAGUUUUUUUAUUUUUAUAAUUUUUCCCUAUAAUUUAUCUCGGCUUCCAUUUUAGUCCCUAAUUGAACUUGUUGGGCGGGGAUUAUUGCUCAUUUGGUCCAUCCUUGUUAUUCGCGCAUUCAACUUGGUCCUUUUCCUCUUUAUUUAUUUCUAAUUUUCCCCAAAUUUAUGUUUUAAGUUCGAUUUGGCCCUUUUUUGUUAUUUUGCUAUUUUACUAUUAAAUUAAUUAAUUUAAUAUUAUUAUCACUAUUAUUAUUUUUCUUUUUCUUUUUUACCUAAAUAUUUCAAAUACAUUUAUUUUAUUUUUAUCCCAUAUUUAUUUAUAUUCUAUUUUAUAAUUUUAAAACUUUAGAUCAUUAUUAUUAUUACUAUUAAUCAUCAUUAAUUUUAAUAUUUUUUUAAAAAAAAUUGUUUAUACAAUAUUUAUUUAUUUAUUUAAUAUUAGGUCUUUAACUUCAAAUUUAGUUUAUUAUUUCAUCAUUUGUCUUUUUAUUUUUAUUUAUUAUUAUCAUUUUGGCUUGUUUAUCGUAUUUUAUUUUCAUUCUUUAUAUUGGCGUUCACAUUCUACUAUGCAUAUCAACACUGUAAUUCAUUUCAUAUUUCACUACCAAUUCGUGAUAUUUCAAUCCUUCUCCGAUAUACAAACUUCAUUUUUAAUAAUACGCAAUAUUUCGUAUUUUGGAAUUCGAAAAGGUUGUUCCCUAACUUACGGGAUUUUGGUUUUUUCCGAUGAAUCCGAAUAUACGAAUCAUUUUUCAAAAACACAUUUUUUAAAUUAUCUCAGGAAUUAAUAAGACUGUGUUCUAACUUAUGGAAUAUGGUCUUUUCUAAAACCUAAAUAAUAAAAUAUCUUUCAAAUAAGUAAAUUUUUUCGACAUUUAUUCUCGUAUCGGGAAUUUAAGACAUUGUGUCCUAACUUACUGGACGUAAUUCUCUUUCUCGAUUAAAAGUGAAAUGUGCCCCCUUUUUUUGAAAUUUUUUAAUAUUUUAACAAAAGAUCGUAUUUUAAAUUCUUUUUGAGUUUUCAACUUUCGACAUUAAGACACUAAUUAAUCAACUAGGUACUAAUUUUUGGGCGUUACAAGGGUGCUAAUCAUUCAUCGUACGUAACCAACUCCCGAACCCAUCUUUCUGAAUUCCGUGGACCAAAAUUGUUGUUUUAAUAAAUCAAAUUUGUAAGAGCCCAUUUUUGCCCGGGCCCAAAAUAGAGACCCAAAAUCCAAAAUAAAACAGUCCAUUACAGUAGUGGCCCAAACCCAAAAUAAAAAUAAAACCCAAAAUAUAUAUAUAAUAGUCCAAAAUUAUAGUCUAAUGGGCCCGAACAGCCCAAACCAAAAAUCUAGGCCCGAUUGACCCACCCCUCAAACAUUUCAAAAAAAAACCCUAGCAGCCCCUACUGCCCAUGUGCGCUGCUCAGCCUCCUCGCACGCCCCCUGGCCAUCGUUGUUGCUUGCCUAUCGCCUCAUCCGCAUGCUCUGACACCUCUCUGCCAUCACCUGCAAAAGCAGACAACAAGCAAACAAACAAAUCACAAGCAAACAAAAUAGAGGAAAAUAGUUUUGUAUUUCGGCUAUAAAGCCAAAAUCAGAUGCCUGUAUUUUUUUUCCUUUUUUUACACACAUCAGUUAAUCAAAAACAGAACAAAGAUUUGAAAAGGUUGCAAAAUCUUAUCGUUUUUUAUUUCGUUUCUCUGUUUCCUUUUUUUAUUUUAUUUAUCCAUUCGUUCAUUUCUUUUACAAAUCAGUUUCAACAAAUAAUAGGGAAUAGAAAAAGGAAAAAGGAAGGAAAACUUGCCUGAAAAGCCCAUCGGUCGCGUCGUCGGAGGUCUCACCGUCGCCGAAAUCAGCCUUAAAAGGUGGGUUUGGGGGGUCUUUUCUCUCGGCCUUCGGGCUAAAGAAGUUUGGCCUUCGAAGGGAUUUGAAACAGAGGCAUGAAAAUCGCCCUUUGCGCAACGCCGGCCACGGCGGCGCUGCGGCGGUGGCCAUGGCCGAAACUCUAUGGCCGGAUGUGGGGGGAGAGUAUUUGAGAGAGUGCUGCAUUUUUUUUCCUUUGGAAAUGAAAGAGAAAGAAUUUUUUUUAAAAAAAAUGGAUUAUAUAAGUGCACGAAAUGACGUCGUUUUGCGCCAACGCACAUCGUCGUUGAAAAGACGCCGUUUGGCCUAGGGACCCGAAGACCCGACCCGCAUUCAUGGGAUCCACGUGUUUUCUGAUGUGAGGGGAUAUUUGUGCAAUAGGCCCCUCCUGCUUUGCGGCGUGUUCAAUGCGAUCCUUUUUAUUUUUAUUUUUGAUUUUGGCCACAAAGUUUGCUUCCGAUUCAAUCUGGUCCUUCAACCAUGUGCAGAUGCUACCCCCUAGAGCGACACCGUUUAAAGGACGAGGAAUAUUUCCGUUUUGGUCCUCAGCCUUCGCGCACCUUUGAUUUUGGUCCUAUUCGUUUAUUUUAUUACAGUUUUUACUUUAAAUUCUAUUUUUGUCCCAAUUUAAUCCCUAAUAUGUUUUAUUUUAACCUUAAUCGUUUUUCUUCAUAUUAUCAUUUUUAACAAUUUUCAUUUUUUAUAUAUCUUUUUUAUUUAUUCAUUUUUUAAUUUUAUAAACAUUAUUUAUAAUAAACCGUACUAUAUCAUUUUAGAUAUUAUGUGUUUUAAAUUAUUCCAUAUAUUAUUUAUGUUGAAUUGCUAUAUAUGUUAUGUUAUCUUAAACGUUUCAUAGAUGUGUAUUAUUUCGUUUACUCAUAUUUCCAUGCUAUGGUAAUCCAUUCGUAUAUCAUGUUGUUCGAAAAUCAUUUCACCAUAUUAUAAAUUGUCACCCCCAUCAACGCAACCCUUUUGUUCACGCAUUAUUUCAAACAUUACAUUUUUACCCAAACAUGCAAAAAUGAAAAUUUCAAAUAAGGCAAUAUUUUGUGUAUUGGCGAUUCUAGAAAAUUGUACCCUAACUUACGGGGUUUCGAUUUUCCUCGAUAAAUCUAAAUACAUGAAUCUUUUCAAACAAAAGUUUUUAAAUGUUCUCGAUAAUUAAAGAUCGUGUUUUAACUUACGGAAUAUGAUCUUUUCUAAAAUCGAGAUAAUUGAAUGUCUUUCAAAUAAGUAAAUUUUUCGGCAUGUAUUCUUGUAUCAGGAAUUCGAUACGUUGUGUCCUAACGCAUUGGAUAUGACAUGUUGUUUUCUCGAUAUGAGGAUUUUUCUAAAAAUAAUAAAGGCAAUAUUUUGCAUUUGGAAAUUCGAGAAAGCGUGCCCUAACGUGCUGGGUUUCGAUUUCUCGUUUGACCAAAUAGCCAAAUAUCCUCUUAAAACUUCAAAGUAUGGGUUUUUGAAACCAUAUGGUGAUCUUGGUUUCGAUGGUUUAAAGUAUUAUGUCCUAACGUGCUGGAUGUGAUAUUCCUUCAGAACAAGAGAAUCUUAAAUUUCAAUCCAUGUUAUUCGAGUUUUUUUUAAGGAUCGUAUUUUUAAAACUCUUCAAAGUUUUCAACCUUUGGCACUAAGACACUAAUUAAUCAACUAGGUACCAAUUUUGGGGGCAUCAAUGGUGCUAAUCCUUUCUCGUGUGUAACCGACUCCCGAACCCGUUUUCUGAUUUUCGUGGACCAAAAUCGAUGUUUUGAUAAAACCAAAUUGUUUAUUAAAAUAACCAUUUUUUGAGGUGGUCCGAUCACACUACAUCAAAAAAUAUUGGUGGCGACUUUCAUUUUCGUCGACCUCGUUUUAUCAAAAAAUGGUGUCAACAGCUUGGCGACUCCACUGGGAAACUUAAAAAGAGAGUCAAGCCACGUGUUGAUUACUUUUUGUCUUUUUAUCAAAAAUUAAAAACUUGGUUUAAGUGUACGAUCCUUUCAUUGCAUUACAUUCGUCUUUAUUUCGGUAUUUAUCAUUGUGGUUUAUAACUACUGUGUUAAUUCAAGUUUGGAUAUAUUUCUGCGCAUUACAUUGCAUGAUCGGUAGAUCUUACCCUUCUAAGUGGGAGUGAGAAACUACGCCUUCGUGAGGUUUUCACCUCCGCAUGGGAUAGUGAAUCGCUUUCGGGAUACAUCCGUACCUAUGUCUUCGUGAGGUUUUCAUCUCCGCAUGGCCAUAGGGAAAUGUAUUCUCCUGAACUAAACUCUAUCCAUAUGAGCCUAUAAUGGGUGAGGAUCGAGGAAUCUGCCUGUUCGGGUACCUUUACUUUAGAACCAAACCGUAUAUAGUGAGCCCUAAGAACCUAUCCUAGGUAGAACCAUGCCAAAACCUUAGUGGUCACCCGAUUAGGUGCUCUAUUUGUUUCUUUCUUACUUACUUUUGCUUUGUAAUAACCCGUUUUGUUUUGUUUCGGUUAUGAUUACAUUGCAUUUUUCAUUAAAUAGAAAAGAGGUGUUGAUUCACGUUCAAGUAUCUAAAUAGAGAGCUUGUCAUAAGAAAAUGAGUUUCUUGAUAAAAUGAAAGACAAUGCGGUCGUCCGAAUAUGGUCCGAGAAAACGUAACGAGGGAAGGGUGAUAGUCUGGUGAAUGAGUACACGACUUGCCUCGUUUCCCGAAGACUCAAGCUGACGAAGACUAUUUAAGAGCCGUUAGCGUCAACUUUCUUAAAGAAGCCAAUGAGCAUCACGAGAAUGAGUGAACAAUGAGUCGUAGCUCAGAUCAAGUAAAAAGGAGAUAGAGGAGGUACCCUUUUAAAGAGUUUUCGAGAUUCAAUCUUAACAUAUGGUUUGAAGAAAGGGGUCGAUGUCUUCGUCUAGAAAAUUAGGGCAAGGCCGUAUAUGUAAAUUUUCGUUUUAUGUAAAGAGAUUUAUUUUCUAGUAAAGUUGUUCUAAUAGAAUUGAAUUAGAAUCAACGUCUCUUUUUGCAUUCAUGCAUCAACAUUACAUUUCAUUGCAAUAAAUAAAUUUCCUAAAAUCCAAAAGUGCAUAGAGUUCAGAACUCUAGUAUAGAGCCAUAUGGAUGAUAAAGAAUUGGAUUUCUUUGAAUAUAUCGAUGGUUCGAAAGGUAAAGAUGUUUGUGCCUUUGAAGAAGAAACUAAAAAACUAUCAGGAAUUUGUUUCUACAUCCCUAGAGGUGUUCUAAACAACUGGACUGUGGAGUAAAUUCUUGUAGUUUUUAGGACCAUUUUAGAGUAAUAUUCAGAACACUCUUAUUGCUCUAAGCCUAGGAGCAAUAGAAAAUCUUUUUGUGAAAAAGGCACAUGUCCACUAUUUUUUAUUUCAACGAAAUGCAUCUUUGUGUCCUGUUUUGGCAAACAUUCUUUUGUUUUUUCCAUUUUAUUCAUACUCAUACCACACAAAUAAUUCCCCUUUGAUUCAUUUGUUCUUUGAGUCUUCUUUCGUUCCUUUAAUAGGUCUCUAGAUAUCAAUGAUAUGAGUGACACUGCUAUUGACUCAGAACCUUCUUUUGAGCAAGAUAUGUAUCCAGAGGAACCUCAGGACUUUGAAGAUGACCGAGACUAUAGCUUAUCUCUUGAUUGCUAAGGAUGAGAGAACAAGUCGAGAAACAAAUCCUACUUUACAAAGAAUCAGUAAAAAUUGUGAGCUUAGAAGAAGAGAAAGAGGUGAAGAUCGGAGCAUGUAUCACCGCAGAGACAAAGCAAGACGUCAUGUAUUCGUUUGAUCGUAUCAAGAUAUGACUGAGCUACUAAGACUUGUAGACACUGUUGAGGCUAAAAAAAAGUGUUUGAGGAACACAUGCUAAUGGUUUUGCAAUGGCCAAGCAACUUAUGAGAUACUAUUGGUCCACCAUGGAAGGAGAUUGCAUCAGUUAUACCAAGCAAUGCAUAAGUGCCAAAUUUAUAGAGAAAAGAUUCAUGUGCCUCAUUCAUCUCUUCUUGUUAUAACUUUUCGAUGGGCUUUCUCUAUGAGGGCCAUGAUGUCAUUGGGCUGACCUCGCCAAAAGCUUUUAGCAGUCAUCGAUUUAUCUUUGUGGUCGUCGAUUACUUAAUCAAGUGGGUAGAGGUUGUUUCAUAUGCCAAUAUCACAAAGUUAACAGUCAUCAAAUUUUUGAAAAAAGAAAUCAUAUGUCGGUAUGAAAUGCCAAAAAAGGAUCAUAUCUGACAAUGCACUGAAUUUGAACAACGGCAUAGUAUCAAAAGUUUGUAUUCUGUUCAAGAUUAAAUGAGUUAUCGCCCCAAAGUAAACGAUGCAGUGGAGGCAAAAAAAAGAAAAGAAAAAAUCCCUUUACUGGGGCAACUCAUUUCUUAUUGGUAUAUGAAACAGAGGUAGUUUUACCCAUUGAAGUUGAUAUUCCUUCCCUUCGAGUCUUGUUAGAGCUGAAGUUGGAUGAAGCUGAAUAGAUCCAAUCCCGAUAUAAUCAGAUAAAUUUGAUUGAUAAGAAAAGGUUGACAGCUAUCUGUCAUGGUAAAACGUACCAAAAGCGAAUGAUACGAGCUCACCAAAUAAGGUUCGCCCUAGAGAAUUCCAUGAGGGGGACCUGAUAUCGAAGAAGAUCCUUCCCAUACAAAAUAACUUCUAAAGAAAGUGGAUGCCAAACUAGAAAGGACCUUAUGUGGAAGGUCUUAUCUGAAAAAGCGUCGAUAUUGACCAAGAUGGACGGCAAGAACCUGCCUAGUCCUGUGAAUUCUGAUUCAAGCAAUAAAUACUUCACUUGAAAAAGAAACGAAAAAAAUAAAAGAAAAAAAAAUAAAAAUAAAAAUAAAAAAUAGAGGCCAAGGCAAAAACCCGCAAAGGGCGCUUGAGAUCAAAGGGGUUUUGAAUUGAAAGCCCAGAAAAGGGCAAUUCAAAAUUUUUAUCAAAGGUGGGGCAUGUGGUAAUCUUGUCAUCUCUGAAUUAGCAAGAAGAGGAGAUGCUACAUCUUGGGGCAUUAACAAAGUCUUCUAGGACCUCUAAACACAUAUCAAGUUCAAAAGGGUCCUCAAGAAGUUUGUGCAGAGAAGCUCAUGCUGCGAUAUCUAGGGCACCUGUUUGCAUCUCAAUUUGUCUAAAGCAAACACAACAGCUAAUAAUUUUUUCUCAGUGGUUGUGUAAUUGCUUUGGGCAUCAUCCAAAGUCUUCGAAGCAUAAUAGAUAACAUGAGGCUCUUUCCCUAUUCUUUGGCCAAGAAUAGCUCCCACACUUUGGUCACUUGCAUCACACUUGAUUUCGAAUGAGAAGUUCUAAUUUGGUGGUUGCACUAUGGGAGCGGAAACCAAUUUCAGCAAGUCAAAUGCGUCUUUACAAGUUUGGUCAAAUUCAAAUUCUUUAUCCUUUUGUAUUAGAUUGCAAAUCGGUUGCACGAUCUUCGAAAAGUCUUUUAUGAAUCGUCUAUAAAAUCCUGCAUGGCCAAGAAACGAACGUACUCCCCUCACAGAUGUAGGGUAAGGUAAUGAGUCAAUAAUAUCCGUUUUUGCUUUAUCGACCUCAAUACCUUCUGAGGAAACUAUAUGACCCAAAAUUAAUCCUUUGUCAACCAUGAAGUGGCAUUUUUCAUAAUUUAAAACAAGAUUAAAUUCUAGGCAUCUUUGUAAUAUCUUAGCAAGAUUAUAGAGACAUUCGUUAAAAGAGUUACCGUACACCGUGAAGUCAUCCAUGAAGACUUCAAUGAUUUUCUUGACAUAAUCGAAGAAUAUACUUACCAUACAUCUCUGGAAAGUGGCCAGAGCAUUACAGAGUCCAAACGGCAUUCAUCUAUACGUAAACGUUCCAAAGGGGCACGUGAAAGUUGUUUUGUUUUGAUCCUCUAGAGCCACCAGAAUUUGGAAAAAUCCUGCGUACCCAUCGAGACAACAAUAAUGGGUCUUACCAACUAAUCGCUCAAGCAUUUGAUCGAUGAAGGGAAGUGGAAAAUGGUUUUUCUGAGUAGCUGCAUUCAACUUCCUGUAAUCGAUGCAAACCCUCCAUGCAUUCUGGACUCGGGUAGGGACUAGCUCUCCUGAUGAGUUUUUCACCACUGCCACGCCAGUUUUCUUGGGCACGACAUGAACCGGGCUAACCCAAACACUAUCGGAGAUCGAGUAUAUCAUUCCAGUAUCCAACAAUUUCUGAAUCUCCUUAUUUACUUCCUCUAUCAUGGGUGGAUUAAGGCACCUUUGAGCAUCUCUCUUUGGUUUCGUGUUAUCUUCGAUGGAAAUUUUGUGCAUACAAGUGGAUGGACUUAACCCUUUUAUGUCUGCUAUUGUCCAACCAAUAGCUUCCUUAUAAUUCCUCAGAACUCGAACUAGACUUUCCUCCUUGUCUUUGAUUAGUUUGUUUAACACUAUCACUGGUAAAGUGUCUUUCUCUCCCAAAAAGACGUACUUGAGGUGGUCCGGUAAUGCUUUAAGCUCCAAGGUUGGUGGCUGCAAAACCGAAGGCAACAUUUUAGUUUGGAAAGGUAAUAGUUCAAAUUGGUUACCUCGAUUCAUCAACGAUGGUUGCGUCUCCAAGUGUUUGACAAUUUCUCACAACGGAUCUCCUAUAAUUGAUAAUUCCUUGAGACGACUUAAAACAUCCAUGUCAAUGCUUCUGUAAAGGACAGUUUCCAACUCAUCAUGGUCAUGAUAUUCAAAAUAAGAUUAAGUUAAACAAUCUAUAAUAUUGAUACUAGAAAUACUUAAUAGUGAGUUAGGAUGACCCAUAGCUUUGUAGACAUUGAAUUUCACGAUCUCACCGUCAAACUCCAUUGUCAGUGUUCCGCACCGAACGUCAAUUUUUGUGCUUGCGGUACUUAGGAACGGUUUUCCAAGCAAAAUGUCAGAUGAAUUAGUUGAGUUAUCGUCCUCCAUAUUAAUAAUGUAGAAAUCUGAAGGGAAAACUAAUUCAUUAACUUUAACAAUGACGUCUUCAAGCAACCCUUUGGGAAAGACGACUGACCUGUUCGCCAACUGAAUUAUUACUCCUGUCUCUUUUAAAAGACCCGUGUUAAUCAACUUAUAAAUAGGAUAAGGCAUAAUAUUAAUGGAAGCCCCUAAAUCACACAUGGAUUUCUUAAUGCCUACAUUACCUAUCUCACAGGAAAUAGCAAACAUACAUUGGUCAUUGUAUUUGGGCGGAACUUUCUUUUGCAGUAUGGCGGAGACAUUUUCUCCUACAUUUACUCUUUCGUUACCUAUUAACCUCUUCUUUAUAGUACACAAUUCCUUGAGGAAAUUUUCAAAACGAGGGAUUUGUUUGAUAGCAUCAAGCAAAGUGAUAUUUACCUCCACCUUCCUGAAUGUUUCGAGGAUUUUUUUCCUCCUUAUCUUUUUUAUCCCUUGCGAGCCUCUCUGGAAAAAGGAGGUGGCAUCACAACUAGUCUCUGAAUUUUUGAUUUCGGUCUGGCUUUUGGAUCAGAGAUCUAUUUUUCCCGUUCAUUGUCUUACCCAUGACUUUAGUCUGGAACUGUUUCCAGAACCUUUCCGCUACGAAGAGCUAUUGCACUUGUAUUCUGCCAAGGAUUCGGCUCUAUCUGGGAAGGUAAUUUACCUUGAGAUUCUAAAUAAUUAACCACCAUCGAGAGUUUACUAACUUGAUUAGUUAACUCUUGUAUUGAUGCAUCUGUCCUCUGUUAGUAUUUUACAGCAUCGACGGUAAGUCUCUCCAUAAUAGCUUCUAGAGAUAUGCUCGGCUUGGGUUGUUGUUGUGGCGGUGGCGGAGGUCUUGGUUGGUAUGAUAGAUUGUACCGGUGAUUAGCUCCAUAAUUCAAGUUUGGAUGAUCCUUCCAUCCGGGAUUGUAGGUGUUAGAGAAAGGAUCAUAGCGUCUUUGCGAAGGUCUUGAAAAACCUCCGACAGCAUCAACAUGUGCCAUUGAAUUAUCGUUAAGGAUUGGGCAUAAAUUCGUUAGAUGUUCAUAUUCCACACAGUUGGGUCAGAUUCUUCUUUUUUUGUAAGUAUAGAUUGAACAAUAUUAGUAAGCUUAUCCAAUUUAUCUUCUAAGGAUGAAACGUUUACCUCAUUAACCCGUCUUGUGGGUUCUGGAUUUGGCCGAUACUGUUGAGAAUUUACCGUCAUGGUGGAUAUCAGUUCUCUUGCCCUUUGAGGAGUCAUAUUUACAAGUGCCCCUCCACUAGUAGUGUCAAUCAUCUUCAUUUCCAUAGGAAGCAAACCCUCGUAGAAAUACUGAAGAAAUGAUUGUUCGGUCAAACUAUGUUGAGGACAACUUGCACAUAGUUUUUUGUACUGCUCCCAAUAGUCGUAGAGCGAUUCACUCUCCAUUUGGCGAAUUCCUACUAUGUCUCUCCUAAGUUCAGCUGCUCACGAUUCUAGAAAGAAUCUGUCAAGAAAUACACGAGAUAAGUCAUCCCAUGUUGUAAUAGAACCGAGGGUAAGUAAAAUAACCAUUCUCUUGUUGUAUCAACUAAAGAAAAUCGAAAGGCCCGAAGUUUAAUUUCAUCUUCAGUUACUCCCUGAGAUUUCAUGCUUGAGCAGACCAUGUGGAAUUCUCUCAAGUGAGUUUGUGGAUUUUCGUUAUUCAAGCCUCGAAAAGUGGGCAAAAGGUGAAUUAGGCCUGAUUUCAACUCAAAUGGGGUUUCUCCGGUUGGAUAGUUGAUGCAUAACGGUGUUUGCUCGUUGGGAGCAGCGACUAGUUGAUGAAUGGUUUGGUUUGCCAUCCUUUCUGGUUCACCGAGGUUAUCUUCUGCUUCUUUCGUUUCAGGAAGUGGUUUGGCCUCAGGUUUAACCACUUCGACUUACUUCCCACGUUGAAUUGCCUCUGCACGAAUUGCUUGACUCAACUUUUCGACUUCAGAUUCUAGGAUCCCUUGUCCUAGCUGAACUUCUACUUUACUUGCACGUUUAAGAGCUUCUGUCUCUUUUCAUCGUGCUCGUGCUAAUUUCUCGAUCUUUGGGUCGUAUUCGAGAUCUUCGGAUGAAGAUCAGGUCCUGAAAAUGAUUUAAACAAUUGUAAGUGUUGCCAGUCCCCGACAACGGUGCCAAAACUAAUGGCUGUCGAUUCCACCAAUAUAAACCUACGCCUAAUUUACAAUUUAAGCAGUAUAGGGAGUAGGGUCGAUCAUUCAGAAACUGGGUUUACUAAAAAUUGUUUCUCUUUCUCGACUAGAUUUUUGUCUGGGCAGUUGUCGUGCCCAAGAAAUUUGGAGGAAGGAUAAAAUUGAAAACCUGGAACCUGAAAUAAACAAGAAAAAAUGCGUGAAAAGUAAAAGCUGAAAAUAAAAUAAUAAAAAUAGUUAAAUAAAUCUGAAGAAAAAUUAAUUAAACUAAGCUCAGCUUUAGGCAUGGGUUUUUCCUCGUCUUUAAACUGAUCCUCGAAAUAAGAUGAACUCCUCUUUUCUAAUAAGCUAGUUAUAACUACCAAGGACACCUCGGACACCAACCCUUCAUUGUGUAAAUUAGUUAUGGAACGUCCAAUAACUAACCCUUACCAAUCGAACAACCAACGAAACGUUCGUGAUUUAGAACUCUGGCAGCUUGGCGUCCUAGAAGAGCCUAGCUCAAACCAAUGCCCUCAACCGCGUGGGACAUUUAAAUCCGAUUAAUACUUCCCUUGACGGAACCAAACAGCAAUCUCCACUUCACACGCCAAUGUGUUCACAGAAAACCGAUUAAACAAUCCAUCCUUUCGGAAUUCGAACUGUACGUCUAACCACACUAACUCAAACGACGUCUUUUUUGACUUAGUGUUGAUUUGACAUUGUCAGUUGACGAAAUCAUACUCUUAAUCCGAAGAAACAACAAGUACUAGAUUUUAGAAGUUAAUUUGCUUAGGUUCGUAACUCACGGAUCUUGACAAGGCUAACUCCGACCUAAAGCUGAAAAUGGAUUUAGUUGACUAAGGUUUGGGACAUGUUGGUAUUGGUCAUAAAUUAAAUAAGGUAAAAAUGGGUAAAAAGAAUGGGUGGCGUGAUUAAGUAUGAGGGCUGGAAUUUUGGUAAUGUAUUAGAGUGGGAUGGUUUGACUACUGGAAAUGAAAAGGAAGUUUGAAAAAGAAAUUGUAAAUGGUUUAAGUUGGUUACAAACUAGAAAUCAAUAAAUAAAAAGAAAAAAAACAGAAACAACGAAUAGCUUCGUGAGAAUGAAGAAGAGAUUGCAUUCAAAGAGGAAAGCUUGAUUUAUGACUUGAUGAAUAAAUGAACAAUGUAGCCCCCUAUUUAUACUAGUGGCUUUGCUAAAUUAAGAGCCACUAGCCAGAGAAAAUCAAGGAAAUAAAAUAUUCCAUGAUAUAAACAAUCCCUACAAAAUCUCCCACUAAGUCAACAAAAAUUUCAGCUAAUUAUAUUGAUUAAAUACUAAAGUUACAUAUUUUAUGUAAUUAAUUUGGUUAAUUUAUGAAAGUGCACCACUAAUUUUGCCAUAUUUAUUAAAUUUUGUGCAGGAAUGCAAUUUGGGGCUAAAUAGAAGAAAAAGGAAACAAUUGGGCUAGAUUGAAGAAAGAAGCAAAGAAGGAGAGCCAAAGAAGAAUUUUUCCAAAAUUAAUUAGCUGAAAUUUUUGAGUUAGUGGGAGAAUAUUUUGGGAUUUAUUUUAUUAUGGGAUAUUUUUCCUUAAUUUCCUAUGACUAGUUGCCUCCUAAUUUAGUAAAUCCUCUAGUAUAAAUAGAGCUUGUAUUGUUCAUCAUUUCAUCAAUCAAAAAAAUAUUAAGCUCUUGUCUUUCAAUACAUUCUCUCUUUUCUCACGUAGCAUUGUUGUUUCUUUAGUUUCCUUUCUUUCAAUUUUUUCCAGUAGCUAAUCACCAAAUCAAGCCAUUUGCAAUUUCUUUUUUUUUCAAUUCUUUUCCAAAUAGUAAACCACCCCACUUUAAUAUAUUCCAACCCCCAUACUCAAUCACAUCACCCAUCUUUUCACCCAUUUACCUUAAUUAAUUUAUCAAAUACCAACAUGUCCCAAACCUUAGCCAACUAAACCCAUUUUUAGCUUUAGGCCGAAAUUAGCCUCGUCAAAACCCGUGAGUUACGAACCCGAGCCAUUUAACUCCUAAAAUUCCAGUACUUAUUACUUCUCCGGAUUAAGAGUGUGAUUUUGUCAGCUCAUAAAGUCAGAUAAACACUAAGUCAAAAAAGACGUCGUUUUAUUUAGUGUGGUUAGACGUACAGUUGGAAUUCCGAAAGGAACGUUUCCAAUCAGUUUUCUGUGAACACAUUGGUGUGCCAAGUGGAGAUUGCUGUUUGGUUCCGUCAAGGGAAGUAGUAACCGGAUUUAAAUGUCCCACGCGGUUGAGCACAUUGGUUCGAGCUAGGCUCUUCUAGAACGCAAAGUUGCCGGAGUUCUAAAUCACGAACGUUUCGUGGUUGUUCGAUCGGUAAGGAUUAGUUAUUGGACGUUCUAUAACUAAUUUACACAAGGAAGAGUUGGUGUCCGAGGCGUCCUUGGUAGCUAUAACUAGCUUAUUAGAAAAGAGGAGUUCAUCCAAUUUCGAGGAUCGGUUCAAAGACGAGGAAAAUUCGUGUCUAAAGCUGAGCUCAUUCUAAUUAAUUUUUCUUAAUAUUUAUUUCACGGUUUUUAUUAUUCUGUUUUCAACCUUUACUUUUGACGUUAUUUUUCUGUUAAUUUCAGGUUUUCAAACUUUUAUCCCCCCGAACUUCUUAGGCACGACAGCUACCCCGACAUAAAUCUGGUCAAGCGAGCAACAAUUUACAGUAAACCAGUCUCUGAGGGAUCGACCCUACUCCCUAUACUGCAUAAUUUGCAAAUUAAGGCGUAGGUUUAUAUUGGUGGAUUCGACACCCAUCAGUUUUGGCACCGUUGCCGGGGGACUGGCAAUACUUAUAAUUGUUUAAAUUAUCUUCAUGACCAGAUCUUCAUCCGGAGAUCUCGAAUACGACCCAGAGAUCGAAAAAUCAGCACGAGCACGACGAAAAGAGACAGACGCUCUUAAAGAUGCAAGUAAAGAAGAAGUUGAGCUAGGACAAUGGCUCUUAGAAACCGACAUUGAAAAGUUGAGACUAGCAAUUCGAGUAGAGGCAAUUCGACGUGGAAAACAAGUCGAAGUGGUUGAUCCUAAAACCGAACCACUUCCUGCAACAAAAGAAGUAGAAGACAACCUCGGUGAACGAGAAAGGAUGGCGAACCGAACCAUUCGUCAACUAGCCGCUGCUCCCAACGAGCAAACACCGUUAUGCAUCAACUAUCCAAUCGGAGAAACCCCAUUCGAGUUGAAGUCAGGCCUGAUCCACCUUUUGCCCACUUUUCGAGGCUUGAAGAAUGAGAAUCCACAUACCCACUUGAGAGAAUUCCAUAUGGUCUGCUCAAGCAUGAAACCACAGGGAGUAACCGAAGAUGAAAUUAAACUUCGGGCCUUUCCUUUUUCUUUAGUUGAUACAGCAAAAGAAUGGUUAUUUUACUUACCUCCAGGUUCUAUUUCAACGUGGGAUGACUUAUCUCGUGUAUUUCUUGAUAGAUUCUUUCCAGCAUCACGAGCAGCUGAACUUAGGAGAGACAUAGUGGGAAUUCGCCAAAUGGAGAGUGAAUUGCUCUACGACUAUUGGGAGCGGUACAAAAAACUGUGUGCAAGUUGUCCUCAACACGGUUUGACCAAACAAUCACUUCUUCAAUAUUUUUACGAGGGUUUGCUCCCUAUGGAAAUGAAAAUGAUUGACGCAGCUAGUGGUGGGGCGCUCGUCAAUAUGACUCCUCAAAGGGCAAGAGAACUGAUAUCCACUAUGGCGGCAAAUUCUCAACAGUAUCGGCCAAAUUCAAAACCCACAAGACAGGUUAAUGGGGUAAACAUUUCAUCCUUAGAAGAUAAAUUGGAUAAGGUCACUAAUGUUGUUCAAUCUAUGCUUACAGAAAAGAAGAAUCGGACCCAACUGUGUGGGAUAUGUACUACGUCUGAACAUUCGACGGAUUUGUGCCUAAUCCUUAACGAAUAUUUAACGGCACAUGUCGACGCUGUCAGAGGUUUUCCAGGACCUCCACAAAAACGCUAUGAUCCUUUCUCCAACACCUACAAUCCCGGGUGGAAAGAUCAUCCCAACUUGAAUUACGGAGCUAAUCCCUGAUAUAAUCCGUCAUACCAACCGAGACCUUUGCAACCACCGCAACUGCCACUCAAGCCGAGCACAUCUCUAGAAGCUAUUGUGGAAAGACUUGCCGUCGAUGCUGUGAAAUAUCAACAGAGGAUAGAUGAAUCAAUUCAGGAGUUAACUAAUCAAGUUAGUAAACUCUCGAUGGCAGUUAAUCGUUUGGAAUCUCAAGGUAAAUUACCUUCCCAGACAGAGCCGAAUCCUCGGCAGAAUGCAAGUGCAAUAACUCUUCGUAGCGGAAAAGUUCUGGAAACAGUUCCAGACAAAAGUCAUGGGCAAGACAAUGAACGGGAAAAAUAUAUCUCUGAUCCAAAAGCCAGACCAAAAUCAGAAAUUCAGAAACCAGUUGUGGUGCCACCUUCUUUUCCAGGGAGACUCGCGAAGGAUAAGAAAGAAAAGGAGGAAAAAGAAAUCCUCGAAACGUUCAGGAAAAUGGAGGUGAAUAUCCUUUUGCUCGACGCCAUCAAACAAAUCCCUCGUUAUGCAAAAUUUCUCAAGGAAUUGUGCACUAGCAAAAGGAGGUUAAUAAGUAACGAAAGAGUAAAUGUAGGAGAAAAUGUCUCCGCGGUACUACAAAAGAAAGUUCCGCCUAAAUACAAGGACCAAGGUAUGUUUGCUAUUUCCUGUGAGAUAGGUAAUGUAGGCAUUAAGAAAGCAAUGUGUGAGUGAGGCGCUUCCAUUAAUGUUAUGCCUUAUCCUAUAUAUAAGUUGAUUAAGGCGGGUCCUUUGAAAAAGGCAGGAGUAAUAAUCCAGUUGGCAGACAGGUCAGUCAUCUAUCCCGAAGGGUUGCUUGAAGACGUCCUUGUUAAAGUUAACGAAUUAGUUUUCCCUGCAGAUUUCUACAUUAUUAAUAUGGAGGACGAUAACUCAACUAAUUCGUCUGAUAUUUUGCUUGGAAGGCCAUUCUUAAGUACCGCAAGCGCAAAAAUUAAUGUUCAGAGUGGAACAUUGACAAUGGAGUUUGAUGGCGAAAUCAUGAAAUUCAAUGUCUACGAAGCCAUGAGUCAUCCUAACUCAUUGUCAAAUAUUUCCAGUAUCGAUAAUAUAGAUUGUUUAACUUAAAAUUAUUCUGAAUAUCAUGACUUUGAUGAGUUGGAAACUGUCCUUUACAGAAGCAUUGACAUGGAUGUAUUGAGUCGUCUUGAGGAGUUAACGGUUAUAGAAGAUCCGUUGCGAGAAACUGUCAAACACUUGGAGACUCAACCAUCAUCGGCGAGUCGAGGUAACCAUCUUGAACUAUUACCUUCCCAAGUUAAAAUGUUGCCUUCGAUUUUGUAGCCACCAACCUUGGAGCUUAAAGCGUUACCAGACGACCUCAUGUAUGUCUUUUUGGGAGAGAAAGAUACCUUACCGGUAAUAGUGUCAAAUAGACUAACCAAAGACGAGGAGGAAAGUCUAGUUCGAGUUCUGAAGGAUUAUAAGGAAGCUAUUGGUUGGACAAUAGCUGACAUAAAAGGGCUAAGUCCGUCCACUUGUAUGCACAGAAUUUCCAUCGAAGAUAACACGAAACCAAAGAGAGAUGCUCAGAAGCGCCUUAAUCCACCCAUGACGGAGGUAGUAAAGAAGGAGAUCCAGAAAAUGUUGGAUGCUGGAAUGAUAUACCCGAUCUCUGACAGUGAUUGGGUUAGCCCAGUUCAUGUCGGCCCAAGAAAACUGGCGUGACAGUGGUGCAAAAUUCAUCAGGAGAGCUAGUUCCUACUCGAGUCUAGAAUGGAUGGAGGGUUUGCAUCGAUUACAGAAAGUUGAAUGCAGCUACCCAGAAGGACCAUUUCCCACUUCCCUUCAUCGAUCAAAUGCUCGAGCGAUUAGCUGGUAAGACUCAUUAUUGUUGUCUCGAUGGAUAUUCAGGAUUUUUCCAAAUUCCGGUGGCGCUUGAAUAUCAAGACAAAACAACUUUCAUGUGCCCCUUUUGAAUGUUUGCGUAUAGACGAAUACCGUUUGGACUCUGUAAUGCUCCGGCCACCUUUCAGAGAUGCAUGGUAAGCAUAUUCUCCGAUUACGUCGAGAAAAUCAUUGAAGUCUUCAUGGAUGACUUCACGGUGUACGGUAACUCUUUUAAUGAAUGUCUCGAUAAUCCUGCUAAGAUAUUACAAAGAUGCCUAGAAUUUAAUCUUAUUUUAAAUUAUGAAAAAUGCCACUUCAUGGUUGACAAAGGAUUAAUUUUAGGCCAUAUAGUUUCCUCAGAAGGUAUUGAGGUUGAUAAAGUAAAAACGGAUAUUAUUAACUCAUUACCUUACCCCACAUCUGUGAGGGAAAUUCGUUCGUUUCUUGGGCGUGCAGGAUUUUACAGACGAUUCAUAAAAGACUUCUCAAAGAUCGCGCAACCGCUUUGCAGUCUGUUACAGAAGGAUAAAGAAUUUAAAUUUGACCAGACUUGUAAAGAUGCAUUUGACGUACUGAAGCAGAAAUUGGUCUCCGCCCCUAUAGUACAACCACCAAAUUGGAACUUCCCCUUCGAAAUUAUGUGUGAUGCAAGUGAUCGAAGUGUGGGAGCUGUUCUUGGCCAAAGAAUAGGGAAAGAGCCUCAUGUUAUCUACUACGCUUCGAAAACCUUGGAUGCUGCCCAAAGCAAUUACACAACCACCGAGAAAGAAUUAUUAGCUGUUGUGUUUGCUUUAGAUAAAUUUAGAUCUUACCUGUUGGGAACUAAAGUAAUUAUAUUUUCUGAUCAUGCAGCUUUGAAGUAUUUAGUAGGGAAGAAUGAGGCAAAACCUCGACUGAUCAGGUGGAUUCUACUUCUGCAAGAAUUUGAUUUUGAAAUUCGAGAUAGAAAAGGAUGCGAAAACUUAGUAGCUGACCAUCUGAGUCGAUUACCGAUUCCAGUAGACGACACACCAUUGAAAGACAACUUCCUAGAUGAAAACCUAUUUUCAGCAAAUGUGGUUCAUCCUUGGUACGCAGAUAUAGUAAACUAUCUUGUCACAGGUACUAUACCUUCAGAAUUACCAAUGUUUAAAAAAGAUAAGAUUAAAAAGGACGCUCGAUAUUACAUUUGGGACGAUCCUUACCUAUGGAAGCAUUGCUCCGAUCAGCUAAUCCGACGGUGUGUAACAGAAACAGAGGUACAGUCUAUCCUUGCCUAUGGAAGCAAUGCUCCGAUCAGGUAAUCCGACGGUGUGUAGCAGAAAUAGAGGUACAGUCUAUCUUAACUUUUUGUCAUUCUUAUGCAUGUGGGAGGACACUUUGGACCCAAACGCACUGCACACAAAAUUCUAAAGUGUGGACUAUUUUGGCCAAACAUAUUUCGUGAUGCCUUCUUAUUCUGUAAAACCUGUGAAAGAUGCCAAAAAGUUGGUAACCUUAGUCGACGAAAUGAGAUGCCCCUUACUCCGAUCCAUAUUUGUGAAAUUUUUGAUGUGUGGGGCAUCUAUUUUAUGGGUCCUUUUAUUUCUUCUUUCGGUAAUUUUUAUAUACUCUUAGCUGUUGAUUACGUUUCUAAGUGGAUAGAGGCAAAUGCUACUCGCAAUGAUAAUGCUAAGACUGUGGUUGACUUUCUUAAAAGUUCUAUCUUUUCCAGGUAUGGCACCCCACGAGCAUUAAUCAGCGACAGAGAAACUCAUUUCUACAAUAAACUCGUAAGUGCACUUAUGGAAAAAUAUGGAGUGACUCAACGAAUUGCCACUGCCUACCAUCACAAACAACGGACAAGCUGAAGUGUCAAAUCGAGAAAUCAAGUCCAUACUGGAGAAGACUGUUAAACCUAACAGAAAGGAUUGGAGCUUGAGACUAAACGACGCACUUUGGCUUAUAGGACAGCUUACAAGGGUCCAAUAGCAUGUCACCUUAUCGACUUUUUUUUAAACCGUGCCAUCUCCCGGUCGAAUUAGAGCAUAAAGCUUUUUGGGCAGUUAAGCAGUGUAAUAUGGAGAUGGAGAUCGCAGGAAGAGCUCGAAAGUUGGACAUUCAGGGACUUGAGGAAAUUAGAAACGAUGCAUAUGAAAAUGCUCGAGUUUAUAAAGAAAAGAUGAAGGCGUUCCACGAUGAUCACUAGGAAGCGGUUUUCAAUAGGACAAAAAGUUCUCCUAUACGACUCCACCUUAAAAAUUUUUGGUAAGCUUCGAUCCAAAUGGAUAGUCCAUUACUACCACUAAUUUAUUCUCAAAUGGUGCAGUGGAAAUUCAAAGCGAAGAACCCGGAAGUGCUUUAAGGUGAAUGGACAACGAUUGAAACCCUUCUACGAGAAUUUCAAACGCACACGAUUGAGGAGAUUGUUCUCGAGGAGCCCGAAAAUUGAAUAAUAGGUCGUCGAGCUAAACGACGUUAAACAUAGCGCUGUUGGGAGGCAACCCAAAUUUUCUUUUCCUUUAUGCAAAUAAUUUUUGGUAAAAUGGAAAAUGAAAAUGCAUGUCGANNNNNNNNNNNNNNNNNNNNNNNNNNNNNNNNNNNNNNNNNNNNNNNNNNNNNNNNNNNNNNNNNNNNNNNNNNNNNNNNNNNNNNNNNNNNNNNNNNNNNNNNNNNNNNNNNNNNNNNNNNNNNNNNNNNNNNNNNNNNNNNNNNNNNNNNNNNNNNNNNNNNNNNNNNNNNNNNNNNNNNNNNNNNNNNNNNNNNNNNNNNNNNNNNNNNNNNNNNNNNNNNNNNNNNNNNNNNNNNNNNNNNNNNNNNNNNNNNNNNNNNNNNNNNNNNNNNNNNNNNNNNNNNNNNNNNNNNNNNNNNNNNNNNNNNNNNNNNNNNNNNNNNNNNNNNNNNNNNNNNNNNNNNNNNNNNNNNNNNNNNNNNNNNNNNNNNNNNNNNNNNNNNNNNNNNNNNNNNNNNNNNNNNNNNNNNNNNNNNNNNNNNNNNNNNNNNNNNNNNNNNNNNNNNNNNNNNNNNNNNNNNNNNNNNNNNNNNNNNNNNNNNNNNNNNNNNNNNNNNAAUAGAUAACAUGAGGCUCUUUUCCCUAUUCUUUGGCCAAGAAUAGCUCCCCACACUUUGGUCACUUGCAUCACACUUGAUUUUCGAAUGAGAAGUUCUAAUUUGGUGGUUACACUAUGGGAGCGGAAACCAAUUUCAGCAAGUCAAAUGCGUCUUUACAAGUUUGGUUCAAAUUCAAAUUCUUUAUCCUUUUGUAUUAGAUUGCAAAUCGGUUGCACGAUCACGAUCUUCGAAAAGUCUUUUAUGAAUCGUCUAUAAAAUCCUGCAUGGCCAAGAAACGAACGUACUCCCCUCACAGAUGUAGGUAGGUAAUGAGUCAAUAAUAUCCGUUUUUGCUUUAUCGACCUCAAUACCUUCUGAGGAAAUAUGACCCAAAAUUAAUCCUUUGUCACCAUGAAGUGGCAUUUUUCAUAAUUUAAAAACAAGAUUAAAUUCUAGGCAUCUUUGUAAUAUCUUAGCAAGAUUAUAGAGACAUUCGUUAAAAGAGUUACCGUACACCGUGAAGUCAUCCAUGAAGACUUCAAUGAUUUUCUUGACAUAAUCGAAGAAUAUACUUACCACAACAUCUCUGGAAAGUGGCCAGAGCAUUACAGAGUCCAAACGGCAUUCAUCUAUACGUAAACGUUCCAAAGGGGCACGUGAAAGUUGUUUUGUUUUGAUCCUCUAGAGCCACCAGAAUUUGGAAAAAUCUUGCGUACCCAUCGACAACAAUAAUGGGUCUUACCAACUAAUCGCUCAGCAUUUGAUCGAUGAAGGGAAGUGGAAAAUAGUUUUUCUGAGUAGCUGCAUUCAACUUCCUGUAAUCGAUGCAAACCCUCCAUGCAUUCUGGACUCGGGUAGGGACUAGCUCUCCUGAUGAGUUUUUCACCACUGCCACGCCAGUUUUCUUGGGCACGACAUGAACCGGGCUAACCCAAACACUAUCGGAGAUCGAGUAUAUCAUUCCAGUAUCCAACAAUUUCUGAAUCUCUUACUACCUCUAUCAUGGGUGGAUUAAGGCACCUUUGAGCAUCCUCUCUUUGGUUUCGUGUUUAUCUUCGAUGGAAAUUUUGUGGCAUACAAGUGGAUGGACUUAAACCCUGUUUAUGUCUGCUAUUGUCCAACCAAUAGCUUCCGUAUAAUGCCUCAGAACUCGAACUAGACUUCCUCCUUGUCUUUGAUUAGUUUGUUUAAAAACUAUCAACUGGUAAAGUGUCUUUCUCUCCCAAAAAGACGUACUUGAGGUGGUCCGGUAAUGCUUUAAGCUCCAAGGUUGGUGGCUGCAAAACCGAAGGCAACAUUUUAGUUUGGAAAGGUCAUAGUUCAAAUUGGUUACCCUCGAUUCAUCAACGAUGGUUGCCGUCUCCAAGUGUUUGACAAUUUCUCACAACGGAUCUCCUAUAAUUGAUAAUUCCUUGAGACGACUUAAAACAUCCAGUCAAUGCUUCUGUAAAGGACAGUUUCCAACUCAUAUGGUCAUGAUAUUCAAAUAAGAUUAAGUUAAACAAUCUAUAAUAUUGAUACUAGAAAUACUAAUAGUGAGUUAGGAUGACCCAUAGCUUUGUAGACAUUGAAUUUCACGAUCUCACCGUCAAACUCCUAUUGUCAGUGUCCGCACCGAACGUCAAUUUUUGUGCUUGCGGUACUUAGGAACGGUUUUCCAAGCAAAAUGUCAGAUGAAUUAGUUGAGUUAUCGUCCUCCAUAUUAAUAAUGUAGAAAUCUGAAGGGAAAACUAAUUCAUAACUUUAACAAUGACGUCUUCAAGCAACCCUUUGGGAAAGACGACUGACCUGUUCGCCAACUGAAUUAUUACUCCUGUCUCUUUUAAAAGACCCGUGUUAAUCAACUUAUAAAUAGGAUAAGGCAUAAUAUUAAUGGAAGCCCCUAAAUCACACAUGGAUUUCUUAAUGCCUAAAUUACCUAUCUCACAGGAAAUAGCAAACAUACAUUGGUCAUUUGUAUUUGGGCGGAACUUUUCUUUUGCAGUAUGGCGGAGACAUUUUCUCCUACAUUUAACUCUUCGUUACCUAUUAACCUCUUCUUUAUAGUACACAAUUCCUUGAGGAAAUUUCAAAACGAGGGAUUUGUUUGAUAGCAUCAAGCAAAGUGAUAUUUACCUCCACCUUCCUGAAUGUUUCGAGGAUUUUUUUCCUCCUUAUCUUUUUUAUCCCUUGCGAGCCUCUCUGGAAAAAGGAAGGUGGCAUCACAACUAGUCUCUGAAUUUUUGAUUUCGGUCUGCUUUUGGAUCAGAGAUCUAUUUUUCCCGUUCAUUGUCUUACCCAUGACUUUAGUCUGGAACUGUUUCCAGAACCUUUCCGCUACGAAGAGCUAUUGCACUUGUAUUCUGCCAAGGAUUCGGCUCUAUCUGGGAAGGUAAUUUACCUUGAGAUUCUAAAUAAUUAACCACCAUCGAGAGUUUACUAACUUGAUUAGUUACUCUUGUAUUGAUGCAUCUGUCCUCUGUUAGUAUUUUACAGCAUCGACGGUAAGUCUCUCCAUAAUAGCUUCUAGAGAUAUGCUCGGCUUGGGUUGUUGUUGUGGCGGUGGCGGAGGGUCUUGGUUGGUAUGAUAGAUUGUCCGGUGAUUAGCUCCAUAAUUCAAGUUUGGAUGAUCCUUCCAUCCGGGAUUGUAGGUGUUAGAGAAAGGAUCAUAGCGUCUUUGCGAAGGUCUUGAAAAAACCUCCGACAGCAUCAACAUGUGCCAUUGAAUUAUCGUUAAGGAUUGGGCAUAAAUUCGUUAGAUGUUCAUAUUCCCACACAGUUGGGUCAGAUUCUUCUUUUUUGUAAGUAUAGAUUGAACAAUAUUAGUAAGCUUAUCCAAUUUAUCUUCUAAGGAUGAAACGUUUACCUCAUUAACCCGUCUUGUGGGUUCUGGAUUUGGCCGAUACUGUUGAGAAUUUACCGUCAUGGUGGAUAUCAGUUCUCUUGCCCUUUGAGGAGUCAUAUUUACAAGUGCCCCUCCACUAGUAGUGUCAAUCAUCUUCAUUUCCAUAGGAAGCAAACCCUCGUAGAAAUACUGAAGAAAUGAUUGUUCGGUCAAACUAUGUUGAGGACAACUUGCACAUAGUUUUUUGUACUGCUCCCAAUAGUCGUAGAGCGAUUCACUCUCCAUUUGGCGAAUUCCUACUAUGUCUCUCCUAAGUUCAGCUGCUCACGAUUCUAGAAAGAAUCUGUCAAGAAAUACACGAGAUAAGUCAUCCCAUGUUGUAAUAGAACCGAGGGUAAGUAAAAUAACCAUUCUCUUGUUGUAUCAACUAAAGAAAAUCGAAAGGCCCGAAGUUUAAUUUCAUCUUCAGUUACUCCCUGAGAUUUCAUGCUUGAGCAGACCAUGUGGAAUUCUCUCAAGUGAGUUUGUGGAUUUUCGUUAUUCAAGCCUCGAAAAGUGGGCAAAAGGUGAAUUAGGCCUGAUUUCAACUCAAAUGGGGUUUCUCCGGUUGGAUAGUUGAUGCAUAACGGUGUUUGCUCGUUGGGAGCAGCGACUAGUUGAUGAAUGGUUUGGUUUGCCAUCCUUUCUGGUUCACCGAGGUUAUCUUCUGCUUCUUUCGUUUCAGGAAGUGGUUUGGCCUCAGGUUUAACCACUUCGACUUACUUCCCACGUUGAAUUGCCUCUGCACGAAUUGCUUGACUCAACUUUUCGACUUCAGAUUCUAGGAUCCCUUGUCCUAGCUGAACUUCUACUUUACUUGCACGUUUAAGAGCUUCUGUCUCUUUUCAUCGUGCUCGUGCUAAUUUCUCGAUCUUUGGGUCGUAUUCGAGAUCUUCGGAUGAAGAUCAGGUCCUGAAAAUGAUUUAAACAAUUGUAAGUGUUGCCAGUCCCCGACAACGGUGCCAAAACUAAUGGCUGUCGAUUCCACCAAUAUAAACCUACGCCUAAUUUACAAUUUAAGCAGUAUAGGGAGUAGGGUCGAUCAUUCAGAAACUGGGUUUACUAAAAAUUGUUUCUCUUUCUCGACUAGAUUUUUGUCUGGGCAGUUGUCGUGCCCAAGAAAUUUGGAGGAAGGAUAAAAUUGAAAACCUGGAACCUGAAAUAAACAAGAAAAAAUGCGUGAAAAGUAAAAGCUGAAAAUAAAAUAAUAAAAAUAGUUAAAUAAAUCUGAAGAAAAAUUAAUUAAACUAAGCUCAGCUUUAGGCAUGGGUUUUUCCUCGUCUUUAAACUGAUCCUCGAAAUAAGAUGAACUCCUCUUUUCUAAUAAGCUAGUUAUAACUACCAAGGACACCUCGGACACCAACCCUUCAUUGUGUAAAUUAGUUAUGGAACGUCCAAUAACUAACCCUUACCAAUCGAACAACCAACGAAACGUUCGUGAUUUAGAACUCUGGCAGCUUGGCGUCCUAGAAGAGCCUAGCUCAAACCAAUGCCCUCAACCGCGUGGGACAUUUAAAUCCGAUUAAUACUUCCCUUGACGGAACCAAACAGCAAUCUCCACUUCACACGCCAAUGUGUUCACAGAAAACCGAUUAAACAAUCCAUCCUUUCGGAAUUCGAACUGUACGUCUAACCACACUAACUCAAACGACGUCUUUUUUGACUUAGUGUUGAUUUGACAUUGUCAGUUGACGAAAUCAUACUCUUAAUCCGAAGAAACAACAAGUACUAGAUUUUAGAAGUUAAUUUGCUUAGGUUCGUAACUCACGGAUCUUGACAAGGCUAACUCCGACCUAAAGCUGAAAAUGGAUUUAGUUGACUAAGGUUUGGGACAUGUUGGUAUUGGUCAUAAAUUAAAUAAGGUAAAAAUGGGUAAAAAGAAUGGGUGGCGUGAUUAAGUAUGAGGGCUGGAAUUUUGGUAAUGUAUUAGAGUGGGAUGGUUUGACUACUGGAAAUGAAAAGGAAGUUUGAAAAAGAAAUUGUAAAUGGUUUAAGUUGGUUACAAACUAGAAAUCAAUAAAUAAAAAGAAAAAAAACAGAAACAACGAAUAGCUUCGUGAGAAUGAAGAAGAGAUUGCAUUCAAAGAGGAAAGCUUGAUUUAUGACUUGAUGAAUAAAUGAACAAUGUAGCCCCCUAUUUAUACUAGUGGCUUUGCUAAAUUAAGAGCCACUAGCCAGAGAAAAUCAAGGAAAUAAAAUAUUCCAUGAUAUAAACAAUCCCUACAAAAUCUCCCACUAAGUCAACAAAAAUUUCAGCUAAUUAUAUUGAUUAAAUACUAAAGUUACAUAUUUUAUGUAAUUAAUUUGGUUAAUUUAUGAAAGUGCACCACUAAUUUUGCCAUAUUUAUUAAAUUUUGUGCAGGAAUGCAAUUUGGGGCUAAAUAGAAGAAAAAGGAAACAAUUGGGCUAGAUUGAAGAAAGAAGCAAAGAAGGAGAGCCAAAGAAGAAUUUUUCCAAAAUUAAUUAGCUGAAAUUUUUGAGUUAGUGGGAGAAUAUUUUGGGAUUUAUUUUAUUAUGGGAUAUUUUUCCUUAAUUUCCUAUGACUAGUUGCCUCCUAAUUUAGUAAAUCCUCUAGUAUAAAUAGAGCUUGUAUUGUUCAUCAUUUCAUCAAUCAAAAAAUAUUAAGCUCUUGUCUUUCAAUACAUUCUCUCUUUUCUCACGUAGCAUUGUUGUUUCUUUAGUUUCCUUUCUUUCAAUUUUUUCCAGUAGCUAAUCACCAAAUCAAGCCAUUUGCAAUUUCUUUUUUUUCAAUUCUUUUCCAAAUAGUAAACCACCCCACUUUAAUAUAUUCCAACCCCCAUACUCAAUCACAUCACCCAUCUUUUCACCCAUUUACCUUAAUUAAUUUAUCAAAUACCAACAUGUCCCAAACCUUAGCCAACUAAACCCAUUUUUAGCUUUAGGCCGAAAUUAGCCUCGUCAAAACCCGUGAGUUACGAACCCGAGCCAUUUAACUCCUAAAAUUCCAGUACUUAUUACUUCUCCGGAUUAAGAGUGUGAUUUUGUCAGCUCAUAAAGUCAGAUAAACACUAAGUCAAAAAAGACGUCGUUUUAUUUAGUGUGGUUAGACGUACAGUUGGAAUUCCGAAAGGAACGUUUCCAAUCAGUUUUCUGUGAACACAUUGGUGUGCCAAGUGGAGAUUGCUGUUUGGUUCCGUCAAGGGAAGUAGUAACCGGAUUUAAAUGUCCCACGCGGUUGAGCACAUUGGUUCGAGCUAGGCUCUUCUAGAACGCAAAGUUGCCGGAGUUCUAAAUCACGAACGUUUCGUGGUUGUUCGAUCGGUAAGGAUUAGUUAUUGGACGUUCUAUAACUAAUUUACACAAGGAAGAGUUGGUGUCCGAGGCGUCCUUGGUAGCUAUAACUAGCUUAUUAGAAAAGAGGAGUUCAUCCAAUUUCGAGGAUCGGUUCAAAGACGAGGAAAAUUCGUGUCUAAAGCUGAGCUCAUUCUAAUUAAUUUUUCUUAAUAUUUAUUUCACGGUUUUUAUUAUUCUGUUUUCAACCUUUACUUUUGACGUUAUUUUUCUGUUAAUUUCAGGUUUUCAAACUUUUAUCCCCCCGAACUUCUUAGGCACGACAGCUACCCCGACAUAAAUCUGGUCAAGCGAGCAACAAUUUACAGUAAACCAGUCUCUGAGGGAUCGACCCUACUCCCUAUACUGCAUAAUUUGCAAAUUAAGGCGUAGGUUUAUAUUGGUGGAUUCGACACCCAUCAGUUUUGGCACCGUUGCCGGGGGACUGGCAAUACUUAUAAUUGUUUAAAUUAUCUUCAUGACCAGAUCUUCAUCCGGAGAUCUCGAAUACGACCCAGAGAUCGAAAAAUCAGCACGAGCACGACGAAAAGAGACAGACGCUCUUAAAGAUGCAAGUAAAGAAGAAGUUGAGCUAGGACAAUGGCUCUUAGAAACCGACAUUGAAAAGUUGAGACUAGCAAUUCGAGUAGAGGCAAUUCGACGUGGAAAACAAGUCGAAGUGGUUGAUCCUAAAACCGAACCACUUCCUGCAACAAAAGAAGUAGAAGACAACCUCGGUGAACGAGAAAGGAUGGCGAACCGAACCAUUCGUCAACUAGCCGCUGCUCCCAACGAGCAAACACCGUUAUGCAUCAACUAUCCAAUCGGAGAAACCCCAUUCGAGUUGAAGUCAGGCCUGAUCCACCUUUUGCCCACUUUUCGAGGCUUGAAGAAUGAGAAUCCACAUACCCACUUGAGAGAAUUCCAUAUGGUCUGCUCAAGCAUGAAACCACAGGGAGUAACCGAAGAUGAAAUUAAACUUCGGGCCUUUCCUUUUUCUUUAGUUGAUACAGCAAAAGAAUGGUUAUUUUACUUACCUCCAGGUUCUAUUUCAACGUGGGAUGACUUAUCUCGUGUAUUUCUUGAUAGAUUCUUUCCAGCAUCACGAGCAGCUGAACUUAGGAGAGACAUAGUGGGAAUUCGCCAAAUGGAGAGUGAAUUGCUCUACGACUAUUGGGAGCGGUACAAAAAACUGUGUGCAAGUUGUCCUCAACACGGUUUGACCAAACAAUCACUUCUUCAAUAUUUUUACGAGGGUUUGCUCCCUAUGGAAAUGAAAAUGAUUGACGCAGCUAGUGGUGGGGCGCUCGUCAAUAUGACUCCUCAAAGGGCAAGAGAACUGAUAUCCACUAUGGCGGCAAAUUCUCAACAGUAUCGGCCAAAUUCAAAACCCACAAGACAGGUUAAUGGGGUAAACAUUUCAUCCUUAGAAGAUAAAUUGGAUAAGGUCACUAAUGUUGUUCAAUCUAUGCUUACAGAAAAGAAGAAUCGGACCCAACUGUGUGGGAUAUGUACUACGUCUGAACAUUCGACGGAUUUGUGCCUAAUCCUUAACGAAUAUUUAACGGCACAUGUCGACGCUGUCAGAGGUUUUCCAGGACCUCCACAAAAACGCUAUGAUCCUUUCUCCAACACCUACAAUCCCGGGUGGAAAGAUCAUCCCAACUUGAAUUACGGAGCUAAUCCCUGAUAUAAUCCGUCAUACCAACCGAGACCUUUGCAACCACCGCAACUGCCACUCAAGCCGAGCACAUCUCUAGAAGCUAUUGUGGAAAGACUUGCCGUCGAUGCUGUGAAAUAUCAACAGAGGAUAGAUGAAUCAAUUCAGGAGUUAACUAAUCAAGUUAGUAAACUCUCGAUGGCAGUUAAUCGUUUGGAAUCUCAAGGUAAAUUACCUUCCCAGACAGAGCCGAAUCCUCGGCAGAAUGCAAGUGCAAUAACUCUUCGUAGCGGAAAAGUUCUGGAAACAGUUCCAGACAAAAGUCAUGGGCAAGACAAUGAACGGGAAAAAUAUAUCUCUGAUCCAAAAGCCAGACCAAAAUCAGAAAUUCAGAAACCAGUUGUGGUGCCACCUUCUUUUCCAGGGAGACUCGCGAAGGAUAAGAAAGAAAAGGAGGAAAAAGAAAUCCUCGAAACGUUCAGGAAAAUGGAGGUGAAUAUCCUUUUGCUCGACGCCAUCAAACAAAUCCCUCGUUAUGCAAAAUUUCUCAAGGAAUUGUGCACUAGCAAAAGGAGGUUAAUAAGUAACGAAAGAGUAAAUGUAGGAGAAAAUGUCUCCGCGGUACUACAAAAGAAAGUUCCGCCUAAAUACAAGGACCAAGGUAUGUUUGCUAUUUCCUGUGAGAUAGGUAAUGUAGGCAUUAAGAAAGCAAUGUGUGAGUGAGGCGCUUCCAUUAAUGUUAUGCCUUAUCCUAUAUAUAAGUUGAUUAAGGCGGGUCCUUUGAAAAAGGCAGGAGUAAUAAUCCAGUUGGCAGACAGGUCAGUCAUCUAUCCCGAAGGGUUGCUUGAAGACGUCCUUGUUAAAGUUAACGAAUUAGUUUUCCCUGCAGAUUUCUACAUUAUUAAUAUGGAGGACGAUAACUCAACUAAUUCGUCUGAUAUUUUGCUUGGAAGGCCAUUCUUAAGUACCGCAAGCGCAAAAAUUAAUGUUCAGAGUGGAACAUUGACAAUGGAGUUUGAUGGCGAAAUCAUGAAAUUCAAUGUCUACGAAGCCAUGAGUCAUCCUAACUCAUUGUCAAAUAUUUCCAGUAUCGAUAAUAUAGAUUGUUUAACUUAAAAUUAUUCUGAAUAUCAUGACUUUGAUGAGUUGGAAACUGUCCUUUACAGAAGCAUUGACAUGGAUGUAUUGAGUCGUCUUGAGGAGUUAACGGUUAUAGAAGAUCCGUUGCGAGAAACUGUCAAACACUUGGAGACUCAACCAUCAUCGGCGAGUCGAGGUAACCAUCUUGAACUAUUACCUUCCCAAGUUAAAAUGUUGCCUUCGAUUUUGUAGCCACCAACCUUGGAGCUUAAAGCGUUACCAGACGACCUCAUGUAUGUCUUUUUGGGAGAGAAAGAUACCUUACCGGUAAUAGUGUCAAAUAGACUAACCAAAGACGAGGAGGAAAGUCUAGUUCGAGUUCUGAAGGAUUAUAAGGAAGCUAUUGGUUGGACAAUAGCUGACAUAAAAGGGCUAAGUCCGUCCACUUGUAUGCACAGAAUUUCCAUCGAAGAUAACACGAAACCAAAGAGAGAUGCUCAGAAGCGCCUUAAUCCACCCAUGACGGAGGUAGUAAAGAAGGAGAUCCAGAAAAUGUUGGAUGCUGGAAUGAUAUACCCGAUCUCUGACAGUGAUUGGGUUAGCCCAGUUCAUGUCGGCCCAAGAAAACUGGCGUGACAGUGGUGCAAAAUUCAUCAGGAGAGCUAGUUCCUACUCGAGUCUAGAAUGGAUGGAGGGUUUGCAUCGAUUACAGAAAGUUGAAUGCAGCUACCCAGAAGGACCAUUUCCCACUUCCCUUCAUCGAUCAAAUGCUCGAGCGAUUAGCUGGUAAGACUCAUUAUUGUUGUCUCGAUGGAUAUUCAGGAUUUUUCCAAAUUCCGGUGGCGCUUGAAUAUCAAGACAAAACAACUUUCAUGUGCCCCUUUUGAAUGUUUGCGUAUAGACGAAUACCGUUUGGACUCUGUAAUGCUCCGGCCACCUUUCAGAGAUGCAUGGUAAGCAUAUUCUCCGAUUACGUCGAGAAAAUCAUUGAAGUCUUCAUGGAUGACUUCACGGUGUACGGUAACUCUUUUAAUGAAUGUCUCGAUAAUCCUGCUAAGAUAUUACAAAGAUGCCUAGAAUUUAAUCUUAUUUUAAAUUAUGAAAAAUGCCACUUCAUGGUUGACAAAGGAUUAAUUUUAGGCCAUAUAGUUUCCUCAGAAGGUAUUGAGGUUGAUAAAGUAAAAACGGAUAUUAUUAACUCAUUACCUUACCCCACAUCUGUGAGGGAAAUUCGUUCGUUUCUUGGGCGUGCAGGAUUUUACAGACGAUUCAUAAAAGACUUCUCAAAGAUCGCGCAACCGCUUUGCAGUCUGUUACAGAAGGAUAAAGAAUUUAAAUUUGACCAGACUUGUAAAGAUGCAUUUGACGUACUGAAGCAGAAAUUGGUCUCCGCCCCUAUAGUACAACCACCAAAUUGGAACUUCCCCUUCGAAAUUAUGUGUGAUGCAAGUGAUCGAAGUGUGGGAGCUGUUCUUGGCCAAAGAAUAGGGAAAGAGCCUCAUGUUAUCUACUACGCUUCGAAAACCUUGGAUGCUGCCCAAAGCAAUUACACAACCACCGAGAAAGAAUUAUUAGCUGUUGUGUUUGCUUUAGAUAAAUUUAGAUCUUACCUGUUGGGAACUAAAGUAAUUAUAUUUUCUGAUCAUGCAGCUUUGAAGUAUUUAGUAGGGAAGAAUGAGGCAAAACCUCGACUGAUCAGGUGGAUUCUACUUCUGCAAGAAUUUGAUUUUGAAAUUCGAGAUAGAAAAGGAUGCGAAAACUUAGUAGCUGACCAUCUGAGUCGAUUACCGAUUCCAGUAGACGACACACCAUUGAAAGACAACUUCCUAGAUGAAAACCUAUUUUCAGCAAAUGUGGUUCAUCCUUGGUACGCAGAUAUAGUAAACUAUCUUGUCACAGGUACUAUACCUUCAGAAUUACCAAUGUUUAAAAAAGAUAAGAUUAAAAAGGACGCUCGAUAUUACAUUUGGGACGAUCCUUACCUAUGGAAGCAUUGCUCCGAUCAGCUAAUCCGACGGUGUGUAACAGAAACAGAGGUACAGUCUAUCCUUGCCUAUGGAAGCAAUGCUCCGAUCAGGUAAUCCGACGGUGUGUAGCAGAAAUAGAGGUACAGUCUAUCUUAACUUUUUGUCAUUCUUAUGCAUGUGGAGGACACUUUGGACCCAAACGCACUGCACACAAAAUUCUAAAGUGUGGACUAUUUUGGCCAAACAUAUUUCGUGAUGCCUUCUUAUUCUGUAAAACCUGUGAAAGAUGCCAAAAAGUUGGUAACCUUAGUCGACGAAAUGAGAUGCCCCUUACUCCGAUCCAUAUUUGUGAAAUUUUUGAUGUGUGGGGCAUCUAUUUUAUGGGUCCUUUUAUUUCUUCUUUCGGUAAUUUUUAUAUACUCUUAGCUGUUGAUUACGUUUCUAAGUGGAUAGAGGCAAAUGCUACUCGCAAUGAUAAUGCUAAGACUGUGGUUGACUUUCUUAAAAGUUCUAUCUUUUCCAGGUAUGGCACCCCACGAGCAUUAAUCAGCGACAGAGAAACUCAUUUCUACAAUAAACUCGUAAGUGCACUUAUGGAAAAAUAUGGAGUGACUCAACGAAUUGCCACUGCCUACCAUCCACAAACAAACGGACAAGCUGAAGUGUCAAAUCGAGAAAUCAAGUCCAUACUGGAGAAGACUGUUAAACCUAACAGAAAGGGUUGGAGCUUGAGACUAAACGACGCACUUUGGGCUUAUAGGACAGCUUACAAGGGUCCAAUAGGCAUGUCACCUUAUCGACUUGUUUUUGGUAAACCGUGCUAUCUCCCGGUCGAAUUAGAGCAUAAAGCAUUUUGGGCAGUUAAGCAGUGUAAUAUGGAGAUGGAGAUCGCAGGAAGAGCUCGAAAGUUGGACAUUCAGGGACUCGAGGAAAUUAGAAACGAUGCAUAUGAAAAUGCUCGAGUUUAUAAAGAAAAGAUGAAGGCGUUCCACGAUAAGAUGAUCACUAGGAAGCGGUUUUCAAUAGGACAAAAAGUUCUCCUAUACGACUCCACCUUAAAAAUUUUCGCUGGUAAGCUUCGAUCCAAAUGGAUAGGUCCAUUUACUACCACUAAUUUAUUCUCAAAUGGUGCAGUGGAAAUUCAAAGCGAAGAAACCCGGAAGUGCUUUAAGGUGAAUGGACAACGAUUGAAACCCUUCUACGAGAAUUUUCAAACGCACACGAUUGAGGAGAUUGUUCUCGAGGAGCCCGAAAAUUGAAUAACAGGUCGUCGAGCUAACGACGUUAAACAUAGCGCUGUUGGGAGGCAACCCAAAUUUUCUUUUCCUUUAUGCAAAUAAAAUUUUUGGUAAAAUGGAAAAUGAAAAUGCAUGUCGAGGAUUAGUUCUGUCUAAAGAAAGACUUAGUACUUAAGUAUGUCCAUUGUGACUCACCUCUCUUUCCUGGGAACUUACUUGGCACAUUCAUCACUACUGUUUUACCAAAUCUCGUAAUCUUGGUUUUUAAUAAUUUAUUUCUCGAGUUUAUAGCUUAGCUAAUAAAUUUGAAAAAAAAACAUUUUAAUUUUCCUAUUAUUAUUAUUUAUUUUUACUAUUUUAUUUUAUUUUCAUUUUUAUUUUUACAGGAAACAUUCCAAGACAAAAUUAAAUUCCACAUGUCAACCUUCUUUUUAUUUCAGCCAAGGCCCACUCUAUCUACGAGACCACCCUCCAUGACAUUGAAAUACAUGGGGAGUUUCUUUUUUCUCUCUUUCUCCUACUUAUCUUUACUUUUAUUCUUUAAAUUACAUUGGGACAAUGUAAAAUAAGUAGGGGGGAAGGAAACAUAAAUUGGUUCUAAUAUGAUUAUCUGUCAUCACUAUUUUUGCAUGUUUUUGGUAAAAGGUAAAAUUUUUCUUUUGAUAAAUUGGGAUGGUACACUUAUGGUUUGACCUAUUUAGCUAUUUAAUUCUUUACACAUGGAACUUUUCAAUAACCUAGACUUAGUGGGUAAGAAAUUUUUAGGAAUUAUAAGUUUGCUUGACUGCCUACUUUUUAUCAUAUGUCAAAUUUUUGAAUGUCAAAAAAAAAUACUCCUCUGAUACGAAUGUUAAGAGUGAAAAAUUGGGGUUUUACAUCGGGCUGAGUAACCAGAACAUGGUGCUUGGGUUGUCAUCAUGUCUCGCGUAAAAAGGUUCAUGUGGUUGCCCAAUUUCUUUGCACUCACUCCGCUAACAAGUUAUCAUGAGUAGGGCGAAAUAACCCGCUUAGAGACGUCCGAAUUGAGUAACCGGAAUAUGGUGCUUGGGUUGUCAUCAUGUCUCGCGUCAAAAAAUUUGAAAAUGCCCUAAGUACAAAAAUAAUAAAAUGAAAGGUAAGCCUAUCAAGCUCUCAUAAAUUCUGAAAUAUAUUUACUUACUUCUUAGGCUAGGCUAUUUGAGAUGUUAAUGUGCUAGGAUUAAAUUGUUGAAAUGUGCAAACCAUGGGGGUCAAGUCCUAUUUUGGAGAAAAUUUUUCCUUUUGCAGAUACAUACAAAAUGCUCGAGGACUAGCAUAAGCUAAGUGGGGGGAAUUGAUUAAAUACUAAAGUUACAUAUUUUAUGUAAUUAAUUUGGUUAAAUUAUGAAAGUGCACCACUAAUUUUGCCAUAUUUAUUGAAUUUUGUGCAGGAAUGCAAUUUGGGGCUAAAUAGAAGAAAAAGGAAACAAUUGGGCUAGAUUGAAGAAAGAAGCAAAGAAGGAGGGCCAAAGAAGAAUUUUUCCAAAAUUAAUUAGCUGAAAUUUUUGAGUUAGUGGGAGAAUAUUUUGGGAUUUAUUUUAUUAUGGGAUAUUUUUCCUUAAUUUCCUAUGACUAGUUAGCUCCUAAUUUAGUAAAUCCUCUAGUAUAAAUAGAGCUUGUAUUGUUCAUCAUUUCAUCAAUCAAAAAAAUAUUAAGCUCUUGUCUUUCAAUACAUUCUCUCUUUUCUCACAUAGCAUUGUUGUUUCUUUAGUUUCCUUUCCUUCAAUUUUUUCCAGUAGCUAAUCACCAAAUCAAGUAAUUUGCAAUUUCUUUUUUUUUUUCAAUUCUUUUCCAAAUAGUCAACCACCCCACUUUAAUAUAUUCCAACCCCCAUACUCAAUCACAUCACCCAUCUUUUCACCCAUUUACCUUAAUUAAUUUAUCAAAUACCAACAUGUCCCAAACCUUAGCCAACUAAACUCAUUUUCAGCUUUAGGCCGAAAUUAGCCUCGUCAAAACCCAUGAGUUACGAACCCGAGCCAUUUAACUCCUAAAAUUCCAGUACUUAUUACUUCUCCGGAUUAAGAGUGUGAUUUUGUCAGCUCAUAAAGUCAGAUAAACACUAAGUAAAAAAAGACGUCGUUUUAUUUAGUGUGGUUAGACGUAUAGUUGGAAUUCCGAAAGGAACGUUUCCAAUCGGUUUUCUGUGAACACAUUGACGUGCCAAGUGGAGAUUGCUGUUUGGUUCCGUCAAGGGAAGUAGUAACCGGAUUUAAAUGUCUCACGCGGUUGAGCACAUUGGUUCGAGCUAGGCUCUUCUAGAACGCAAAGCUGCCGGAGUUCUAAAUCACGAACGUUUCGUGGUUGUUCGAUUGGUAAGGGUUAGUUAUUGGACGUUCCAUAACUAAUUUACACAAGGAAGAGUUGGUGUCCGAGGUGUCCUUGGUAGCUAUAACUAGCUUAUUGGAAAAGAGGAGUUCAUCCAAUUUCGAGGAUCGGUUCAAAGACGAGGAAAAUUCGUGUCUAAAGCUGAGCUCAUUCUAAUUAAUUUUUCUUAAUAUUUAUUUCACGGUUUUUAUUAUUCUGUUUUCAACCUUUACUUUUGACGUUAUUUUUCUGUUAAUUUCAGGUUUUCAAAUUUUUAUCCCCCCGAACGUCUUGGGCACGACAGCUGCCCCGACAUAAAUUUGGUCAAGCGAGCAACAAUUUACAGUAAACCAGUCUCUGAGGGAUCGACCCUACUCCCUAUACUGCAUAAUUUGCAAAUUAAGGCGUAGGUUUAUAUUGGUGGAUUCGACACCCAUCAUAUAUCUUGGAAAUAUUCUGCUUUGGCCCUCCUACUUUGCUUCUUUCUUCAAUCUAGUCCAAUUGUUUCCUUUUCCUUCUAUUUAGCCCAAAAUUGCACCGCUGCACAAAAUUCAACAUAAACAUAGAAAAAAUCAGUGGUGCACUCUCAUAAAUUAACCAAUUUAAUUACAUAAAAUAUGUAAUUUUAGCAUUUAAUCAACCAAUUUUAUCCAUUCUAACUAGAAAUUCUAUCAAUCAAACCCUAAUUCAACAAUUUGUUCAACAUGAAUCAUAUUAAAAAAUCUAAUAACUUUCAAAAUUUUAACUUAAAUUCAACAAAACUUUGUUUUAAGACCUCUAAAACAUCAAAAUUAAAAGAAAAGGACUUGAUUAACUUACCAAAUUAAAGCUUAAAGCCUCAAACCCUAGUUUUUCCCUUUUCUUUUCUUUCCCCUUUCCUUUCUUUCUUUUUCAUCUAUUAUCUGUUUCUUCUUUCUAUUUUGUUUCCCUUUCAUUUCAUUUCAUUUUCUUUUAUUUGUUUUGUUUUGUUUUAAUUAUAAUAAUAUAAUAUAUAUUUACUUAAUUAAUAACCAAUACAUAUUUUAUUAUGAAAUACAUAUGUUUAUUAUUAUUACACAUGUAUUUACCAACACCACUCACUUGUCUAUUAUCAUCACCAUACACUUGUCUUAAUUUUAAUUUAUUCCAUAAUAUAAUAAUAUAAUUAAUAUAAUUAUAAUUUUUUAACACCCCAAACCCGUCCUGGACGUUAUGGCCAAAUCUGGCGAUGUCACAUAGAAGUGCAUUUGAAAACCGUAUCAUUGCUAAAAUCAUUAUCCGUUUAGAACUUAUCAUUAUCUUUCAUUAAUUCUCAAAUCGUGAUUCAUUUCCAAAACGCUAUACUUUGCGGAAGCUUUUAAAAUAGCUUGUGUGUGCGUGGUAUUUUGAUAAAACAUUCAUCUCUUUUAAAACCUGAGUUUUACCUACCUCUAGCAGAUAUAAACAGAAAAUAGUAGAAAAUCCAAAUUUUAGGUAAAAAAUCCAUAGAGGCCAUUAUUACAGAAAAAUACCCCAAAAUAAAACUUAAAAUUGUAAAUAAGUAUCAAAUAGAAAAAAUGAGUCGUGUGGCCACCGCUGAGUCCUCCACCACACCGAUCCACCUAUGUCUGGGGCUUACCUGUACAGAUUAAAUAGAAAGGGUAAGUUUACGUAAACUUAGUGUGUAAUCCCCAUGCAAACAAAUAGACAAUAACAGAUAAUCUCAGUUUGGGCCUAAGCCCUUUUCAGUAUCAGUAAGCAUUAGGGCCUUAGCCCAUCACAGUACAGUAACAGUGACAGUUAUGCGGUUAUAAAUCCUACCCAACCAGCCUCUACACUCCAUCUCCAUCCAACCCUACACUCUAUGUGGGGAUAUAAUCAACCCACCUAUCCCUACACUCCAAAUAGUACCGAAUGCGGCACUAAACAGUAGUUGCAGCUAAGCUGCCAGUAAGUUAGGCUUGAAGCCAUUCAGUACACUUCCUCCAAUCAAUAUAGUGUAUACAGCAUGCUCAACAUACAGACAUACAUAUCUAUCUUAUAUAGGCAUAUAACAGUCUUUCAAUCAUUUCAGUCAAUUAGGGGUCUAAGUAAACUUACCCACCCUACAGUAGGUUCACAGUCGACUUGGACGACCCGUGCAACCUUAGCAGUCAAUGAGUGAAAAUGGGCCCACAGGCCUAUGUUGCAUCCCAUGUAGGCCCACAUGCUCGUGUGGCCCACACGGCCCAAAAUGGCCUCGGCCGUAUGGAUCACACGGUCUAUCACAAUAUUCUUACAUGUCCGUGUGGUUUAUCUGUACGAGGCCCACACGCCCGUAUGGCCCAUACGGCGUAUUUCAGCUCAGCCCAUGAAUCGCAUAUAGCCGGCCUCGUUGAUCACAUGCUCAUGUUCGAUCACACGACCUACCACAUAGGCAGCCGCACACCCGUGUGACGUCGACAAUUACAUUUUUUGGCUUUUCGCCUAUUUCUGUUUUCAGAGUUGUGUUUACACACCUGGUUCGUUUGUGACGUUAAAACACUUCCAAGAUCCCCAGCACCUAUGGUCAACAACCAAACCCCACAAUCAGUCCUAAUUCCUAGUUAACUUGAAACCAAAAUAUUGACAAUGAUUCGUUCAAUCCAUUCGUUACCUACCUUUAAAACCGAGCAACCCCCAACUAUGGAUUCGAACGAGAUAGGUUACCACUCCCACAAUUCACUGCUGACAAAUCUGAUAGACCCAAUAAGACAACAAUUCACAUCUUCAUAGCUUAAAAGAAUAGAAAAGCUUCCCCUAAUUCACCAAACACAAUCACCUUACCUACUAAACGAAUGACGGCAGAACCACACCGCUCCAAUGCUAAUCGAUUCGUUCUGGCCCUUAACCUUCAACAAUGAAGCAGUCGACCUAUCACCAAAAAUCCAUAAACCAAAUAACACCACAGUUACAAAACUUACCACCAAUGCACAAAAACAAAACGGAGAUGACAAAUUGCGGCAAUAAAGAUUUGAGAAGGAAAUGGACUACUAAAAAAACCAAAGCAGGGAGAGAAGGAAAUUUUCAGCGGUAGUCGACAACAAACAAAAAGAGGAGAAAAGAAAGGCCAAUGGCAUAAUUCGCAGAGAGAAUAAUAGCCAGGUAAAAAAAUAGAGGAGGAAAAACAGUCGACUGCAAGGGAGAGAAAAGAAUCGGCAAAGAAAAUGAAGGGGAAGGAUGAAAAGAGGGAGAAGAUUCAACCAAGGGAGGAGGGGGACGUUUGCUCACCUUAAUUAACUCCCCCUAUCCCUAAAUUUGGGAAGCACAGAAUUCCACUCAAUUACCACUACCCCCUAAAUCCCUUAAUUAACUCCCCCUAUCCCUUAAUUUCACUCCCCAAUCGUCCACCACAAUCCCCUCAACCAUCGAAUUCAAACCCCACUCAAAACACCCUCACGACACAAGCAGUAAAAAUAAAUCUCAUGUUUGAGUAAGAACUUGAACUCCAAACCUCCUACUCAAUUGCAAUCCACUUAACCACCAAACCAACAAACUCAUUUUAAUGUAUUUUACCAAUAUUUAUUUAUAAGCCUACUGACUAGAGAUAGAGGUUUAUUCAUUUAAAAACAAAAAAUUUUCCCAAGCUAAUGCUUGAACUUGGGACCUCCCAAAUAUUCCCAAAAUACAUAGCUAUUAAAAUUGACAGAUAUUUUUGAUACAAAUAUACGAAAAUAAAUAUAUAAGAGAUUUUUGGGACGUUACAAAUUUUGAAUAAAUAAUAAUAUAUCUAAUUAAUUAACAUAAAUAUCUAAGAUUUUUAUACACAUUUGCCGCCUCAUUUAAUGGAAUAGGCUUAAUUGCCUAUUUAGUCCCUACUAUUUUCUUUUAAUCUAUAAUUAAACUUUUGCACCUUAUUCUAUUUAGUCCUUUUUCCUAAUUUCUCUUAUUUAAACUAAAUUCAUCCAAUUAAAACUUAAUCGGGCACAUCACUAGACUCAUAAUUACUCCUAAUAAUUAUUUACGGACUCGGUUUACUAAGACGAAGGCCCGAUAUUGCACUUUUUCGAUGCCCAUGAAUUUUGGGUCAUUACAUAUUGUAGAUAGACACUAAUCUUAGUUUAUGUAAUUCAAUCUAUACCGAAAGAUUUGGGUAUGCUUUUUAUGUCUACAAUUCUUUCGUGGGUAUGCUUAUAUUACUUUUUGUGUAGUGUCUUGUUUUACAUAGUUUAUAAUUGUCCCAACGAAUUUAAUUUAGAAUUUCUUUUUUUUUGUUUAUUCUGUGUGUUGUGUCAAUUUAUUUAUUUAUUUAUUUAAAAUGUUUUUUUUAUGUUCUAUUUUUUUUUCAUUUGUAAGCUUUUAUAAGAUUAUAUUUAUUUAUACAUUAAUACUUUUUCUUAUGUAAAAUUUUGUACGUUAACAUAUUUUUAUCGUAUUUACUUUAUUUUCCAUGACACGAUAUUUUUAAUUAUUUUUAAUACUUCUAUAUCAUGUUUUAAUUCGACAAUGUUCAUAGUUUUAUGAAAAUAAUUCUAUUUUAUUCUAAAUCAUGAUAAUGAUAUGGGCACCCAAACCGCAAACUUCACUACAAAACCCCAAAAACACAGAGAGCAAAGUCAAAACUCUUAACGAAAGACAUGAUGGAAUUGGCGAUGGAAACACAGAACAGAACAGCGACACCUUAAUUAAGUCCCCUACAUCAUUCUCUCAACAUAAACCAAAGGAUUAAGUCUCCAUUAGAAUAGGUUUUAUUUGUUUAUUCUCAUUUAUUUAUUUUGAUAAAUCAACAUAAACAACAACCCAAAUGUUGAUUUACAACCUUAACUUUAAGCAAUUAAACGAUAAGUCGGCUUUACAAGUAAAUGAUUAGCCCUCGGCAACGAAAGGCCGAACUUCUCGGUCAUGUCGAGUUCAAUAGGCAACAUCCCAUCAGGCAACUCCCAAUCAAAGCAAUGGGCUAAUUGAGCUAAAAUAAGACGCAUGCUGAUUAGAGCUAACUGCAUUCCGGGACAUCCUCUACGACCGGUUCCGAACGGAAUGAGUUCGAAAUCAUGCCCUCGAAGGUCUAUCUUCCUAUCCUUGAAUCUUUCUGGAAAGAACUCUUCGGCAUUGCUCGACCAUAUCUUGGGGUUUCGCCCCAUGGACCAAGUGUUCACCAAAAGCCGCGACUUCUUAGGUAUGAAAUACCCAUUAACGGUGACAUCUUCGGUCGACUCGUGCGGGACUAACAACGGUGCCGCCGGAUGCAACCUGAAACUCUCUUUGAUGACCAUAUCCAAAUAGGCAAGUUUCGGUAGGUCCGACUCUUCUACCAUUCUAUUCCUUCCGACAACACUUUCUAGCUCUUUCUGGAGAGCAACCAUGACUCGAGGAUGCUUUAGAAGUUCUGUAAAUGUCCACUCAAUGGCCGUGGAUGUAGUGUCGAAGGAAGCUGCCACCAUGUCCACCAUUAUAGCCUUGAUGUUUUCUCUACCAAUGAUGUAGGGUUGAUCUUUAUCGUUAGGGUUUAUGGGUGUAUCCAACAACGAAACCAUCACUUGAAAGAAACUUCUAUAAGGUUUUUGGUCAUCCAUGUUAAUCCCUUGUUGGUAUUCAUCUAUCAUUUUCUCAAAAAAUUCGUGAAGGCCACUACUCACCUUCUUAAGCCUUCUUGUAUAUCCCUGCAGCGUAAAGAUAGAUAUGAUAGAAUCAGUUUUAUAUUAAUUGUAUUUUUCAUUAUAAUUAUUCUUUGUGAAAAAACCAACGAGUCAUUCAACCAAAUAUUAAGACUUCCGAGUUUCACUCUGCAUCUUAUAAGAUUACUAUAACACAAUUUAUUAUGCUUUAAAAUUGGUAUUACUAUUAGUACGAAAAAAUAAAUAAAUUAUGAAAAAGAAAAAUAGUACAUAAAAAAACAGGAUAUAAGGAGGAAAAAAAAAACGUUACCUGAAGAUCAAGUGGAGCAAGGAAAGGCACAUAAUCCGAGAGAUUGAAAACCCCAGAUAAGUGCAGGGCCUCAUCAACCAGCGGCUUAAAAUAGAUUUUAUCAUCCAUGGACCGCCCGAAUAACACUUUCGACAUCAUUUCUUCAAGAACCUUAGCCACCGCCUGGCUAAGGUUUAUUGUUUCACCCGCCGCAGCUACCUUUCUCACUGAUUCAACCAAUAACCCCACCUCCGCCUUCCUUAUCGGGGCAAAGCAUUCAACUUUGGAAGCACUGAGGAAAUGCAAAAUACACCAUUUCCGUACAGUUCGCCAGUAAGAACCGUACUGGGUAAAACCAACGGCCUUGCCACCAUAUGCCAAGUAUUUCGCGGAUUGGACUUUAGGCCUGGAAGCAAAAACGACGUCAUGGACCUUGAGGAACAGUUCAGCGGCUUCGGGUGAUGAUACCACGAUGGUUGGUACUUUGCCUAGCAUUAUCGACAUGAUGGGUCCAUAUUUUUCGGCGAGAUAGUGAAGACUAUGGUGUGGGAGGUUCCCUAGCAUGUGGAUGUUACCUAUGAUGGGAAGAGGGGCAGGACCGGGUGGAAGUUUCCGGCCAUUUUUGUUGCGGUUUGGUGAGCUGAAGAAGUAGAUAAAGGAACAGAGAGUUCCAAGGAGGACGAAGAGUAAGGUUAAUGUUGAAGAAGACAUUUGGGAGGGAAGCCAAUCACAAUAGCUGGUAGUCAUUGGGGAUUGAUUGAUUGAGUACUUGUAGAUGGAAGCAACCGAUGGCAGCUGCAAGUCGGGAGAAUUCGCCAAAUAUGUCGAUUUAAAUAAAAUUAGGGAGUUCGACUUUUUUUUUUUUAAUGUAAGGAAAAAAGUUGAUUUUUGCGGGCUUAUUUUUCCAGUUGAAUUAUUUACAUGGUAAGAAAAUAUUCUUAUAAUUUUUAUUUUAUUUUUUAUGUUUGUAUAACCAAGAUGAAGAUUAAAUUAUUGAAAUUUAUAUACAAGCAAUUUAAGUGCAAGAGCACCACGUGUUAGUGAAUAAUACUUGAAAGAGGUGAGAUUCUUACACAUGUCUCAUAUGCUCAACGAGACUAAAUUGAAGUCUGCACUUAUCAGUGCUUUGUUGAGAAAUGGAGAUCCGAAACACAUAAAUUCCAUCUUUCGUGCAGAGAGUGUACGAUUACAUUUAAGGAUGUAUCAUUACAACUUGAUCUACCAAUUGAUGAGGCAGUCAUUACGGUUGGGGAUUGGAGGCCAAUUUGCCACCAGCUAUUAGGCAAGGUGUCAGGCAAGUUUAGUGGUAAUCAAAUAUAUAUGAAAUGGUUAGAAGAUAAUUUCUCACAUCACAAAACUCUUCUAGUGUAGUUGAAAGACAACAAUUAACUCGAGCAUUUAUACUAAGGUUAAUCGGGGGUCUUCUAAUGUCAUAUAAAUCUCAAAAUUUGGUAUAUUUAAGGGGACACCUAUAACUAAUUAACCUAAAAGAAACUGGGCAAGUCAGUUGGGGAUCAAUUGUCUUGGCUACAUUGUAUCGAAAGAUGUGUAGGACAACAGAAGCACAAAAAUUAAAAUCGGUGGUUGUAUAUUCCUUCAAUCAUGGGUAUAGUAUCGCUUACCAUUUUUACAUCCCGAGAAAACUCUCAUUAUCAAUUAUUACUCGUAAUAAGGUAACAUUCAUUUAAUAAUAUAGUUAUCAUAUUAUCUUUUUUUCAUUAUUAUAUUUUUGGAAUAACAUAUUAUUUGAAACUAAUAAACUUGAAGAUAUUUGGUUAUUGUUAAAUCAAUGGUUAAAAGUCGAGGUUAGUUUUUGAAUUUUUUUAGUUACAUAAUAAUUAUGUAAGGAUUUGAAAUUUAAUAUUAGGUAGGUAUGAAAUUUAUAAUUUCGUAUUAUAAUUUAGAUGGAUGUCAUACUCUGAUCCGAGAAUUGAAGAAUGUAUCCCGUUUAAAUUUUUGACGAAUCAUAAUAUUUGACACGUUAAAGUGUCAUUAAUAGUUUUUACAUUGUCUAUUUUUAAUAAAUAUAUUUGAAGUAAAUUUUUUUAUAUAUUCUAUUUGAACAUUUUUAGAUUUUAAAAAAAAAAUUAUACAUACUUUUCAUAUAUUUUUUUUAAAAAUUAGGACCAAAUUAAUAGAAUAUAAAAAUAUUGAUGGUUUAAUUUAUUAUUAUAUCAAUCAAAAUUAUUACAAUUGAUGGAAAAUAUUAUUUUUCAUGAUGGAAAACAAUUAUACAUACUUUUCAUCCACCUAAAUCUGCUGGUCUAUUUGCGAAGGCUUUCCUUCUUUUAGCUACAAUUGUAUUUAUUAAUUCAUAGAUUUGUCGGGAUAACAAAAAAAUUAUAAACAAUUAUAAUGAGCCAAUGGCCAUUACUUGCAGGGACCACUGGAUCAAUCACAAAUGCCGACACCUAAAAUCAUAUAGUUAUUUUGGAUAAAUCUAACGUGAUGUAAAGUAUAUAUAUUUAUAAAAUAUUAUAAAUUAUAAUAUCAUAUAAUAAAAUAAUAUAUGAAUUUUAAUUGUAUUGGGUAACAUGUAUUUGUUUUCAACAUACCAUAAUGGGAAGGAAAAUGUGGAUACAGAUAUAAGUUGGGCAAGAAGUUACAAGUGGUUCAACACGGCAUGAUUGCAUGAUGUGAGGGUGACAACUAACCAGGGGACAUGUCCAACCAGACGAUGGGUUAAAUUUAAUACGGAUAGAGUUGUAUCCAGAAAUAACUCAUUUGCGGGCAUUGGGGGAGUGUUUAGCGGUGCCGACAGCUAGUGGUGAGGUGGUUUUUCGAUGAAGUUAGGAAAUGAUUCAAUUUUCAAGAUUGAGGCGAGAGCCUUACUUAAAGGCCUACUUAUAUCAUGGAGAAAAGGUUAUCGACAGUUGGAAGUGGAAUGUGAUAAUACUCUCUUAGUUGAAUUGAUUUUAGCUGGCAGAGUUGCAGAUAGUCAUUUGACUGAAAUGCGCCUUAUCCAUCAUUUAUUGAGUUGGAAUUGGAAGAUCCUUGUUCCUCUUACUUCGAGGUCGCAAAAUACAGUAGUUGAUCAUAUGGCCAAGUGUAUGGCGACUAUUUCCACAUAAAUUCAUUGGUUUGAAGAACCACCGCAAUUAGCUAGAAGUUUAAUUGAGGCGGAUUAUGUUCUUACUUUGAGUCACUAGUGUCAUUUUUUGAGUUUUUCGCUUUAAGCUAUCUUUUUUCUACCAAAAAAAAUGUGUACAAUUACUUUACACUACAUGAAUUAUUGAGAGGAGAAAUUCAUAUUAGUUAUAUAUAUUAUAAUUUGUAUAUAAUAAAUAUUUUAAUAAUUGUUGCAUGUUAUAUUUAUGUAAUAUGGUAUGCAACCGUUUUUUUAUUGUUUAUGUCUAUUUACAAUUCAUAUUCAAGGUUCGUGUGGUUAUUCUUUCCAACAAAACUAUUUCUAAGGUCCAAAAAAAAUUUCAUAUUUGAAUUUAAAUGGAAAAUUGUUAUUAAAUAAAAGAUAAUUAUAAUUUCAUAGUUCAAAUUUAAAACUCAAUAUAUUUAUUUAUCAAUUUUUUUAAAUCUAAUAUUUAAAUAUAUCAAAUGGUUUAAACCAUUUAAUCUAAAUUUAGAUUAAAUAUUUUUAAAUAUAAAAACAUUAAUUAAUUGUAUAAAUUUUCAUCAUUUAAUAAAUCUAAAGUAAACCUUAAAUCCUAAACCAUUUAAUAUAUAUAAAAUUGAUCUAUUAUCUCUUAAAUAAUUUAAACUAUCUCCUAAACCCCUAUCUCCUAAACCCUACAUCAUAAAACAUAAACCCUAAACCCCUAACCCCUAACCCUUCUUUUACAAUUAUAUAAGAACUUAAUUAAUAUAUAAAUUAAAAAAUACUAAUUAAUCUAAACCUUAAACCCUAACCCGACCUCGAAUCUCUAAACCUUAAAUCACUAACUCUUAACCUCUAACUCUAACCCCAAAUCCCAAACCCCAAACCCCUAACUACUAACCCCUAAACCUUAUUUAAUAUAUAAAUUAAAAAACACUAAUUAAUCUAAACUCUAAACCGUAACCCGAAUCCCUAACCCUUAACCCCUAAAUCACAACCCUUAAACCAGAAUCCCUAAUUCCAUAAUCUAUAAACCUUAAAAUUGCAACUCCUAAACCGGCCUUAAAUCCUAAAUUAACCAUAUACCCUAAACCAUAUAUAUUAAACCCUAAACUAUAAUGAUAAUUAAUUAAAUAUUUUAAAAUUAAUACUAUUGUAUCUUUUACAAUUAUAUAUGAAAUUAUUUAAUAUAUAAAUUAAAAAUAAAUCAGUCAUGUACCCUAAAAAUUUUUAAAUUAUUUUAAAUAAUAGUAUUUUAAUUUUUUCCAUUUUUAACAAGUAUAUUUCUAUGUUUUUUUAUUUGAAAUUAUUUCUACGUGUCAUUAUUUCAAAUUUAACCUUUUUUAAAAAAUAUUCAAUUAAAAAUAAAUUGAAUUUUAAUUAAUAUAAAUAAACAAAUUAAAUAGUAAAUAGACAGAUAAAAUGCAUUAGCGGUGCUUUUUCAAAAACGCCGCUAAAAGUCUGAGCAUUAGCGGCGCUUUUUUAAAACGCCGCUAAAAGCAUGAGCAUUAGCAGUGCUUUCUAAAAAACGCCGCUAAAAGCCUGAGCAUUAGUGGCGCUUCUUCAAAAACGCCGCUAAAAGCCCCGAAAGGUUUGGACUUAGGUUUUUAGCGGCGGUUUUCGAGAAAACGCCGCUAAUGCUCGGUCUUUAGCGGCGUUUUAUGUAAAGCGCCGCUAAUACUUAAUUUUUAGCGGCGUUUUUUGUCCAAACGCCACUAAAAACGCCGCUAAAAGCCUAUUUUGGUGUAGUGUAUGCAACCACUUUUUUUUAUUACAAUUCAUAUUCAGGGUUCGUGGUUAUUCUUUUCAACAAGACUAUUUCUAAGGUUCAAAGUUGUAUCUCUAUUUAGGUAUGCAAAAUAUCUUACCAUUAGACCAAACACUUGAAUAAAUGAAAACUGUAUAACUAUAUAUUCCACUAAAAAAGUCAUCACUUGCUUUUCUUUUAAGGGUAAAGUACAAAAAUAUCACUAAACUAUUGACUUUAUUCUAUUUUGGUCAUUCAAUUAUUAAUGUAAUAGCCCGAUUUUCAAAAAUGUCGAAAACAGUGGUACGAGACCACCAAAUUCAGAAAAUAAGCUCGUAAAUUUUAUUAUCAAUAAUUACGAGCCAAAUAUGAUUUUUAAGAGAUUUUUAAAUUAGUAAUUUGUAUUUUAUAAAAAUUUAUUAAGUCAAGAAAUUGAGAAAAAGAGGUAUCGAGACUUCGAUAUUAUAAACCGAGCCGUAAAUAUUUUUAUAAAUAUUUACGGAGUGUCAAUAUGGUAGUGUUAAAGUUUCGUCAGAAAAUUUUAAUGUUUUGGCAGUUAAUUAAUUAAAAAGGACUAAAUUAAAAAGAUGCAAAACUUGCUAAAGUGAUUAAAUAGCUUAACAAUUAAAUAAGGAAGGAUUAAAAGAGAAAAUGGACCAAUUUAGGGGCUGGAUGACAUACCGUUAAAAAAAUCUAAGAUUUUAAUGUAUUAAGGACAAAAUUGGAAUUACAAUAAAGUUUAUGUGGCCAAAUUUUAUUUUAAGCAUUUCAAGACCAUUUCUUCUUGAAAUUUCGGGGGGAGACAGCCAUGGAAGAGGGUUUGGAGCUGGUAUUCCAUAUUUUGGCUUCAAGUAAGUUUAAUUCUUGCUUUGUCCUUGAAAUUUUUAUAUUUUUAGACUUUUACAAUUAGGUCCAACUUAGUAUUCUACUAGUUUCUCAUUUUGUUGAAAGUUUUGGAAGAUACUAAUGAUAAGUUCAUAUGAUUGUUGUUAUUUUGUGAUGAAAUUGAGAUGUUAAUGGAUGUUUAAAGGUGUUUUAUUAAAGAAUUUUAGAUGAAAACAUGUUUUAGGGAUUAAAUUGAAAAGUAUUGAAAUCAUGGAGAAAUUCUAAAAUUUCAUGGAAUCUAUGGGAUUUUAUUGAUAUGUAUGAGAAAUACUAGGCUUGAAUCAAGGAUUAUAUUGCAAGAAUUUCAUUUUCCAAGCCUAGGGACGAAAUUAUCAUGUAUUAAAAGUUUAGAGUCAAAUUGGUAAUCAAUAUAUUACACUAAACAGUUUUGGGCAGCAGCAGUGGUCUGACUUUGAAAAAUCACCAAAAAUUUUGGGAAUUGAAUUAGAGGGUGAAUAAAAUAUUAAAUUAAAGCUUAUUGAGUCUAGUUUCUCAUAGAAGAAACGGUGUAAGUAAUGAAAUUGUAAAUCAUGAGAUAUAAUAGAUUUUGUGAGACAAGGUCAGAAUGAAUUCGGGUUCCCCUGUUCUGAAUUUGGAAAAUCAUUAAAAAUUGUACAAAAAUGAUUAUGAGUUAUAAUUUAUAUGAUUAGAAUCCUUAAUGAGUCUAUUUUCAGAAGAAACCAAUAUAAAUAUCAUCCAAAUUCUGUACAAUGAGAUAAUUAAUUUUUAGUGAAGAGUGGUCGGAACUGUCAGACAGCAAAACAGGGGAAACUUUAAAGAAUAAACUGUACUAUUUGGCUGAACCAAAAAUUCUGAAAAUUUUAUGGUAAGAAGGUAUGUGAGUCUAGUUUCAGGGAAAAUUAACGGAUCUUAAUUUGGAGCUCUGUAGCUCCAGAUAAAAAUAAUUUAGUGACUCUGAUUCGGAUAAACAGCUUUGAAUAUACAUGUGAGUGAAUAGUGAAAUUAUAGCUAAUGUUGUUUAAGUGUGUUAUACACAAUAAGGAUGUGGAAUGGAGAGGAGCAGGAGGAAAAUUGGGAAGUAUAUGAAUGAUUUGUGUAUAAUUGGUCAUAUGCUUGAUUAUAAUUGAUAAACGAUGAAAUAGAAAUAAUGCUUAUAUUUGUGCAUUAUUGGUUUUGGUUUAAGCUCAUGUGUGAAAAUAAAGUUUCAUAGUAUGUGUGUAUCGUAUAUUCGGUAUAUGAUUUGGCAUGAAAUAAUUUCAUGAAUGGUUUAUCAUGUGGUUAGUUCCAAAAAGAGUUAUGUUUAAAUAUACUAGCUUGUGACUAUGGUUGAAUGAUAUGUUUAUAUCUUGUGUGAUGUGCAUAGGAAACAAGUGUGGUAAGAUAAUGAAAUAGUAAGUUCAUAUGACCGAAAUUUAAUGAUUAAAUGUUAAUUUCAUGAGUUAUGUAAUGUAUGAUGAGAUAUAUUUAUUGAUGAAAUGAGAAUAAAAUAAAAAUGCGAAAAUUGAAUAAAUGAUCAAAUUGAGCGGAACGCCGGAUUUGAGUACUUCUGAUCAAGUGACAAAGUGAUAAGUGAUAAGUGGCUACACUUAUCUGAUCAAGAAACAAAGUGAUAAGUGGCUACACUUAUCUGAUCAGGGACAAGUGAUAAGUGAUCAUACGUAAGACCAUAGUUAUACUAUGGCAAAGUGAAAGUGAAGUACUCAAUUUUCCGUAACCGUUCCCUAAUUUGAUUAAGGAUGGUAAGUGACAAAUGGGCCCAAAUGAAUUAAAGUAAAUGAAUAAGUGGUAGUGUAUUUAUACCAGGAUGAUGUUGUUAUUUAAGCUAAAGUGAUAUUUUCAUUGCAAAAUUAAGAAUUUCAUAAAUGUGUUAUUGAAUGAUAUAAUCGAUAAACGUUGAGUUAAAUGGUAAAUACGUAUUAGUGUUAAACUUAGGGACAUUGAAUUGUACGUGAAUUAAAUGGAAAUUGCUAGUGAUAUGAUCUAAAUUGUGAGCAUGAGAAAUUGCGAAUUAAAUGAAAUGGAAAUGAAGCAUUGAAUUGUAUGAGUAUGUACCGGGUCUCGUAGGCCCUAAUUAUUAUGAUUAUAAUAUUUUGAGGAUAUAUUGUGAAAAGUUAUAGAAGCAUUCUAAUUAUUUUGAAAGUUUUAAUUUAGUUGAAAUUUUAUAACUCGGUUAAAUACGUUAACAAGUGUAUGUAUUUUGGUAAUGCCUCGUACCCUAUUCCGGUGUUGGAUACGGGUAAGGGGUGUUACAAUUAAUUUUUCUUAUUUAAUCACUAAGCUUUUCAAAAUUAGAUAUUUUGAUCAUUCUCAUGUUAGUUACCAUUAGAUGAGUAACGAAAAAUUGACGUGAACCUUUUUUUUUUGGUCUAAUAAUAAAUUUAACAUUCUCAUGUUUACACAUUCUAUCAAUUUGAUCUCAAAUAUAAAAAAAAUCAACAAAUUUAGCCUUUAAUGUUUGCAGAAUUUGUCAUUUUAGUUCAAAUUCUAAAAAAUUCAAUAAAUUUAGCUCUCAACAUAUACAAAAGGUCAAGUUUUGAUUUUUAAAAAUUUACCCUAAACUUUUAGUGGUCGGAUCUCUUUUGUCAAUGUCAAGUUUAUAUAUGUAAAAUAUUAUCCUAAACAUUGAGGGUUAAAUUUAUUAAAUUUUUUAAUAUUUAGGAUCAAAUUAAUAAAAUGUGUAAAUAUUAGAUAGCUAAAUUUGUUAUUAGACCAAUAAAUAAAACUUGCAUUAGCUUUCCACUACUCAUCUAACGGUAACUAAUGGGAGAGUGACUAAAAUAUUUAAUUUUGAAAAGUUUAGUUACUAAAUUGAAAAAAUUAAUAAUUGAGAGAUCAAAAUAGAUCAAAGUUAAUUGUUUAGUGACUACCCUUUUUAAAUGAGGCAAGAAUUCACCUUUUAAUACAUAACCUUCCAUGUUGCUUUUACGGUUAUUUUUUAUGCAUUUAGAAUAAUAUAAAUUUAUAUAAAAGAACAUUAAUAAGUAAUCAUUACUGAAAAUCAUUAAAAUUAUAUAAUAUUCAAAAAUAAAUAAAUUUUGAAUUAUAUCAUAAAUAUUUGAUAGUAGAAUUUUAUUUAAUUUGUAGGUGUAUAUUAAUAAUAGAUAAAAUUAAUUGUGAUUUUAAUUUAUUCAGAUUAUUAAAAUAACUAUUAAUUUUUAAAAUUAAUGUUAAAACAUUAAUUUCAAGUUUUAGCUUUAAUAUUAAAAACUAUUUUUUAACAUUUUAUAUUUCAAUUUUUUUAAAUUUAAAAUCAAAUAAAAAUAUUAUUAAUUGUAAAAAAUAGAAUGUCGAUAAUGACAAUUUAUCGCAAAGAAAAGAGAAAUAAAAAUAAAAACACACAAAUUUUACGUGGAAACCCUUUAGGGAAAAAAACCACGGGUAGAGGAAAAGAUAAUUCACUAUGUCGAAUUCGAAUAAUUACAAGAGGAAUAGACUAUGUCUAUUUAUAGGCUUGUAAAACCAUAUUCUAAUAGGAAUGUAGUAAGAUUGAAACAUGUUAUUCUAAUCAAUAUAAAAUAGAUGGAGUUUAAUAAGGUUUAAAAAUCCUUAUUCUAAAAUAAAAUAAAAGAAGUAUAGUUCUAUAGGGAUUUUACUUUUAUUUUAUUUUACUACUGUAUCUUAUUUAAAUAAGGAUUCGGGUCACUUAAUUCUAACAAUCUCCACCUUGAUACGAAUUCUCAAUGAACAAGUUCUUCAUCGCGAACUCUCAACGAACAAGUUUUCUACCUCUUCCAUAAAACCCCUUAAGGAUUUAACUUCAACAUUGAACACCAAUCAAGUCUAAGCAAUGCUCAAACUUGGUUAUAGGAAGUGACUUAGUCAUCAUAUCUGCAGGAUUUUCAUGAGUACUAAUUUUGCUCACAACAAUAUCACCACGAGCAAUAAUAUCACGAACAAAAUGAUACCGAAUAUCAAUGUGUUUUGUUCUCUCAUGAAACAUUUGAUAUUUUGUAAGGAAGAUGACACUCUGACUCUCACAAAAUACUGUAUAGAUUUGAAGGUCUUCAUUGAGUUCGCUAAAGAGUCCAUUCAACCAAAUAGCUUGUAACACCCCUUACCCAUAUUCGACACCAGAAUAGGGUACGAGGCAUUACCAGAACACAUACACUUGUAAACGUAUUGAACCGAGUUAUAAAAUUCCAUUAAUUAUUAAAACUUUAAAAUUAUUAACAUACUUUUAUAAUUCUUCACAAUAUAAAUAAUGCAACAUUUCCUACCAACCAUAAUCGAGCUUCUGAUAAUCAUCUCACUGCAUCUAAUAAUUGCAUAUAUUACCAAUAAUAAUUCAAUUUCAAUAAUAAAACACAUAUCUAUAUAAUAUUCAUCAUCAAAUAACAUUCACUUUAAUUAAAAUUAUACAGAAUAUAGUUCAUACGAACUUACCAGGCUAAAUUGUAGAAAUACCAAAAUUUAGGGACAUUUUGGUAAUUUUCUAUUUUCUCAAAUUUCCACCCAAUCUUGAUCUAAAUUAAUAUUUCAUUCAAUUUACUAAUUUAAAUACUAAAACAAUUCAUUUUAUGCAAUUUGGUCACUUUUUGACAUUUUUACAAAUUUACCCUUAAAGUUUCACAUUUGUUCAAUUUAGUCCCUGAACCUAAAACAUGUAAAUUGGUCAUUUUUAAUGAAAACUCAUGCUAGUUUAAUUAUCAUAUAUUUUCCUCCUCCUCCUCUCCAUUCCACAUCCUUAAUGUAUAUAACAUGCUUAUAGGUAACAUUAGCUAUAAUUUCACCAUUUACUUAUAUAUUCAUUCAAAGUUGUCCACUUGCGUCAUAGUCACUAAAUUAUUUAUAUCUUGAGAUACAGAACUCCAAAUUAAGAUCCGUUAAUUUUAUUUAAAACUAGACUCACAUAUCUUCUUACCAUAAAAUUUUAAGAAUUUUUGAUUUAGCGAAUAAGUACAUUUUAUUCUUUAAAGUCAUCCCUGUUCUGCUGUCUGAUAGUCCCGACCCUUCUUCAUUAAAAAUUAAUUAUAUCCUCAUAUAGAAUUAUAAUGAUGUUAACAUUUGUUUAUAUUGAAAAUAUACUCAUUAAGGAUUUAAAAAUAUAAAUUUAAGCCUCUAAUUAUUUUUCUCCAAUUUUUGAUGAUUUUCCAAAGUCAGUACAGGGAAACCCAAAAUCAUUCUGACCUUAUCUCAUAAAACCUAUUAUAUCUCAUAAUUUACAAUUACAUUUCUUACACCGUUUCUUCUAUGAGAAACUAGACUCAAUAAGAUUUAAUUUCAUAUUUUUUUCAUCCUUUAAUUCCAUUUAUACAAUUUUUGAUAGAUUUUCAAAGUCAGACUUCUGCUGCUGUCUCAAAAAUGUUUUAGUGUAAAAUGUUGAUAACUAAAGUUAUAACACUUUCCUUUCCUUUCUCUUCAAUAUUUUCCAUCACUUUCUCUUAUUUCCCUUUACUAACAUAACAAGAAUAUAGAACCUUAUAUAAUGAAACUCUACCUUAACAUUAAUUUCCUACUUUUUCAAUAAUAUCAAACUCAAAAGUAUAUAAAAAUCUUGAUGUUCUUACCUUAUGCCAUUGAUUUCAAUCUUUAACUUGAUUUUCUCCCUCCUCCAGCUUCUAUUUCUUGAAUCUAACUUGAUAUUCUAGCUCCCCAUAGUCUCCUUGUUAUCUUUCUCUCUUGAUGAAUAUGGAAAUUCUUUUGAUUUCUAAGUGAAAAUGGUGAGUUUUUGGUAAAAGGACCAAAUUGUAAAGAAAAGAAAGUUUCUCUCUUUCUUUUCUCUUCAUACGUUAGUUGCAUGGGAAAGAAGAUGAUGAUUCUUCAUCUUUUCUUCCAUAUAUAUACACUAAAUAAAAUAAUAAUAAAAUAAUAAAAUAUCAUUUAAAAAUCAAAUUAAAAUAUUAAUAAACUAAUAUUUAUUUAUUUAAUCUAAAAUAUCUUUAACAUCAUCAUUAUUUUCUAGAUUUCUCUUUCUUCUAAUUGACCAUUUUGCCCUUUAGAUCUUUUAAAAUUCCAUCCUUGAGUCAUCACUUAAUUUGGUAAAAUUACAAUUUAGUCCCUCAUAAUUCUUCAUCUAUUCAAUUUGGUCCCAAUUCAUCCAUCUUCCUUAGUUUCUAGAUUAUUCCACCCUUAAAAUAUUUACACUAUUGGUCCUUUAAAUUUUUUAUAUUUACACUUUAACCCUUCAAAUUUUACGUAUUUACUUUUGGGUAACAAAACUUUUCUCACUUUUGCAAUUUAAUCCUUUCUUGAAUUUAUAUGUCAUAAUAUACUUUCGAAUGUUGACAUAACUCAAUUACCUUUUUUUAUCACUUUAUUUCCUUGUCGGAUUUGUGAUCCCGAAAUCACUGUUCCAUCUAGACCCAAAAUCGGGCUGUUACAUAGCUUCUUUACGAGCCUUAGUAAUCGCCAUGUACUCAGCUUCAGUGGUAGACAAAGCAACUAUAGUUUGCAAAGUGGCUUUCCAACUGAUUGCACAACAUCCGAUUGUAAAGACAUAACCUGUGAGAGAUCUUCUUCUAUCAAGGUUUCCAGCAAAGUCAGCAUCAACAUACCCAAUGACUCUAUCUCUAGUUCUUCAAAUCUAUAAUCAAACAUCAGUAGUACCUCAUAAGUAUCUUAAAAUCCACUGAACUGCUUUCCAAUGUUCUUUACCGGGAUUCACCAUGUAUCUACUAACUGCACUGACUGCAUAUGAUAAAUUUGGACGUGAACAAACCAUAACAUACAUGAGAGAUCCCACUGCACUAGAGUAUGAAACAUGUGACAUGUACUCAAUCUCAUUAUCUGAUUGUGGAAACAAAGCUGAUGAAAGUCUAAAAUGGGCUGCUAAAGGAGUACUAACAGCCUUAGCAUUCUUCAUAUUGAAUCUACAAAGAACUUUCUCAAUGUACCCCUUCUGACCAAGAAGAUCAUGAUUGUAAAUUCUGAAAAGGUCCCAAUUGAGGGAGUAGUACAAUGAGUUAAGUUACAGAUCGGUCAAUGGAAAGGCAAAAAAGACUUGAAGCUCAUCUACUUGAAGUCUUAGUGUCCUAGUGAAAUACUCCCGUAAAACUAAAGUUACCAAGGUAAUUAUUGUAAAUCCUAAAAGAUAGAUAUGUAUAGAGUUUAAAACCCUUAGGACUCUCAUCUUGUAGAUAGACACUAAUCUUAGUUGAUGUAAUUCAAUCUAUACCGAUGGAUUUGGGGGGAGAUCAACUAUAAAUAGAGAUCUUCUCCCUUAUUUAUAAUCAUCUCUUUGUAUUUUGUUCUUGAAUUAAAGAAUACUUUUGAGAGCAUUUACUCAAACACGUAGUGUGUACUCUUUUUUUAUGGCUAUUCUGUUCAUUCGUGGCUUUUUUCUCUUUCAAGAUUAUUUUCGUUUUUUUUUCAGUGGCUUAAAGGAUUUUAGAAAGAAUUCUCACUUUUCAAGAGUUAGACUGACUUAGGAAGAUUUAAAUAAAAGAAAUCGCCUAAAAUUACACGGUUUUCCAGACUAGAGUUCUAGCCCUAAGACAUAUGGAGGUCUCCAUAUUGCUUUUACCGUUACUUUUUAUACAAUUAUAAAGUUAUAAAUUUAUAUAAAAACUAGUUUUUAAUAGUUGUGUGGUGCACAUUAAUAUACGUAUUGUCGAAACCAUUUUUUUGAAAAACGGGGUCGACCUUUUUUGAAAACGAAAAUUAAAACGAGAGUCGCCACCAAUCCUUUUUAUUUAAGUGUGAUCGGAUCACCUCAUAAUUUAAUUAUUUUAAUAAAAUUUUAAAUUUACUAAAACAAUAAUUUUUUUGGUCUACAAAAUCCAGAAAACGGGUUCGGGAGUCGAUUAUGCACGAGGAAGGACUAGCACCCUCGAUAUGUCCAAAAUUGGUACCAGUUGAUUACUUUAUGUCUUAAUGUCGAAAGUUAAAAUUUUAAAAAGAUUUUAAAAUACGAUCCCUUUUUUAUUAAUGUUAAUAAAACUUGAAUAAAUCGAAAAGAGAGUUAAAGACCCACUCGUCCCAAGGUAACUAAAUACCACAUCCCGUAAGUUAGGAUACGAUAUUUAGGACCUUUGAGAAUAAGCUCGCCUUUAAUUUUUAUUAAUUUUUUUUAUUUUAAAAUUUUAAAAGGAUAUUUUACUAUUUAGGUUUAACGAGGAAACCAAAACCCCGUAAGUUAGGGUACGGUUUCUCGAAUUCCCAAAAGCGCGAAAUAUUACCUUAUUAUUUUUUUUAAAAAUUUUCUUAUUACGAAUUGGAACAAGAAUUAAUGCAAUAUCUAAUAAGAUAUAUGUUUAAUUUAUUCGAAUGUAGUGUGAAAGCGAACAAAUAUAUAUAUUGUUGACACCAUUUUUUGAUAAAACGGGGUCGACUCGGGUUUUGAAAAACGAAAACGAAAACGGGAGUCGCACCAAUCCUUUUUGAUGAGGUGUGAUCGGAUCUCCUCGUAAAGUGGUUGUUUUUAAUAAAUAAUUUAAUUUUAUUAAAACAACGAUUUUGGUCUACAAAAUUUAGAAAAAUGGGUUCGGGAAUCGAUUAUGUACGAGGAAGGAUUAGCACCCCCGUAACGCCCAAAAUUGAUACCUAAUUGAUUAGUUAAGGUCUUAAUGUCAAAAAUUGAAAACUUUGAAGAAUUUUAAAAAUACGAUACUUGUAUUAAAAUGUUGAAAAUCUUCGAAAAAGUGGCAUAUUUCACGUUAAUCGAGAAAGAAAAUCAUAUCCAGUAAGUUAGGACACAAUGUUUCAAAUUCCCAAUACGCAAAUGUAUGCUAAAAAUUUGCUUAUUUAAAAGAUUAUCUCGGAUUUUAGAAAAAAGAGAUCAGGCCCAAUAAGUUAAGACUUGAUCUUUUCUUAAUUUCCGAAGUCGUUAAAGCUUGGUUUAAAAAAAAACUUGUGUUUUUAGAUUCAUCGUGAAAAUUAAAACCCAGUAAGUUAGGGUACGAUCUUCUUGAAUUUCCAAAUGCAAAAUACUGCCUUCAUUAUUUUUUAGAAAAAAUCCUCAUCUCGAGAAAACAACGUGUCAUAUCCAAUGCGUUAGGACACAACGUAUUUAGAUUCAACGAGUAAUCUCAUUUUUAUUAUUAUUUUUUAAAAGAGUAAUCUCGUUUAUUUAGAUUCAACGAAGAAAAUCGGAACCCAAUACGUUAUGGCUCGAUUCUUUCGAAGAUCCCAAAUAUCGAGUAUUACUUAUAUUUUUAAAAUUUAUUUUCUUACAAAUUUAAAGAAAAAAAUCAAUGUAAUGUUAAAAAUAACAAUAAUGAAUACGACAAUGUGGACAUAGAUAAUACGAGCAACCGCAAUAAAGAGGAAAAAAAAAGACAAAUCGAUUAAAUAUAAAAUAACAAGUAAAUAAGCAAAUAAAAUUUAAACAUUCUCUCAAAAUAAUGAUGACAAUGUAAAUAAAUAAAUGAAUAAAAAUAUGAAAAUAUAAAAAAGAUAUAUAAAUAUGUAUAUAUAUGUACGUGUUUAUGAAAAUAAAAUGGGUAUUUAGAUAUAUAUAGAUAUGUAUUAAAAUAUAUAAAAAAUAUAUAAAUGCACAUACAAAUAUAAAUAAGUUACAAAAAUAUAUGUAUGUAUGUUUAUAUAGACAUAUUAUAAAAAUGCAUGUGUAUAUAUAAAAAUUAUGAAAUGUAUGAAAAUAUACGAGUAUGUAAAUAAAUGUAUUUUGAAGCUACAAAAUAGGUAAAACAUAUGAAAUAUAAAAUAUUCACAUGAACGUAUAUUAAAAAUAUAUGUAUAUAUGUAUUUCGAAAUUAUAUAAAAAAAUGCAAAAGAUAUAUGCAUGGGUGGUAAUAUACGUGUAUAUAUAUAUAAGUAUAGAACAUAAAAAUACAAACAUGUUUGUAUGUGCAUGUAUAUAUAAUGAAGCUUGGGAUCAAAAGUAUAUAUAAAUACAUGGUGAUAAUAAUAAAUAAGAAAUACAAUAAAUAAUCAUGCAUGAACAAUAAUAUUAAAUUGAUAAAUGAGAAUAAUAAUAAUAAUAAUAAUAAUAAUAAUAAUAGAAGUAAAAAUAUAUAAAAUAAAAGUAAGUAAUAGUAACAACAGUAUUAAACAUAAUGAUAAUAGUAAAAAUAAUGAUAACAUUAUUAAAAUUAAUUAAUAGCAACAAUAGACAGAAGAGGGACUAAUUUGAACUUAAGACAGAACUUCGGGGGAGAAAUCCAUAAAUAAAUAAGGGAGAGGACCCUCUGAACACGGGUGUAUUGUGGGGGGACUAAAAUAAAAAUUUUCCCUCUCCCCCAAAACGGUGCAGUUCAAUCAAGGACCAAAAUGAAAUAGCAAUAAAAUAUGGGGUGCAAUUUUAAAAGACCAAAGAGACUUGAUUGCAAAGUAUAGAAAAAGAGGAGGGGCUAAAACGACAAAUAACCCAACGCUCGAAACGCGCGGAUCCUGGGGUGAAACGACAUCGUUUUAGGGCUACUGUGGUCAGCCCGAAACGACGUCGUUUAGUCCGUCUAUAUAACUCAAAAUUUUUUUAAAAAAAACUUCAGUUCUUUGCUCUUCAGAAAAAAAAUGAGAGUUUUUCUCUCAAAAGCCCCUCUCCCCCGGUCCUAGCUCCGACCGAUAGUCACCUUGCCGGACCCCGGUCGCUGGCGCCAGCGCCACCGCGCACGGUGGCCGGCGAAGGUAAUAAGGGUGUUUUUUAUAUCUCGCCCCCCUAAGCCCAAAUCUGGCCUUAAAAUGCCCAAAAAGCAAAAGAAAAAGGACCACCAGCCUUCUCAACGACCGAUUCUGUCACCGGAGACGAAGCCUCUGACGACAAGGACACGGAACGACUCCGGUGAGUUCCUCUUCCCCUUUCUUUUUGUUUUAUUUUAGUAUAUAAAAACGAAAGCAAAAAAAGAAAAAAUAUCAGUAAACAAAUAUUAUGAAAACUUCAAAGUUUCUUUUCUUUUAUUUCCGAUUUUAUUGUAUCAUCCCCCCCGAAGAGAGAGCUUUACAAUUGGUUUUUGCUUGGCUUUUAUAGCUAUUUUUGUUACAAUAUUUUUGCUUUUGUUGUUACUAUUUGCCACUGUUUCGUUUCUGCUUUGCGUGUUUCCUCUAGUUUACAGGGUUGCUGGAGCAGGUGGGCAGAGGGCAGGUGCGGCGCUGGAUGUGACGGAGGCACAGAAGACCGAGGGUCAGAAGACCCUAGGUGCGGCGCCUAGGGUUCUUUUGUUUUCUGCUAGGGCUUUUCAUUGUAAUGGGUUUUGGGCUUAUUUGUUUUCUCUGGUGGACCGGGCAAAUUUGGGCUUCUACAUAUAUAUUUUAAAAACGUAAUGUAUAAUACGAUAAUAACGAAAUAAUGGAAGAUAACUAUAUGAGUAAAAUAUUUAAAAGGUAAAUAACAAGUAAUGGAAUACAAUAAUAAUGAUGAUGUGAUUAUAAUAACACCAAAUAAUAACAAUAAUCAUAUUAACUAUUAUUCUAAUGCUAAAACAAUAGAAAUGAAUUAAACAUUAAUAAUGAUGAUAAUGAAAUAAUAAUGAAAUGUGUAAGUAAAGAAGUAAACAACACUAUAAAUUCUAAUUACAAGAAAAAUAAAAAUAAAAUAAAAAAUAUACGAAUGAAUAUGCGAAUAAAUAAAUAAAACAAAAAAGAGUAAAUAAAUAAUAAAAGCUUGAAAUUAAACAACGAAGGAUUAAAUUGGGAUUAAAAUAAAAUUUAGAGUCAAAAUUAUGAUGAAAUAGGUGAAUAAACAUAAAAGGGACUAAAUCGGAGCUUGAAUGGGAUUUAAAGGCAUAAAUUACAAAUAAAAAAGGGAGAAGGGGCAAACUAAAACGAGCUGAAAAAGGGUGAGGACUAGAUGGGAAAUUAUUCCUAGUCCUUUGGAGCGCACCGUUUCAAUUUGGACCGAAAUGAAUAAAAAUGAAAUUAUGCCGCAAAAUGUAAGAAAGAAAAAAAGUUUAGGACUAAAUUGCAAAGUCGCGAAAAAGAGGAAGGGCCAUAUGCGAAAUUACCCCUUCAACGCAGAAACACGCGGAUCUUGAGGGCCAACAGGUUGGUUUUCGGGUCUGCGGCCAAAACGAUGUCAUUUUGGCCUCUAGGCUCACUCCUCAAAACGGCGUCGUUUCAUGUCUUUACUUAAACUAAUUUUUUUUCUCAAAAUUUCAUUUUUUUUCAAUGUUUAAAAAAAACUUCAAAAACCUCCCAUCUCUCUCAAAAAACUCUCCCCCCAUUCGGCCGAUGGUCUCCCUCGACCUCCGUCGCGCCACCGCUGUGGCCAGCAACCGGCACUGGAAAAAUGGGCCCCUUAGCCCUUGUUGUACGGCGUCCUUGAGAGCUAAGCUCUCUCAACCCGCGAGGAUAAAAAAAAAACAGGGGAGACUCUCGACGCCUUCGGACCCGAAUUGGGUGAUGAAGGAGAAGCCCUCUGACAGCGCGGCCACGGUCGUCUCCGGUGAGUCUCCUUUUCCCCCUUUUUUAUUUUUAUUACUUAGUAUGUAAAAAAUAACAAUAAAGUAAAAAGGAUAAAUAAUGAGAAUUGAACUUGAAAGUAAAAAGAAAAUCACCUCUCAAAUAUGUUCUGUUUUCGUUUUUUUUAAUGUUCGUAAAAAAGAAAAAAAUUACAGAGAUAAAAUUCGGCUUUUAUAGCCGAUUUGAAAAACCCCUAGUUUUCUAUUUUUUUGUCGUUUUGCAAUUUGGCUUUUUCUUUCUGUUGCGUGUUCAUUUGUUUUGCAGGUGUCAGACGCGUGAGGAGGCGUGCGGCGGCCAGGGGCAAAAGACCUAAGUGCGGUGCACCUAGGGUUGGCAAUCUUUUGUUUUCUUUCUGUUAAGGGUAUUGGGUUAGGGUUAGGCAUUUUUGUAUUGGGCUUAAGUCUAAUGAAUUGGGUUUAAUGUUUUCAUUUUGGUGUUUGGUUUUGUUUGGGCCAUAUUGGGCCCCAAGCAAAAAUGGGCUUGUACACGUAUUUAUAUUUUUAUUCUUUAAUAAAUUGUUUUAUUUCAUAUACUUGCUACAAGUAAUUAUUACUGAAAAUUAUUAAAAUAUAUAAUUUUAAAAAAUAAAUUAAUUUUAAAUUAUACUAUAAGUAAUUGAUAUUAGAAUUUGAUUUUAUUUGUAUGUGUGCAGUGUGCACUAAUAAUAGAUAAAUUAAUUGUGAUUUAAAUUUAUUGAAAUUAUUGAAAUAACUACUAAUUUUUAAAAUUAACGUUAAAACAUUAAUUUCAAAUUUUAGUUUUAAUAUUAAGUGGGUAUUUUUUAACAUUUCAUAUUUCAAUUUUUUUUCUAAUUUAAAAUCAAAUAACAAUAUUAUUAAUUAAAAAAUGAAUUCAAAUUGUAUCAAAUAUAAUUAAAUUAAACUUUAUGAAUCUUGUUCAAAAUCAAUUUAUCUAAGUGGGAAGAGAUUAUCAUAACAUAUUUUUCAAUAAAACAACAAUUGAGAUUGAAUCAUAUAAUUGUAUUAUAAAAAUAUUAUGGAAUAAAUUAAACACUAAUUAGAAAACUUAAACUUUCUAAAAAUAAUUAAAAUAAAAUUAUAUUUAGAAAAAAAAUUAAAAAAUCUAAAUUCCUUAAAAAUUAAAAUAAAAUCUAAUUUAAAAAUAAAUACUUAAAUAUUAGUAAUAUAUUUAAAUUUUCUAUAUUAAUCUUUUUCUUCAAUUGAUUUCUUUUAGACAAAUCUAAUUUAUCAAUGCCAAUAACCUUUUUAUUUUUUUAUGUGAUUAUGGAAAUCACUAUGAUAAUUGAAUUCAACCAAAUCACAAGACAUGUUAGGUUUAUAGAAUCAAAAGUGUAAAUAAAUAUUAUAUAUGGAUAUAAAAAACAAAAUUGAGAAAAUAAAACCUAUCAUCCAUUCUAAAAAUAGUUUUGAUCCCGUCACCUUUAAGCCUCGUUUAAUGCCCAUGGAGUUGCAUGAAUAAUGUUGGUGUAAUUUAAAUGUUAUUGUUUGAAAAUACUUAAUAUUGAAUGCUAUUUAUAAUUGUAACUUUUAAUUUUAAUUAGGAUAUGGAGAUGUCAUUAAUUUAACAAUAAGUAAUUAAAAAUGAUAUCAUUUACGGAUCAAGAAAUCAUAGGAGGGAUGGCUAGAAAAUAAUUAAACUAAAAAAAAAAAAAGGAAAAAGAAAAAAGCUUAUCAGCCUUUGUUGAUAAGGAAAAUUUGCCACAAACUUGAACAAGUAGAUUAAUUUGUCUCAUUCUAAGAACACACCUGGUUCGUUUGUGAAGUAAAAACACUUCCAAGAUCCCCAGCACCUAUGGUCAACAACCAAACCCCACAAUCAGUCCUAAUUCCUAGUUAACUUGAAAUCAAAAUAUUGACAAUGAUUCGUUCAAUCCAUUCGUCACCUACCUUCAAAACCGAGCAACCCCCAACUAUGGAUCCGAACGAGAUAGGUCACCACUCUCACAAUUCGUUACUGACAAAUCUGAAAGACCCAAUAAGACAACAAUUCACAUCUUCAUAGCUUAAAAGAAUAGAAAAGCUUCCCUUAAUUCACCAAACACAAUCACCUUACCUACUAAACGAGUGACGACAUAACCAGACCGCUCCUAUGCUAACCGAAUCGUUCUGGCCCUUAACCUUCAACAAUGAAACAGUCGACCUAUCACCAAAAAUCCAUAAACUAAAUAACACCACAGUUACAAAACUUACAACCAACGCGCAAAGACAAAACGGAGAUGACAAAUUGCGGCAACAAGAAUUUUAGAAGGAAAUGGACUACUAGAAAAAUCAAAGUAGGGAGAGAAUGAAAUUUUAGCAGUAGUCAACAACAAAUAAAAAGAUGAGAAAAGAAAGGCCAAGGGCACAAUUCGUAGAGAGAAUAAUAGCUAGGUAAAAAAAUAAAGGAGGAAAAACAGUUGGCUGCAAAGGAGAGAUAAGAAUCGGCAAAGAAAAUGAAGGGGAAGGAUAAAAAGAGAAGAUUCGACUAAGGGAGGAGGAGGAGGUUUGUUCACCUUUUUCUCUGAAAAGUAAAAAUUUGGGAAGCACAGAAUUCCACUCAAUCACCACUACCCCCUAAAUCCCUUGAUUAACUCCCCCUAUCCCUAAUUUCACUCCCCAACCGUCCACUACAAUCCCCUCAACCACCAAAUUCAAAUCCCACUCAAACUCUUCGGUCAAACUACAACACCCUCACGGCACAAGCAGUAAAAAUAAAUCCCAUGUUUGCACAAAGACUUGAACUCCAAACCUUCUACUUAAUUACACUCCACUUAACCACCAGACCAGUAAACCCAUUUUUACAUAUUUUACCAAUAUUUAUUUAUAAGCCUACUGACUAGAGAUAGAUGUUUAAUCAUUUAAAAACAAAAAAUUUGACCAAGCUAAUGCUUGAACUUGGGACCUCUCAAACACUCCCAGAACACAUAAUCAUAAAAACUAAUAGAUAUUUAUUUUACAAACAUACGAAAAUAAAUAUAUAAGGGAUUUUUGGGGCAUUACAAAUUUUGAAUAAAUAAUAAUAUAUCUAAUUAAUUAACAUAAAUAUCUAAGAUUUUUAUACACAUUGAUGGUCUCAUUUAAUGGAAUAGGCUUAAUUGCCUAUUUAGUCCCUAUUAUUUUCUUUUAAUCUAUAAUUAAACUUUUACACCUUAUUCUAUUUAGUCCUUUUUCCUAAUUUCUCCUACUUAAACUAAAUUCAUCCAAUUAAAACUUAAUCGGACACAUUACUAGACUCAUAAUUACUUCUAAUAAUUAUUUACGGACUAGGUUUACUAAGACGGAGGCCCGAUAUUGUACUUGUUCGAUGCCCGUGAAUUUUGGAUCAUUACAUCUUGUAGAUAGACACUAAUCUUAGUUGAUGUAAUUCAAUCUAUACCGAUGGAUUUGGGGGGAGAUCAACUAUAAAUAGAAAUCUUCUCCCUCAUUUGUAAUAAUCUCUUUGUAUUUCGUUCUUGAGUUAAAGAAUACUUUUGAGAGCAUUUACUCAAACACGUAGUGUGUGCUCUUUUUCUAUGGCUUUUUUCUCUUUCGAGAUUGCUUUUGUUUUGUUUUCGGUGACUUAAAGGAUUUUAGAAAAAAUUCUCACUUUUCAAGAGUUAGAUUUGACUUAGGAAGAUUUAAAUCAAAUAAAUCACCUAAAACUACACACUUUUCUAGACUAAAGUUCUAACCCCAUGACAAUAGUACAGAGGUCUCCAUAUUGCUUUUACCGUUACUUUUUAUACAAUUAUAAAGUUAUAAAUUUAUAUAAAACUAGUUUUUAAUAGUUGUGCGGUGCACAUUAAUAUACGUAUUUAUAUUUUUAUUCUUUAAUAAAUUAUUUUAUUUCAUAUACUUACUACAAGUAAUUAUUACUGAAAAUUAUUAAAAUAUAUAAUUUUAAAAAAUAAAUAAAUUUUAAAUUAUACUAUAAGUAAUUGAUAUUAGAAUUUGAUUUUACUUGUAUGUGUGCACUAAUAAUAGAUAAAUUAAUUGUGAUUUAAAUUUAUUGAAAUUAUUGAAAUAACUACUAAUUUUUAAAAUUAAUGUUAAAACAUUAAUUUCAAUUUUUAGUUUUAAUAUUAAAAGGGUAUUUUUUUAACAUUUUAUAUUUCAAAUAUUCUUUUCUAAUUUAAAAUCAAAUAACAAUAUUAUUAAUUAAAAAGUGAAUUCAAAUGGUAUCAAAUUUAAUUAAAUUAAAAAGAGAUUAUCAUAACAUAUUUUUCAAUAAAACAACAAUUGAGAUUGAAUCAUAUAAUUGUAUUAUAAAAAUGAAAUAAAUUAAACACUAAUUAGAAAACUUAAACUUUCUAAAAAUAAUUAAAAUAAAAUUAUAUUUAGAAAAAAAAUUUAAAAUCUAAAUUCCUUAAAAAGUAAAAUAAAAUCUAAUCUUAAAAAAAACUUAAAUAUUAGUAAUAUAUUUAAAUUUUCUAUAUUAAUCUUUUUCCUCAAUUGAUUUUGUUUAGACAAAUCUAAUUUAUCAAUGCCAAUAGCCUUUUUUCUUAUGGAAAUCACUAUAAUAAUUGAAUUCAACCAAAUCACAAGACAUGUUAGGUUUAUGGCUUAAAUUAUAGAAUCAAAAGUGUAAAUAAAUAUUAUAUUGUAUAUGGAUAUAAAAAAACAAAAUUGAGAAAAUAAAACCUAUAUAUCCAUUCUAAAAAUAGUUUUGAUCCCGUCACCUUUAAGCCUCGUUUAAUGCUCAUGGAGUUGCAUGAAUAAUGUUGAUGUAAUUUAAAUGUUAUUGUUUGAAAAUACAUAAUAUUGAAUGUUAUUUAUAAUUGUAACUUUUAAUUUUAUUUAGGAUAUGGAGAUAUCAUUAAUUUAAUAAUAAGUAAUUAAAAAUGAUAUCAUUUACGGAUCAAGAAAUCAUAGGAGGGAUGGCUAGAAAAUAAUUAAACUUAAAAAAAGGAAAAUGGAAAAAAGCUUAGCAGCCUUUGUUGAUAAGGAAAAUUUGCCACAAACAUGAACAACUACAUUAAUUCGUCCCACUCUAAGAUUGUAAAAUUAUAAGAGUCAAGGUUGCUCGUGACUAAAUAAAGAAACUUGCUUAGAUAAGAGAAGAUAAGAAUUGCAAUAAACAAAUUCUGAAAUUUAGAACAUUCAACAUAUAUCAUGUUGUUUCAUUACUUUGAAAGGAUAUUUUUAUAAGAAAUUAGAACAUCCCCUAAGCAUAGGUAAUAAGUACAUAUAUUAGUGGUUACAUUAAUGACCAAAUACAUGCAUCUAAUCUUAUAUACAUGCAUAAUCACAAAGUGUAUGCUUGUGUUAUGGGGCUAAAACUUUAGUCGGGCAAACUGCAUUGCCUUAUAUACAUGCAUCAUAUCAACAUAAAGAACACUUAGAUUCACACAUAUGUUGUCACGCUAAUAUCAUUAAAACAAUUUCAUUUAAAAAAACAAAUUGACAGUUUUUAAAGGAUUAAUAACCAAAUUUAAUUUAAAAUAAAAAAUAAAAACCAAAUUAAUAAAUAUAUAUAGAUUUUAAGAAAUAAAUUUAUCAUAAUACUUUUUAUGUCUACAAUUCUUUCAUGGGUAUGCUUAUAUUACUUUUUGUGUAGUGUCUUGUUUUACAUAGUUUAUAAUUGUCCCAACGAAUUUAAUUUAGAAUUUCUUUUUUUUUUGUUUAUACUGUGUGUUGUGUCAAUUUAUUUAUUUAAAAUGUUUCUUUUAUGUUCUAUAUUUUUUUUUCAUUUGUAAGCUAUUAUAAGAUUAUAUAUUUAUUUAUACAUUAAUAAUUUUUCUUAUGUAAAAUUUUGUACGUUCACAUAUUUUUAUCGUAUUUAUUUUAUUUUCCAUGACACGAUAUUUUUAAUUAUUUUUAAUACUUUUAUAUCAUGUUUUAAUUCGACAAUGUUCCUAGUUUUAUCAAAAUAAUUCAAUUUUAUUCUAAAUCCAUCUAUUUAACAAUUGAGUUAUUACAGAUGUCAUAUAUUUAUACAAUUAUGCUGUUAAAAAACUUAAUCCUAUUUCAUGAAGCAUAGGGAUCAGUAGGUACUUUCCAGUUCUUAUAAAUUAUGGACCAUAUUAUUUAACAUUAAAUUUAUUUUUAAAUAUUUUAAAAAUGGUGAAUAUAGGAUCUUUGUACUAAUAAAAAAAUAAAUAAUAUCCAAUUAUAAUAACAUUAAUAUUUAUUUUUUAUAUGAAUUUUUUUUCAUUUGCAGUUAUACUUCCAACAACAUACUUCAUUUACAAAAUAAAAAAAAUUAAAAAUAUAAUUUUAUUAAACAAUAAGUCUAACAUUGAUAGCUGGAUUUCUAAGGGUAAUUUACUAAUAAAAGCCCAUUUUUUGCAAAAAUUGCCGAAAUGGGCCCAUUAUUUAAUUAUUUAUCGGAAUGGUCCAUUUUCCGGCAAAUCGCGUCCACGUCAGCGCGAUGUUAGGGGAUGCAUCAUCAGGAAAUCGCGGCCACGUCAGCGCGAGAUGCUGACAUGGCAACAAAUCGCUUCCUCAAGGACGCGAUUUGCUGUCACGUCAGCAUCUCGCGCUGACAUGGCCGCGAUUUCCCCGCGCGUGAACAGUGCCCCAACGGUAAAAAAAAACUAUAAAUACCCCCACCCCUUUUUAUUUUUUUACAAACUAAUCCUCUCUCAUAUUUCCUCUCAAUUUCCUCUAAAUUUCCUUCUAAAAUUCUCUCAAAUCCAUAUUUAAUUUCAAUUUCCUCUCAAUUUCCUUCCAAAAUUCUCUCAAAUCCAUAUUUAAUUUCAAUUUGCUUUCAAUUUCCUUUUUAAAAAUAAUUUUAAAAUUUUUUAUAUUUUUAAAAAUCAUAAAAAUUUGUACGAUUUCAUCAAUAGCCGAAUCAUUGACUCGUCUUGAUAAGCAUCACAUAUCGGUGGAACAAAUGAAAAUGGUAAGUGUUAAAUUCAAUUUUUAAAUAUUAUUUAAGAAAUUUUUAUUUAUGAAUUUUUAGAUAAUUAUUAAUUUAUUAUUUGUUAUAAAAGUCUGUAGAUCGGGUAUUGGAAUGCAAUAUCCGAAAUAUGCAUGGUCCUCCAUCACCGUUGGUAGAGAACUACCUGCGGGAAGCGGGUUUUUGGCACGUGGCGACUGUAGGCCGGGGAUGCAAGUUGUACCCGAAACUAAUUAGUGCGUUGAUCGAGAAGCGGAGACCCGAGACGCACACAUUCCAUCUUCCAUGAGGAGAGUGCACUAUCACUCUAGAAGAUGUGAGUCUGCAAUUGGGAUUGCCGGUGGAGGGGCACCCAGUCAUCGGGUCUUGCCAAUCUAGCAAUUGGGAGGCGGUGUGCUACGAGCUUUUGGGUGCUAUUCCGGAUAAAAUGGAGGGAGGUAAAAUCGAGAUGGGCUGGUUACCUGACACAUUCCCUGAUCCGGAUGAAGAUUCAACCGAAAUUGAAAGAAUCCGAUAUGCUCGGGCAUACAUUCUUCAAUUAAUUGGAGGUUAUCUGAUGGCCGACACGUCACAGAGCCGCGUACAUCUAAGAUGGCUGCUGAAACUCGUUGAUUUUAGAGCAGCCGGUGAACUCAGUUGGGGGUCUGCUGUCUUGGCAACAUUGUAUCAGGAGAUGUGCAGGGCGAAGCGACCGAGGAGAGUGAAAAUCGGAGGUUGUCUGUCACUACUGCAGUCAUGGGCACGGUUUCGCUUUCUAUUUCUACGUCCUCGAGUGGACCACCCAUAUACAUUCCACUCAUAACGAGGUAAAUUUUAUAUUAGAUUUUACAAUUAUUAUGUAGAUUUUUAAAAAUAAAAGUAUGCUAAAAAUUUAUUUAAUUAAGUGGAACCAUUCGGUAAGUUAUUCUCGAUUACCUAGCUCUCUUGAAGAUAUACGGCUUCUAUUGGACCAACGGUCGAAAGCACAAGUGAGUAUGAAAUAAAAUAGAUAUUUCCAUACAUUCGCUAGUCGAUUAGUAUUUAGUAUUUAGUAUUAUUAUGUAUAUAACUAAUAUUUCUAUCAUGUUCAUAUAGUUUGAAUGGACACUAUACGAGGAUCCGGCAAUUCGGGCAGUAAUUCUGGAAGAGUUCUUACAAAAUCCGAACGCCUGGCAUGUGAAAGUCGUGUUGAUCAACUACGCAACCGUGGAGCCGCACCAGUCAGACAGAGUGCUACGACAGUUUGGAUGUAGACAACCGAUUCCUGUGGAUCCUGAGGAGUUUGACGAUCAACACAAAGUCGACCUUCGGUAAUUGAAUACGGAUUGACAGAGAUACUGGUCCGAGUACAUGGAAAUAUGGGAAGAUUGGCAUGAAUAUAUACCUACUCGGGAACCAAUCAUUGUUCCGGAGUUAGCGUGCGUUCCAGAAUACAUGCCAUGAUUUAGGAUCCCUGGCAAGCCGUAUUUACUGACACCAAAGGAGAGGUAGCGGUAAAUACAUGUCGAAAGGGAAAGGCGCGGGCCUCUAAAUCCAAGACGACAAGACGACGAAGGUAGCCCUUCAACGAGGCCCAGACAUUCACCCGACUCAUCAUCAGCUGCCAUGCAAUCACCAGGCCCAACGAGAGCACCGACACAGUCACCCAAUGCAGCAGUUCAACCGAUGAUACCCACGCAACCGCCUUUUCAUAUGAUGUCAGGUGCGUUUCCUAGCCCUUAUAUGUAUCCUAACCCUUAUAUCUAUCCUUUUUCGAGUCCUAUGGUAGGUUGGAGUCAAAUGCCCGGUUCAACUCUAUUUCUUAUUAUGCCGAGUGGACCGCCGAUGUAUAGGCCAGCGGUGCACGAGGGAUCACAAGAGGGACCGUCGGGGAGCCCUCUUUUUUACCAAUCCCCAGCAACGUAUGGGUUUCAGACACCGUCGCCGUUCGUGAUGCAAACACCUCCACAUACACUAUUCUUUGAAGGUGGAUCAUUGUCCCAAGUCUGACAACCAGAUGCCGUACCGGAACAACCAGAAUCCCCGCCGGAAGAACAACAAUCGCCGCCGGAAGAACAACAACCGCCGCCGGAAGCCAGAGAAAGGAGGAAUCCAGCGUGUAACCGUCGACGGCCGCCAUGUGGCACUGAAUCCCCCGGGCAUAGACAUUGAUUAAAUGUAUUUAAAAUUAUUUGUAUAAAUAUUUUGAAUAUUUUGAUAUUAUUUGAUGUAAUAAAAUAGAAGUUCAUUUGAUGUAAUAAAAUAAAAAAAAUUUUGAGUUAUUUUGAUAUUAUUUGAUGUAAUAAAAUAGAAGUUUAUUUGAUGUAAUAAAAUAGAAAUUUUUGAAUAUUUUGAAAAUUUUAAUUAUGUUAUUUGAGAAUUCUACUAACCAUUAAUAACCUAAUUAAAUUGAAAACCCUAACCUAAUUAAAUUGAAAACCCUAACCCUAAUUAAAUUGAAAACUCUAACCUAAUUAAAUUGAAAACUCUACCUUAAUUAAAUUGAAAACCCUAAACCUAAUUAAAUUGAAAACCCUAACCCUAAUUAAAUUGAAAACCCUAACCUAAUUAAAUUGAAAGCCCUAAACCUAAUUAAAUUAAAAACCCUAACUCUAAUUAAAUUGAAAACCCUAAUCUAAUUAAAUUGAAAACCCUAACCCUAAUUAAAUUGAAAACCCUAACCUAAUUAAAUUGCUCUAACCCUUAACAUUCACAUAAUGUUAGAUUUGGAAAAAUGUUUUUUCCUGGUACUAACAAUUAAUAAUUUCAUAUAAUUUGAUAAUUUUACUAACCAUUAAUACAAUUUUUUGAGUUAUUAAUUUUACAUUCACAUAAUGUUAUAUUUGGAAAAAUGUUUUGACUGGUACUAACAAUUAAUAAUUUUAUAUAAUUUAAUAAUUUUACUAACCAUUAAUACAAUUUAUCAAUUACUAAUUUUACAAAUAUAAUUUUGUUACAAUUACAUUCAACUAUUGCGAUUAGGGCAUGAUCGACUUGUAUGGCCUGGAUUCCUACACCAUCCGCACAACUUCGUUUGACUGGCUGUUUCUCAGAUAUCCAUAUUGUUACGUAUUCUAGUUGAGUAAGGUCGACCCUUUGGUUUACGACGUAAUUCUCUAUCCGGUAACAGCUUAAAAGGAGCAAGAGAUACAGGCGGCCACUUACGUUCAUCUGGGACCGGUGGGAAAAUGUGUCUCCAUACGCUGUACAUGUUUUCUAAUUUGUACACUUCGUCCACAUACCUCAUCGGAUCCAGACGGAGAUCCUGACAAGCUGUAAUGACAUGAGCGCAUGGAUAACGAAGUGCAUCAAACAUCCCACAGUCACAAGUCCUGUUUCGUAAGUGUACACGAUAUUGCCCGCCAACAACACCUUCGUGUUGUCUGUCAAACUCUGUCACACGAAACCAUAAAUUUCCUCGAUCGUGACACACUGUGUACAUGGUGUUUGCCCUCGCCUUGGCCUUGUUAAUUUCUUGAACUACCUUACUGCACCAUACAUGGCCUCCCUGCAUCUGGCCUACAUAACUUGCUGCUCGCUUUGGAAAUAGCGCCGCCAAACGAAAAUAUGUCUCUCGCACAACCGAUGUUAUCGGUAGAUGGCGCGUUCCUUUAAGAACAGAAUUUAUUCAUUCAGCCAGGUUCGACGUCAUAUGGCCAUAUCGUAGGCCUUUGUCGUAUGCUUGUGCCCACUGUUCGAAACGUAUGUUACAAAGGUAGUCCUCCCCUUCUACGUUAAUUAAACGUAAAAUUACCAACAUCUCGUGAAAACGGUCUUUAUUUAUUUCAUACCCUGCCAAUAUAAGAUCAUAGCGAAUAAUUUAUACCACUUCUACCAAUAAAACUAAUUCAAAUUGACAAACAAAAUAACACAUAUAUAGAUUAAAUACUCAUGUUGGUCACUUGUCGUCGUUCGCUCUUAGAUGUAUAUUUCCUGUAGUAGUUCGAAGCAAUGUGUCUUAGGCAAUAUCUAUGGUGUGUGCGCUGCCAUAAGCUUCUCUGUCGAUCAAAUGUAGCUAGUAUACCGGUGCCCCGAUCUGAAAUAACACAGAUAUCAUGUUGGGGGCAUACAUGCCUCCUUAACCUAGACAGAAACAAAUUCCAGUCAUCAGACGACUCCCCUAGUGUUAUUGCAAAUGCAAUUGGAAGAAUUCUCCCACCGCCAUCCUAUGCCACUGCAAGCAAUAACCGAUGAGUAUACCUACUGAACAUAAAGGUACCGUCAAUUUGUACUAACGGCUUGCAGUAUGAAAAUGCGUCUCGGCAUUGCUUAAAGGUCCAAAAUCGGCGUUUGAACACUUUUUGUCCACGUAGCAAUCGGUCAUUGUAGUUCGCAUCUUCCGUUUCAAGGUCUGUGAUGGCACCUGGGACGUAUCUCUCUAGCACCUGACACCACUGCCAUAUUUCAUUAUAUGAGGCGUCCCACCCACUAUGCAUCUUCUCCAACGCCUUUUGCUUAACUAUCCAAGCCUUGCGGUAAGAGGGCGUGUACCCCAUUUGGCAACGGAUACUGGCAAUUAACACCGGCACUGAAGUCUUGGGAUCUACUUUUACCGUGGGCAGUAUCAAGCUAGCUAACAUAGCUAAAUCCAUCUUGGGAUGAUCUUGUAAAACACCUAUUAACGGAGUACAUUAAAUAAUGCAACAUUACAUAAUAAAAGUAUUCUUCAGAUACCGUCAAUACUGUACCUGCAGCACAUGUAUGUGGACCUUUGUACUUUUUUAUCUCCCACAACCCUGUCCUUUUCCUUAACGAGACGUAGAUUUUCCAUGAACAUGUGCCGUCUUGCACCACACACUUCGCCUCGAACUUAUCAGAUUUGGAUUUAACGACGUGGUAGUUAACGCCGUUUUUGAUGCUAUGUUGUUUCAAAGCACCAAUAAAACUAUCCUUGUUGGUAAACUGAUUACCAACUUCAAAUUCACCGGAAUCUACCCUCGAACUUGUACGACCACGCAACCGAUGUGGUAGAUCUGGAAACUCUAGCGCAUCAUCUGCAGACAGAUCGACAUUAUGCAAGUGGGUUGGAGGUGAGUAUGCUCUGAAUCGUGGAUUUUCUUCUUCGUCUGAACUCCUUUCACCAUCUUCAGAUUCUGUUGAAAUAGGCUCCGGUUCAGAAAAUAAGCCAACUUCUACACCAUCCGGCCCGGGCUCUCGAGGUGGAUCCACAUCGGAGUCAUCUUCUAACCCACAAUCAUCUACAUCGUACGAGGUCCCCUCACCGGUUGACGUCGUAGGGAGUAUGUCAUCCCUUCUUCUCAGCAUUUGAUAACGUCCCCAAUUGGAUGGAGAUUGCCACCCACUAGAACUUGAUGUCGUUCCCCGGUACGUAUUUCUAGCAUCAAACGUCGAGCCACCGACGUACAUGUCUCAUCCACUGACAGAGUGUCUUGCAGGGGAUGUGCAUUCGACAUUGCCACCGAACAUGGGCUAUUCCGUAUUUUAUAACCCGCUAAUCGAGUGUUGGCCAGGGGUCGUGUAUACAUCUCGAACACCGGUCGUAGGUACAUCAGUUGGCGAUGUAAAUUGUACAUAUAACUCAAUAUAAGGUGCUCUACUAGCAAGAUGAGUCUGCACCAUUGCCUCCAAGCUACGAGCACCUUUUAUGCCGAACGAGUCAUAUGUCAUCGGAUCAACAGAAGAACAAAAUCGAUACGUGAUUGACAGAAAUUUCAUUGGUGUCGUUCUGAAAAUUUUACGCCUAAUUCUUUUACGAAGUUCUGUCAAAUCUAUGUUUUGGUUAAAAAUCAGUCGCACCGUAUUCUCCGACAAAAAAAUAACACCAUUCUCGGUGUGGCAAACCUCACUAUCGUAGUAAAUAACAGCACUAAUACGUUCACUCAUAUUUGAAACUCUAACCUUCUUAGCCUCACUAUAUUGAGAGGAAAUUGAAAUUAAAUAUGGAUUUGAGAGAAUUUUGGAAGGAAAUUUAGAGGAAAUUUAGAGGAAAUUGAGAGGAAAUAUGAAAGAGGAUUAGUUUGUGAAAAAAUAAAAAGGGGUGUGGGGGUAUUUAUAGUUUUUUUGACCGUUGGGGGGCAACGGUCAAAUUUUUGACCGUUGGGGCACUGUUCACGCGCGGGGAAAUCGCGGCCACGUCAACGCGAGAUGCUGACGUGGCAGCAAAUCGCGUCCUUGAGGAAGCGAUUUGUUUCCAUGUCAACAUCUCGCGCUGAUGUGGCCACGAUUUCCUGACGCGUCCCCUGACAUCGCGCUGACGUGGACGCGAUUUGCCGGAAAAUGGACCAUUCCGAUAAAUAAUUAAAUAAUGGGCCCAUUUCAAUAAUUUUUGUAAAAAAUGGGCUUUUUUGUGUAAAUUGUCUGAUUUCUAAAGCUGCAGUUUUUGACAUUGAAUGAAACUCAAACAGAGAAAAAUACAUCUUACAGGAAAAGGAAAGAAAAAAUAGAUGAUGUACAACUAAGGAAAGAAACUGACAGAGGGUGGCCCUACAUCAUGAUAAGGAUGAUAGGCACCCAAACCGUAAGCUUUACUACAAAACGCCAAAAAUACAGGGAGUAAAAUCAAAACUCUUGACAAAAGGGAAUGGAAUUGGCAAUGGAAACACAAAACAGAAAGUAAAGUCAAAACUCUUGACAAAAGGGAUGAUGGAAUUGGCGAUGGAAACAUAAAAUAGAACAGCAACACCUUAAGUCCCCUGCAUCAUUCUCUCAACAUAAACCAAAGGAUUAAGUCUCCAUUAGAAUAAGUUUUAUUUGUUUAUGCUCGUUUAUUUAUUUUGAUAAAUCAACAUAAACAACAACCCAACUGUUCAUUUACAACCUUAGCUUUAAGCAAUUAAACGAUAAGUCGACUUUACAAGUAAACGAUUAGCCCUAGGCAACGAAAGGCCGAACUUCUCGGUCAUGUCGAGUUCAUUAGGCAACAUCCCACCAGGCAACUCCCAAUCAAAGCAAUGGGCUAAUUGAGCUAAAAUAAUACGCAUGUUGACUAGAGCUAACUGCAUUCCGGGACAUCCUCUACGACCGGUUCCGAACGGAAUGAGUUCAAAAUCAUGCCCUCGAAGGUCUAUCUUCCUAUCCUUGAAUCUUUCUGGAAAGAACUCUUCAGCAUUGCUCGACCAUAUCUUGGGGUUUUGCCCCAUGGACCAAGUGUUCACCAAAAGCCGCGACUUCUUAGGUAUGAAAUACCCAUUAACGGUGACAUCUUCGGUCGACUCGUGCGGGAUUAACAACGGCGCCACAGGAUGCAACCUGAAACUCUCUUUGAUGACCAUAUCCAAAUAGGCAAGUUUCGGUAGGUCCGACUCUUCUACCAUUCUAUUCCUUCCGACAACAAUUUCUAGCUCUUUCUGGAGAGCAACCAUGACUCGAGGAUGCUUUAGAAGUUCUGUAAAUGUCCACUCAAUGGUCGUGGAUGUAGUGUCGAAGGAAGCUGCCACCAUGUCCACCAUUAUAGCCUUGAUGUUUUCUCUACCAAAGAUGUAUGGUUGAUCUUCAUCGUUAGGGUUUAUGGGUGUAUCCAACAUCGAAACCAUCAGUUGAAAGAAACUUCUAUAAGGUUUUUGGUCAUCCAUGUUAAUCCCUUGUUGGUAUUCAUCUAUCAUUUUGUCAAAAAAUUCGUGAAGGCCACUGCUCGCCUUCUUAAGCCUUCUUGUAUAUCCCUGCAGCGUAAAGAUAGAUAUGAUAGAAUCAAUUUUAUAUUGGUUGUAUUCUUCAUUAUAAUUAUUCUUUGUGAAAAAAUCAACUAGUCAUUCAAUCAAAUAUUAAGACUUCCGAGUUCCACUCUGCAUCUAGUAAGAUUACCAUAACACAAUUUAUUAUGCUUUAAAAUUGGUAUUAUUAUUAGUACAAAAAAAUAAAUAAAUUAUGAAAAAGAAAAAUAGUACAUAAAAAACAGGAUAUAAGGAGAAAAAAAAAACGUUACCUGAAGAUCAAGUGGAGCAAGGAAAGGCACAUAAUCCGAGAGAUUGAAAACCCCAGAUAAGUGCAGGGCCUCAUCAACCAGCGGCUUAAAAUCGAUUUUAUCAUCCAUGGACCGCCCGAAUAACACUUUCGACAUCAUUUCUUCAAGAACCUUAGCCACCGCCAGGCUAAGGUUUAUUGUUUCACCCACCGCCGCUACCUUCCUCACUGAUUCAACCAAUAACCCCACAUCCGCCUUCCUUAUCGGGGCAAAACAUUCAACUUCGGAAGCACUGAGGAAAUGCAAAAUACACCAUUUCCGUACAGUUCACCAGUAAGAACCGUACUGGGUAAAAGCCAAGGCCUUGCCACCAUAUGUGAAGUAUUUCGCGGAUUGGACUUUAGGCCUGGAAGCAAAAACGACGUCAUGGACCUUGAGGAACAGUUCAGCGGCUUCGGGUGAUGAUACCACGAUGGUUGGUACUUUGCCUAGCAUUAUCGACAUGAUGGGUCCAUAUUUUUUGGCGAGAUAGUGAAGACUUUGGUGUGGGAGGUUCCCUAGCAUGUGGAUGUUACCUAUGAUGGGAAGAGGGGCAGGACCGGGUGGAAGUUUCCGGCCAUUUUUGUUGCGGUUUGGUGAGCUGAAGAAGUAGAUAAAGGAACAGAGAGUUCCAAGGAGGACGAAGAGUAAGGUUAAUGUUGAAGAAGACAUUUGGGAGGGAAGCCAAUCACAAUAGCUGAUAGCCAUUGGGGAUUGAUUGAUUGAGUACUUGUAGAUGGAAGCAACCGAUGGCAGCUGCAAGUCGGGAGAAUUCGCCAAAUAUGUCGAUUUUAACAAAAACUACGGAGUUCGACCCCCCCUUUUUUCUUUUUUCUUUUUUAAUGUAAGGAAAUAAGUAUAGGUAAAAGCUUUGCGGGCUUAAUUUGCCAGUUGAAUUACUUACCAUGGUAAGAAAAUAUUAUUAUAAUUUUUAUUUUAAUGAAUAUUAAUUUUAAGUUGUUAAUGUUAUUAUAUUUUUUUAUUUUUUUAUGUUUAUAUAAUCAAGAUGAAGAUUAAAUUAUUGAAAUUUAUAUACACACAAUUUAAGUGCAAGAGCACCAUGUGUUAUUGAACAAUACUUGAAAGAGGCGAGUUUCUUACACGUGUCUCAUAUGCUCAACGAGACUAAAUUGGAGUCUGCACUUAUCAGUGCUUUGCUGGAGAGAUGAAGAUCCAAAACACAUACAUUUCAUCUAUCAUGUAGUGAGUGUACGAUUACAUUUAAGGAUGUAUCAUUACAACUCGAUCUGCCAAUUGAUGAGGCAGUCAUUACAGGAGUGGUGCACAUUGGGGAUUGGAGACCAAUUUGCCACCAGUUAUUAGGCAAGGUGUCAGACAAGUUUAGUGGUAAUCAAAUAUAUAUGAAAUGGUUAGAAGAUAAUUUCUCGCAUCACAAAACUCUUCUAGUGCAGUUGAAAGACAACAAUUAACUCGGGCAUUUAUACCUUCUAAUGCCAUAUAAAUCUCAAAAUUUGGUACAUUUAAGGGAACUCCUAUAACUAUUCGACCUAAAAGAAACUAGGCAACUCAACUGGGGAUCAAUUGUCUUGGCUACAUUGUAUCGAAAUUUGUGUCGGACAAUAGAAGCACAAAAAUUAAAAUUGGUGGUUGUAUAUUCCUUCAAUCAUGGGUAUAGUAUCGCUUACCAUUUUUACAUCCCGAGAAAACUCCCAUUAUCAAUUAUUACUCGUAAUAAGGUAACAUUCAUUUAAUAAUAUAGUUAUCAUAUUAUCUUUGUCAAAACCAUUUUUUUUAACAAAAAUUAAUUGUCGACUUAAAAACGACAAUUGGAGUCCCCACCAAUUUUUUAUUAAGGUGUGAUCGUUUCACCUUGAAAACGAUUUAAGGUCUACGAAUUUUGAGAAAAUAGGUUCGGGAAUUUGUUACGCACGAGGAAGGGUUAGCACCCUCGUAACGCCCAAAAUAGGUACCGAAUUGAUUGUUUAAUGUCUUGGUGUCGAAAAUUUGAAAAGAUUUUAAAAGAAAACUUUUUAACUUGAAUGAAUUAAAAUAAUAAAACAUUCUUAUUUUAAAGAAAUUAAUCAUCACACCCAGUGAGUUAGGGCACAACAUUUUAAUUUUCAAAAUUAAGCUUGUCUUUUGAUUUAAAACUCAUGCAUUUAAAUUUCAAAAGGAUAUUCGAUUAUUUGGGUUAAAAGAAAAAAAUUGAAACCCAGUAAGUUAGGGCACGAUCACUCGAAUUUCCCAAAUACAGAAUAUUGCCUUUAUUAUUUUUAGAGAAAUCCUCAUCUCGAGAAAACAAUAUGUCAUAUCCAAUGCGUUAGGACACAACGUAUUGAUUUCCCGAUAAUGAGCUUUUAUGUUUUUUUUUAUUAAAGAGCACUCCUGAUUAUUUAGAUUCAACGAAGAAAAUUGGAACCCAAUACAUUAGGGCUCAAUCCUCUCGAAAAUCCCAAAUAUCGAAUAUUGCCUUAUUUUGAAAGCCUUUGAACAAAAAUAGUUUUAAUGCCUUGAUAAAACCAAAUAUAUUUUCUUUUUAAAAAAAUGAUAAAAUGUUAAUAUACACCAUAAAACAAAUACUUUAAUAUGAAUUAUAUAUGUAUAUGUAUUUACAAAAUAUGUACAUAUAUAUAAGUACAAUAUAUAAGUAAAUUUGAAAAUAUGUAUAUGCAUAUAUUAAAACACACACAUAUAUAUAAGUAUACAUAUAAAAAAGAAAAGGAAUGAAAUAUAUAUAUAAAAAAAUUAUAAUAAUUUCUAAAAAAUAUGUAUAUAUAUAUUAUAAAAAAUACAUGUAUAUGUGCAUGGAUUAUAAAAUAAGGAAAAUGUAUAUGUAUUAUAAAAUAUAAAUGUAUAUAUAUUACAUAUAAAGUAUAUACGUGUAUUAUAAAAAGUAUGUACGAAUGCAAUGGUUAUAAUAAUAAAUACCAUAGUAAUCAUAUUAUACAAUAAUAAGAGUAAUAAUAAAAAUAACUAAAUAAUGAACAAGGGACUGAAUCGAAACUAAACAAAAUUUUAGGGUCGAAAUUAAAAAAUAAAAAAAUGGAAAAGGACUAGAUCAUAUUGCGCAUGGAAUGAGGAGGACCAAAUAGGGAAAUAUUCCCACGCCGGUCAAAUGGCACUGUUCCAGUGGGGCGCAUGUAUAUGGUCUAUGGACCAAAUUAAAACAGAAGGAAAAAAGGUGGCCAAAAUUUAAAAAAAAACAUGAAAUAAAUGCAUUAUAGUCGAAUAAAAAAAUAGGGGACUAAUCGUGCAAAUUCCCCUUCCAUACUAAAACGAGCGGAUCUAGCGGGUCGAGUCGUCGGGUUUUGGCCUAUACGGCGUCGUUUUGGGCCCACUGAAACAGGCCUAAACGACACCGUUUUGCAGUCAUUAUAAAACCAAAAUUUCUUUAAAAAACUCAUUUUUCUUUCCCGUUUUGACACAAAAUAGCAGAGAAACCCUCUACUAGGGUUUCGUUUUCUAUGCCGCCGCCGAUCAAGGCCUUCCCACGGUCUCAGUCGCCGACCUAGUCUCCGAUCGCGACGGAGAAAGGAACAGAACGCGACAAUACCGGGUAAGUCUCUCUCCUCCCUCUUUUUUAAAAGAAAAAAAAAAGACAAAGAGGAAAAAACCUCGAAAGAAAAUCGAAAAGAACGCAAAAAAAGAAAAAGAAAAAGAAAAUAAAUGAGACGAUUAACAAAGACGCAGUUCACCUUUAUUUUUUGUUAUAACUUUCCUUUAUUUUCCUUAUCUGUUUGAGAAUCUUUCUUUUUUUUAAUGCAAAAACAAAUCGGCCUUUUUAUAGCCCGGGGAAAAAAAAUACAAUUCCUUUAAUUGACACUAUUUUCUUUUUGUUUGACUCUUUUAGUCCGUUUUUACAGGUGAUCGUGGGGGAUACGGCGCACAUGGAGGAGGCCGGUUCCGAAUCUUGCGACGGCUGGGGUCUGCUGGAGGCCGUAUGCUGUUAGGGUUUCCCGACCCUUUCUCUGCCAUUGGUUUCGGGCUUGGGUUAGUUGGGUUUUAGGUUUAGGGUUAUUGGGCUUGUAAAAAAACAGGACUGCCUAUUUUUGUUUUGUAUGGGCCCGAGCCAAUUGGGCCUGUUACAAUCUUUUUUUCAUUAUUAUAUUUUUGGAAUAACAUAUUAUUUGAACAGAUGGAAAAAUGUGGGUAUACCAAACAAGCUUGAAGAUAUUUGGUUAUUGUUAAAUCAAUGGUUAAAAGUUGAGGUCAGUUUUUGAAUUUUUUUUAAUUACAUAAUAAUUAUGUAAGGAUUUGAAAUUUAAUAUUAGGUAUGUAUGAAAUUUAGAAUUUCAUAUUAUAAUUUAGAUGGAUGUUAUACUCUGAUCCGAGAAUUGAAGAAUGCAUCCCGUCUAAAUUUUUUACGAAUCGUAAUAUCUUGCAUGUCAAAGUGUCAUUAAUAGUUUUUGCAUUGUCUAUUUUUAAUAAAUAUAUUUGAAGUAAUUUUUUUAAUAUAUUCUAUUUGAACUUUUUUAUAUUUAAAAAAAUAUAUACAUACUUUUCAUAUAUUUUUUUAAGAAUUAGGACCAAAUUAAUAGAAUAUAUAAACAUUGAUGGUUUAAUUUGUUACUAUAUCAAUCAAAAUUAUGUACAAUUGAUGGAAAAUAUUAUUUUCCGUGAUUAAUUGUCCUUAGUUGCUCACUUUGAAAAUGAACAAUGAUUAAAUAGCUUUGUUGUUUUCAGUAGGACCAAUUUGCUUAAUAUCAAAAUUGAGAGAAGCUAAAAAGGAAAUUUUACCUAAAUCUGCUCGUCUAUAUGGGAAGGCUUUCCUUCUUUUAGCUACAAUUGUAUUUAUUAAUUCAUAGAUUUGUCGGGAUAACAAAAAAAUGAUAAACAAUUAUAAUGAGACAAUGGCCAUUACUUGCACAGACCACCGGAUCAAUCACAAAUGCCGGCACCUAAAAUCAUUUAGUUAUUUUGGAUAAAUCUAACGUGAUGUAAAGUAUAUAUAUUUAUAAAAACUAUAUGAAUUUAUUUACAUUGAUAACAUAAACAAGAACCCAAAUGUUCAUUUACAACCUUAACUUUAAGCAAUUAAACGAUAAGUAGGUUUUGCUUAUUAGCCCUCGGUAUUGAAAGGCCGGACUUCUCAGUCAUGUCGAGUUUAUUAGGCAACAUUCUAUUAGGCAACUCCUAAUCAAAACAAUGGACUAAUUAAGCUAAAAUUAGACGGAUGCUGGUUAGGCCUAAUUGCAUUCCAGGGCAUGCUCUGUGACCAGUUCCGAAAUCAUGCCCUCGAAGGUCUAUCUUGCUAUCCUUGAAUCUUUCUGGAAAGAACUCUUUGACAUUGCCCGACCAUAGCUUGGGGUUUCGCCCCAUGGACCAAGUGUUCACCAAAAGCCGUGACUUCUUAGGUAUAUCCAUUAACGGUGACAUCUUCGGUCGACUCGUGCGGGACUAACAACAGCGCCACAGGAUGCAACCUGAAACUCUCUUUGAUGACCAUAUCCAAAUAAGCAAGUUUCGGUAGGUUCGACUCUUGUACCAUUCUAUUCCUUCCGACAACACUUUCUAGCUCUUUCUGGAGAGCAACCAUGUCUCAAGGAUGCCGUAGAAGUUCUGAAAGUGUCCACUCAAUGGCUGUGGUUAUAGUGUCAAAGGAAGCUACCACCAUGUCCAGCAUUAUCGCCUUGAUGUUUUCUCUAGCAACGAUGUAGGGUUGAUCUUCAUCGUUAGGGUUCAUGGGUGUACCCAACAAGGAAACCAUCACUUGAAAGAAACCUGUAUAAGGUUUUUGUUCAUCCAUGUUAGUCCCUUGUUGGUAUUCAUUUAUCAUUUUAUCAAAAAAUUCGUGAAGGCC